UCCUGCAAGUAUAUUAAAUAUACAUUAUAAUUAUUGACAUGCAUGCAUCAACAUAGGCUUUUAAUUAUUGAGUUAACAAGGUGUGUAGAUGUAAGUAUUGAGAGAGUAAUUACCGUGAUAGAGAUAUCUAAUAGUGGUAUGGAGGAGGAGGAGAUUUGUAGAGGUAAGGAUGGUGUGGUGGAGAGUAGUGGUGUACUGGAGGAGGAGGAGGUGAUUUGUACACGUACUUUUCCUUUGGUGGUGGUGGAGAGUGGUAAACCGGAGGAGGAGAGUAGUGCUUAACCGGAGGAGGAGGGGACUUGUAUACGUAAUGUUUCUUUGGUGGUGGUGGGGAAUGGUAGACUGGAGGGGGAGAGUAGUGCUUAACCGGAGGAGGAGGGGACUUGUAUACGUAAUGUUUCUUUGGUGGUGGUGGGGAAUGGUAAACUGGAGGGGGAGAGUAGUGCUUCACCGGUGGUGGUGGAGAUUUGUACACGUAGUGUUUCUUUGGUGGGGGUGGGGAAUGGUAAACCGGAGGAGGAGAGUAGUGCUUAACUGGAGGAGGAGGAGAUUUGUACACGUAGUGUUUCUUUGGUGGUGGUGGGGAAUGGUAAACCGGAGGAGGAGAGUAGUGCUUAACCGGAGGAGGAGGAGAUUUGUACACGUAGUGUUUCUUUGGGGGUGGUGGGGAAUGGUAAACCGGAGGAGGUGAGUAGUGCUUCACCGGUGGUGGUGGAGAUUUGUAGACGUAAUGCUUUUUAGGUGGGGGUGGGGAAUGGUAAACCGGAGGGGGAGAGUAGUGCUUAACCGGAGGAGGAGGAGACUUGUAAACGUAAUGUUUUUUUGGUGGUGGUGGUGAGUGGUAAACCGGAGGGGGAGAGUAGUGCUUAACCGGAGGAGGAGGAGACUUGUAUACGUAAUGUUUCUUUGGUGGUGGUGGUGAGUGGUAAACCGGUGGGGGAGAGUAGUGCUUGACUGGAGGAGGGGGAGAUUUGUACACGUAGUGCUUCUUGGGUGGUGGUGGAGAGUGGUAAACCGGAGGAGGAGAGUAGUGCUUAACCGGAGGAGGGGGAGAUUUGUAAACGUAGUGCUUCUUUGGUGGUGGUGGGGAGUGAUAAACCGGUGGGGGAGAGUAGUGCUUGACCGGAGGAGGAGGAGAUUUGUACACGUAGUGUUUCUUUGGUGGGGGUGGGGAAUGGUAAACCGGAGGAGGUGAGUAGUGCUUAACCGGUGGAGGUGGAGAUUUGUAUUCGUAGUGCUUCUUAGGUGGUGGUGGGGAGUGGUAUACCGGUGGAGGAGAGUAGUGUUUAACCGGAGGAGUGUAAUGUUUAACCGGUGGUGGAGGAGAAGAAUAGAAAUAGUUAGCGGUUGAUUGAGAUACAAAGGUGAGAGAGAUUGUUAAGACAAGCAAAGUUGCCACUAAAGAGGCCAUUGGAGACCCCAUUGGUUGUUUUGUUUUUGGUUUGUGAUUUAGUGCCUUCCCUUCACACCCUUUAAAUAGCUUUUUCAGUUUCACUAUUUUCACACUCGUUGUAAAAUGGUAACUUACGUCAUGUAAAAAGUACAUGCAAUUAUGUACACCAAACAUAUAUAAAUAUUAGUAUAUAGAAAGAAGUGAUGUUUGUUGGUCUCUCCGACUCUCAUUAUUAAACUUUUUUCUUCAGCCAUCGAUGAUUGACAUGUUCUCCAUGUUCGAACAACGUAUCGAAUCUCGUGAUUUUUCAAAAUAUAACGUUAGAUCUAACGUAUGUUUUCUAAAUCUCGCGAUUUUUGUUAUGUCCCUUUUGAUAAUACUCACUUUUUUUUGUGUGUGAAAAUUCACUUUAGAACAAUAAUACAAUGUCCCAAAAGCUAAGAAAGUAGUAAUUGUAAUUGUAGAACGUUGUAAGAGAAAAUAUGUUGAUGGCCUCUUGAGUUUUUCUUUUUCCGGUAAAGAAGAUAUAUAUGGCCUCUAAGUUAAAAGGGGAAACAUGAGAAAAUCAUUUCUGACUACGUUAAAUGUAAAACAUGACUCUAAACACACAAGAUUAAUACUUUACUUUUUCUUUCAAAUUUAGAAAUAACAAAACCAUAUCAGAAAUUAUGUACACAGCCGUAUAUAGGUUUGUGGUUAUAGAUUAGAUGUUUGUCGAUAUUUGAUCCAUUAAUAUGUGUAAGUCGAACUAUAACCAGCGAAUGUAAUGUCAUAACAUGGUCCAAAUUAUUAAUUUGGAAUUUAUUUAUCUUAUAUUUUACUUAACAAAGUUACUAAAUUUUAGUCCGCUUUUAUCUUUCUAUUUUUGGUUACAUGCAUCUUUUCAUUUUGUGUUAAAGUACAUACAUCCUUUUUUCUCCGAUGAUACUUUCUUCUUGGCUCCUUAUACAAGUCCUUAUGAAUAAUGGGAAACGAAUAACAUUGCCUUUGACACUUUUAGAAAAAGCAUUUGCAAUAUUCAUUUUGAGAACCAAAUAAAAGUUAUGUUCAAAUUCUUUCUUUCUUUCUUUUUUCCAGUUUUGUAAUCUUAAGUUUGAGCAUGAUCUGCCUAAUGCAUAAGUGAUUCUCGGCAAUGUAAUGGACCAACCACAGAUAUUUUCAUAGAUAGAGAUGUGAAUAUAUAUAGAUCAAUAAUCAGAAACAGCUAAAUAUAGCUAAACAACUUAUUUUCGAUAUCUCACCUACUUCCUACGUACUGGUCAAAGAUGCUUACCACAUCCAUUCUUUUACUCGUUCAUUACAAAUGUAAUCAAAUCCAAUAUUCAUUACAGAACUUAUCAAUUCAAUGUAAAAUAUUCAUCUUUAAUCUAAAUGCUCUAUCCCAACAUUAUUGCAGUUAAUGCAUAUUAGAUACAGCAAAUUUAUUAUCGAGCAUAAAACUCUAUAAUAUAGUUUUGAGUUAUUACCUAGAAGAUUCAGUUCCGGAUAAUAUUGUUUUUCAUCUAGUGAACCUAGAUCGACUAAUAAUAAACCUAUAUAAACCCCAAUUAAGUAACAUGUUCAUCGAAACUUUGCAUUUACUUCAUUUUUUUUAUAGUCGAUUAUAUUUUUCUUCUUCAACAAAAGACACUUAUAUAUGUAAUUUUUAAUUUUCUAGUCAAUACAUUUUCUCCAAAUAAAAUAGGGUUUUGUUUACGGAGAAUACUUUUUAAAAAAGAAAGAGUAUAUGAACGCGUUGACUUACGGCGGCCGAGUUAGAAGUGGAAGGAACAAAAGAGAGAAGGUGGUCCGUCAUACAUCCGAAUACCGCUCCUAAAGGUGACACUGCCAACGUGACAGUGAUUGUUCGAUCUUCGAUUUGGUGUUUUGCCUCACAUUUUCUUUGUUUAACCUUAGAACACGUUUCUUGUCCUCUCUAUUAUUCUUUUUUAAUUACAUACGCUGUCAAUUAUCAAGAGAUAAGAAAACGUUAAUAUGAUUUAACUAAUUAACAAGGUAGAUGAAUUAUCACGACCGGACUUUUCUGACUGAAUAUAAGGAUGAUAAAUGUUCAUUAUUUGUUUUUUGUUUUCUUUUUCGGUGCACUGGAUUCUUCAUUUCAAUUAUAGACUAUUGUACAUCUUCAUCUUCUAUCAAAAUAAACAAAUAAAUCAAUAAAAGAAGCUUGGUCAAGAGUCAAGAUAGAUUUUCGAUAAUUGAAUUUUAUUCAUUUUCAUCGAACUGGAUAAGUAACCAGCUGGAUUAAGACUUAGACAAAUUAACAACUUCGCAUAAUUUUUUAACACAUUCUUGAAAGCUGACUUUGUUGGUGAGACGUCAACAAAUUGCAAGAAUAAUCACCGUCAUACCGAUUUGGUCAUUUGUAAUAAAGUAACACGACAAUAGUUACCUUUGAUGAUAAUAAUUACAGAAUUAUAGAUAUUUAGAUUCCUUUAGUAAAAUAUAGCUCAUAUCUGAUCCACUUCGAAAGAUGAUAGCCUUAAAGUAAAUAUUGGUAUACAUUUGAGUUUGACUAGAUAACAAUUCCAUAAGACCAAUAAAGAUUUUACGAUAUUGAAUAGAUUUUUAUGCGCUUAUUAUUUUAAAUAUAUUAGAAAUAUACAUAAUUGGUGUUUGCUUUCAUUUAGAAUGUUAAAUUACAUGCAUGGUUUUAACUUUUAUCUUCACGAAUAUACGGAUUAAUUACGGUAUAGAUUAGAACCUCGUGAUAAUCAAAAAGGAAAAAUAUAUAGAGGGGGUAUUAUUUGACCACUCUUUGACGUGUUAGAUACUUUCUAAGAAUAUAUUUUUAAAAAAAUUAUUUUUCUUAGAUCUAUCGUUAUAUAUUAAUCUCAUAGUAACAAUUCUUCUGCUAUAUGAUUUUUCAAACAGAAAAAAAAUAUGUCUAAAAAAAGUUAUCCUUUGUAGUUUGAAUACUAGCAUUUCUUAAACACAAAUUAACUUUUCGAGCAGAAUUCCAAAUAGAACGUUAGUCAAAUUCUAAACUAGUUUUCGAGAUCUACAAAACUUUCAUCUUUUUUGUGUGGUCAAUGAUUUUUUACAUAGAAUGAUAAAAAAGAGUAUAUGAAUUCAUGAAAUGAUCAUCACUAACUUACCAUACCUUUGUUUUUUUUGAUAAAUUGAUAUAUUCAGUCUAAUAGACUCGAUUGACGACAAAAGAAAGACUUGUAUAUAAUAAAUAUGCGAUAUUAGAUUGUAACUGCAUGAUAGAUCAAUGAGUCAUAAGCAACAUGGCCUCCUUGUUCGAUACAUUUUUCUAAACAUAUUCGAUCCCUAAGCUACUAGCUACGUGUAAUUUUGCUAUAUAAAAAUAUUCAGCAUAAAAUUAAAAAAAUAGCUCAUCACUUCAGAUGAUAUGAAAAAGAAAGACUACACGUCGAUAAUCAAUCUAGACAAUAAUAAAGAUAUUUGUGACUAUUUCCUGGAAACACGUACAUAAACGUUAUUUGUCGUAAGAUACAGUUUUGUCGGGUCGCCGAAUGUGUCCCAAUAUGCAGUCUAUAAUCAAUAUGUGUCUAUUACAGACGAUUAGUUCGACUGUAAUUUCAUAUGGAUUUACAACUUUUUUUAAGAAUAUGAUUGGUAGCGGAAAAAAAUAUAUAUGAUUGGUAAAAAAAUAAAGUUUAUAAAAUUUUAAUUAACAGAAUUCCAAUAUAUAUUGAAGUGUUAAGAUUUUUGCUAAAUAAAUAAUUAGCAUCUAUACUAAUAAGAUAAGAAGAAUAAUAAUGAGGUUUAUAUAUUUACUUUUUAGGAAUUUUGAAAAUUUUCAAUAAUUUAUCUUAAAACUUUGUAGAUGGAGUUUGAGUUAUAUACUGUAUAUUUGAAUUACUGGGAGUCUGGGACAGAGCUACAGAAUUAUAAUAUAUAUUUUGCUUUAACAGAAAUUUUUGAAAUUACGGACCUAUCAUAUGUUACCAAUAAUCGUUAGAUUCGAACUUCCAUGUGGGAAUUAAAUUGAGACUACCAAACUUGUUUGAACAAAAAGAUUUCUUUUAAGAACUAAUCUAGAAUCCUAGAUUUUAAAUUAGCCUUUUGUGGACGUUUUCGCUAUAAAAAAUAAUAUGAUCAAAAUAAUUCGCAACUAAAAAUAAUUCACGACUUAUAAGAAGAAUCCCAUUCAAAAACACUAAUCAUCUCCUAAUUUUAAUUUGUUGAACUCUUUUAUUCUUUUUACAACAAAAACAUAAGAAGGAAAUCUACUGCUAAAAGCCUAAAACCAAAAAAAAAAAAAAAUAAAGAAAAAAGAAAAACAGAAAAACACUCCCUCUAUAACCAAUAUUGUACGACUUAAUUUUUUCACAAUUUCUUAAAUUCAUUAUACCGACAAACUAUCUCACGGUAAUAUCUGGAUUAUUAUUUUGUCCGUCUUUAUGGAAAGCGUUAGGAGAAGUUUGUUGAUUUUAUUCUUCAACAAAAAAAAACGUUUGUUGAUUUUAUAGUUGAUUUAUGGGACCAGCAGGCGGCUUGGCUGAUAUAUACGUCUUCGUUUUCUUUUUUUCUAGUUAGAUUUUAUGUGAUGUGAAAUUUUUUAAUUUGAAAAGAUAUAAAUAUUUUGACAUCAACAUACAAAAUGAUUAUUAUUUUAUAACAUAAUUAGCUCUUUUCUCUUAUUCCAUGGAGGAUUUAGUGACAUAUGUACACUUGGAAAAGUCACUGGUUAAUACUGUAGUAAUUUAGUAAGAAUUCUAUAAGAAGUAGAAAAUAUCUUCGAAAUAUUCUGCCGACAUAUCCUUAAAUUUAAGUUUUCACUACUUCUCCUAUUACGAUAAAAACUUAUAUAUAUAGACGUACGUUCAAAUAUCUCCCAUGUGAAAUUUCAAGUGUGUUUUUAUCCCAAAAAAAAUCAUGUGUACAAGAUAAAAAUACUAUGUAUAUUCAUCCGUACAAAAAUAACUUGUUAUUAUAAUUAUGUUAAUUUGUUUACAUUAUUUAUUUACUCUAUAUAUUUCCAAAAAAAAAAUGUUGAAAUUCAAACGCCACUAUUUUAGAAAUGAUUAAUAAGAAUUAUCCGAAAACAGAUUUAUUAUGAAAAUGGAAAAGAGGUAGAAAUUAAUUUUGAUCACGAUAAAGAUAUUCAUGAAAACCUAGUCAAUGAGAAAUUUAAUAUACUAACAUCCUUUAUAUACUAAUAAAGUAAUAAGUAAUAAUACUCAUCGAUCCGAACUACUGUACUUGUAAAACAAGUCCAACAAAAAAACAAGUAAUUCAGGUCAUCAAAUCUAACAAACUUCCCAUAACCGGACUAAACCAACAUUCUAUAGGCUCCCUUGAUUCAAGACACGUCUGUUUCCACUAAACCCUCACAUACGAGAAAUCUUACAUCAACAAACAUACUUGAUACUUCCCCAGCUAGCUCCAAAACCCACGGCGGCACGUCGGCACCAAGGUCCAUCGUCUACUUUUCUUGCAAUAAUUCACAGUAGGAGCUAAAGAAAUGUCACUGUGUCCACGAUUAUCACCAUUUGACCACAAAUUUUGUUCGCUAUUCAUAUGUUUCAAUAAAAUAAAAAUAUUACUAGUAGAUACUAAAGAAAGAGACAACGAAGUAUAACAAAUAUUUACUUUUUAUAAUUUCAGCUAGAUUUGUCUUUUGCUAGUAAAGAAGUCAGGUCCGAUACAGUGUGAAUGAACUGCAUGUGACCUGUGGGCGUCAGAAAAUGCUGGGGUAAAAACAUCAUUUCGUCAAUCGUCGUAGCAGAAAAUAUCUAUAACAGUGGUAUAAUAGCUACUUAUACGUAUUUGAUCAAAAAAAAAAAGACUACUAAUACGUAUGACCACUCCUAUUAUUAAAUCUAUUAAAUACUACUAUACGUAUUUCAUAACUGCUUGUUCUUCGUAAAUGACCACUCUCCUUUAAUUAUUUAUCAUAGUGCUAUAACAAAUUAAUUCAUAGUAUGUAACGGUGAAUUGAUAAACCAGCUACUACGAAUUAAUUUAGAAAAUAUGAAAUUUCACAAUAUGACAAAUGUAGAUGUCAUUGUUUCCAGGAGAGUUCUAAAAUACAAGAGUGUCCAAACAAACACAGUGAAGAAAGUAGUUAAGAGGAUAUUUUCCAGUGUAAGAUCUCUUGGAAUCACGCUAAUCUGUGAUUGAUUUUAUAUCUACAAUCGUACUUAAAAAAAUAUAGUGUUUUUUUUUAAUUAGGUGUAAUGUAGAACAGAGACUUUCAGAUCCACUUGAAUCAAUAUUGUAUAAAAUGUACUAAUCUAAUUGUUGUUUAACAACUUGUCUCUAUUUCCUCAAUCAUGAUUCAUAACCCGAUCGGUCUCCUAAACAUUAGUCUUGUUUGAGCCAAGAAUAUCUUCAAAAUAAUGCUGUAUUUAAAUAAGUCAUUAAAUUAUUAUCAUUGUAAGGAAUCAAUUAUUUAAAGCCACCUCUCAAUUAUUUAACAUAGUAGUAAAUUAAUUAUUUAAAGCCACCUCUCAAUUGAUUAACACUAUUUUAGUUUCCAAACCAGUGGCUAAAAAGCAAUACCUUGUUGGGGCAAAAUGUAUUUAACUAUUCAUUUCAUUUUAUUUCAAUUUUUUGCAGUAUAUAUAUGUAAUAUGUGUGUAUACGAGUCUGAUCGAGUACGUCAGCGAUUCAUGAAUACCAUUUAAUUGACAUAGGACAAAAGGUUACUUCUGAUUCACCAUUUACUAUUCUCAUCAUUCUCUUCUUUUUUGGGUUCAAAUUCUCAUCAUCGUCUAUUCCUCUUCAUCAUAACUCUCUCUUGAAUGUUAUUUCCAUCUGUAUAAAUACAAACUUACAUGAAUUAGUAACGUAUUAUUGUUUUCUAUAGCUAUUCUAGAUAGGGGACGUAAAGAGAAAAAAAGAUAGGGGACGUACUUUUUGUUGACGUUAUAGAGGACGUACUUUUUUUUACCCUGUUGUUUUUGUUUUGUUUUGUUAAAGGCUUCACGGCUUUACCCAAUUUCAAUAAUUCACAAAGACAUGUGCAAUAUGAUCAGUUUAUUACAAAAUUACAUCUUGUCUCAAAAGUCGCAAUCUACUGCUUCGUAAAAGAUGGAUAAAACAAAAGAGGAAAAGAUUGAUUUGUACAUUGCCUACUAACUUAUUUAACGUGGCCAGAAGCAUGAAGUUUCUUGAAUUAUGCAUGCACAUAAAAGCCAAAACAAAAACAAAAAAAUCUAAAGUCGGACGCGAAAAAAAGCAUCUGCUCUCUUUGGAUAUCGAAUAUACUCACCUCUCUUCAUCGCCGAUCCCAUCAGUGUUGACAUGUUUGGUCAACCAAAUAAAUUUGUAGUGUCACUGAUUUCUUAUCUUUUUGUAAAUUUUCUACAUUGAUUUGCUUUUUGAUAUAAAGUUCUAACUUUUUUAAAAGUAUCAUAUUACGAGGAAGCUAAAGCAACUACAAGCUCUAGAAGAUUGUAACUUUUCUUUGAAAGUAAAAGCACUCAUGGUUUUUAAUUGCUAACAAUAUACACUUACGAUAGGCAAAUCCUCACACUAGGGAUUAUAUGAGCCACUGUUUUGGAUUCUGUCCCAAAAAUAUAAAUGAACAAAUACAACUACGUACUGAUCCCUGAGUACACUAUUGAAGUCCCAUUUCCGUAUAAUUCCCACAUAGAAAAUAAAAGAUUGUGACAAAAAUUUCUGUCUUUGAUAGAUAACAGUAAUAAGAUGAUGCACUAAAUCUAUCCACGAGAUGGAAAGAAAAAUUAAGUGAAAGAGAAAGACUUUAGGUUCGAAUCACUUCAUCUCCGUGGUGUCUCUCCAUACAUCUCUGUUUCUUUGAGUGAAACUACUCCUAAGGAUUUGAGCAUAUGAUCAAGUGUAUUUGGGUUCAUGUAGAAUCUAGUUGCAGGAGGGAACAUGGAAGCACGAAACAAUAAGUCACCAUUUGGUCGAUGGGCCUCAAAUGUCACCUACUGAUCACCUUCUUCCUCCACGCUGUCCUGGUCUUGGACCUGGGUUUCUGAAAAAUUGGAGCCGCAAAAUCUUGGAAUCGGGUUCGUCUUCAUCCAUUCGAUAGUCUGUCAAAUAUAAAGUUGUAUCAGUUAAACCAGCGGACGAGUGUUGGCUUGCAUCGGACAAAAUCAAACUUUGAUACAGUAUAUGUUCUAGCAUAGUGUUUAUAACUGAAAUGAAGAUAGUAAUAUCAAGAAACCAAUGCAAAACAAACUCAAUAUGUGUUGGAACAAAUAUUAGCAAUCCCCAAAGUAGAGAGAAUCUCGGUUACCUUGCAAAGCGCUCAGAGCAGUUGCUGCACAGGCAGAGUUUUCAAAAUCAACAAAACACAGAACAGUAGGAUCUCCACUCCUCUGCAUAAAACCCCUUAGAAAGUCAAUAUUAAUGAAAUUAUGGGACUGAGUGUUUUCAUUUUCAACAAUUCUUCAAAUUGGAACCAGUGAAUCUUACGUGUUUUGAAUCUUGGGUCACAAGUCUUACUUCUCUAUAUCCCACAAAAGGCCGAAAUAUAUCUAGACUUCAGUUAAGGACAAUGAAUAGCUCAAACAUUCUUAAGUGAGGAAAUUAAUAAUUGUAAUGAGUCAUUAGGUAGGAUACGGGAUACUUCCCUUCUUGAGCAAUUAGAAGGAAGUCCUUCAACAUACAGAGUGUUGGAUACAUCUGGAGGUAGAGGAUGUGGUUCCCGGCCUGGCCUACCAACUGAAUCCAGCUGACCAAAACCCAUAUCCCGACCAUUUGGCCUGAAAUCUGAAGGCAAACUCCCACCACACCCAGCCAUGAGCUCACCCAUGGACGGACCAGGCAUCAUGUUGGAACCUCCUUGUCGUACCAUGCCAACACCAUUAAAUGGACCAGCUUCUUCAGAUGGCACAAAAAACGUUUGCUACAAAACAGGGAAAAGGUUUCAGUACACUGAAGAAAGAAGAGAAAAAAAACGAAGAAGAGACCACGUGAAUAAGGAUUAUACCAUACUCUGCAGGUAGCGGUCAUAAGCUGAUCCAAUACUUCUAGUAUCCUUUACUGAAUGGGGGAUACCUCGAUCCUCAUCCUGUGAUAAAUAACUGUGCAUAUCACCUGAAGGAAUCAAAUAUGGUGUACCUUCUACAAAGAGAAAAAUAAGACAAUUCAAAAUCACACAUUGAUAGGUAUGGCAAUAUAUAAACCAGUGGACCUCAUGACACACGAAAAAGAAGUACACAAGAUACAUAAUCUGCAACUAUAAAUCAGUGAUAAUCUGUUCCAGCAUUGAUGGUCAAACACUCAAACCUCUUUAACGUAGCAUCAUAUUUAGUAAGAGACGAAAUGAAGGAGGGACAAAUAAGACAAUUCAAACUCACACACACAACUUUAGAUUCAUGUGAUGAGCACAUAGCAGUUAAGGAGGGACAAGAUUCAUUGAACAUAAACUUUAAAGUAUAUGUGGGAAGCCCACCAAACAAGAAUACACAUAUCAUCAAAUUGCCAAAUUGAUGUAAACAAAUGACGCAAUCAUCACGAAAUGCAUAAGUAGAAACCCUCUAACUGCAUCGGAGUGUCUCCAAAAAAAUGAUGAAAAAACGUAAAACAUAUCCUCUCUUUUUUCCUAACACUCGUAAAUUGGUUCACCUAGAUAUAAUAACUGAAUCAAGAAUCAAAGAAAUUGUUGAAAAGGUCCAUAGAAGAAGGAGACUGAAUCUUCGAUGGACUACUCUGAAGGAUAGAGUUAAAGUCAUUAAAGAACGACGAAAAACCUUGUGGAUCGGUUGGUCCAAUAGUGGAAAAGAAGUCCGGUGAUACCGACGGCAGAGAAUAAGGUCCCGGCGAUAAAAUCCCAGCAUGGUGAAAACUUGGCCGCUCGAACCCUCGAUUUUGAUGUGGUUGUUCUUGAUGAUGAUGAUGAUAAUAUUGAUCCAUAGUCCCUUCGCCUCCAACAAAUGUCCCUAGUUCGUUUGAGAUAUUAGCCUUCUCUGUAACAGCAAACCGAGCCGCCGGAGAUAUCAACCCAUGAGAUGUAUCAACCAUUGUUGACGUGUCUUUUGGUUCCGACGUGGAUGAAGAGGAGGAGGAUGAUGUUGUGGAGGUAGAGGUUUGACCUGUGAGACGUUGGACCAAUGUCAUGAAGUUAUUAGGGUGUGUAUGGAUAAUUCUGGGAGUUACUGUGUAUAUGUUCACGGGACCAGGUGGGGGCCGAGAUUGCGACGGUUCUUGCUGAUGGGUUUGUGGUGGUUGUGGUUGCGGGUGUGGCGGCGCUAGUGGUGGCUUCUUGAUAAUCUUGUGCGAAUCUCCACGGACUUUCAGUGGUGUUGGUUUCGGACCCAUGUUUCCUCUUGAUCUUGGCGAUCUAUUAUCCAUAGAAUCCACUUUAUGAGAUGAAUAGUAUAUGUAUAUGUGUAUGUGUGAUGAUGAAUUUAGUGAAGAACAAUGAUUAUGUGAUGAUUAGGGGAAGUACUUGUAUAUAUAUAAUUAGAGAAAAAUAAGACAAUUCAAACUCACACAUCGAUAGGUACGGCAAUAUAUAAACCUGUGGACCUCAUGACACACAAAAAAGAAGUACACAAGAUACAUAAUCUGCAACUACAAAGCAUAGAUAAUCUGUUCCAGCAAUGAUGGUCAAACACUCAAAACCUCUUUAACAUAGCAUCAUAUUUAGAAAGAGACGAAAUGAAGGUUUAUUUUCUCAUUAACUUAGAAUAUGAAUGUACAUGUACAUGUUCAUAUACAAGAUAGAAUGUAAAAAACUACCCUACACAAGUAACAAGCUCUCUAUACUACUCUAAUACAUCAAUGUGGUGGGAUACAUACACUUAUCUUUACAGAACCGUUCAACCGCAAACAUAAUUUGAACAAAGUGGAUCAAGACUCCUAUAAACAAUAGUACAGAGCAAUUUUCAAGACAUACAUAUAUACUAAAAGAAGUUCUGAAUAAGAGCCAUACAAAAUGAAACCUAAGAAGAGAAUCAUAUGUUAAUGGUAGCUCCCAUAUAGCUCAUCUUUUUAAGUAAAAUAAGAAAAGGUUUUGUUUUCAUGGCAAAGAGGCAAAAUUUAGACCUAUAACAGAUGAAAAAUCUGUUCAUUAUUCUAUAUAACUAUCAUCACAACAAUGCCCACUAACAUAAGAGCUACAUUGAGAGUUGAUUCCAAGUGUAAAGACAGCUCCUUUCAGGUCUAAUAAUGAAAAUUACACACAGAGCGGAAAAAAAGAAGAAACUUUUAGCUUACGGAAGUCGGAACGGGGACGUUUGGGAGGAAGAACGUGAGGGUUCGACGAAAUUGGAAGCUGAUACUGUCUCUGCUGGUUCCAGUACUCAUCCGCCAUUGACGGCGACGGAAACAACAAAUCGAGAGAUCACAAUUCGAAAAUUAGUAAAUAAAAAUUCCUAAUUUACAGAAUAAGGCAUUCGAUUGCAGUUCUACUUGGUCCCAAUCGAACAAAAAAAUUCUACCCAGCAACUUGCUCGUUCCUCUGUUCAGAUCAAAAUUCUAAUUCGCUCAAUUUCAAUUUCAUCGAGUUUUCUGACUCAUUCUCUUUCGACAACGGAAGUGAAUGAUCCGAAUCUGAGUGACCCGACCCGUUUUGUUUAUAAACCCGGUAUUUCUUCUGGCGCCAAUUUAACAAGUAACGACUAAGUGAGGCCAUGAAUUUUGUCUGGACUAAUAUUUAUGUAAACUCAGUAAAAAUUUGGUAGAAAAUAAGUUUAACUUAAAAACUGGCAGAAAAUGAGUUUAACUUACAAAAAAAAAAGACUUUUUAAGUUUAACUAUUUAAGAUAACUCAUUUUCAACAAAUUUGUAGUGAGUUUACAUAAAUAUUUGUUGUAAGUAAAAAUUUAAGAAAAUUUACAUACAUGUCACCUACUAGUAUGUACAUAGCUUGGGGUUGGAAAGAUAUCAUUCCCCAAUUGCCUGCUCUCAUUCAUGCUUUUCAAACAUCGGAGAUGAACACUCCCAAAAUGAGAAGGUUGUGCAAAUUUACAGCACUACCAGAAGUAAGUCUUAAAAUCGUUUUUAUGUUGUUUAUUGUAUCUUUUAUCCAACACUUAUAGACUCUAACACACAUUGUAUUAUAUAGGCAAUGAAUAACAUAGGCGACAGAUCAGAUGUUUACAGUUUCAGAAUUUUUCUUGGUACUAUAAUAACGGUUAAGGUUUCAUAUGAGACUUUGGAUAGAUUAACGGCUAGACACACAAGCCUUAGGUGUUAUCGGGGUAAGACUUUUCUCCAUCCUUAAAAUAACUCUGACUGUGACAUAAUUGACUAAAUUGUGGUCAUGUGUUCAUUAGGGACAAAGGCCUGAACUUCCAAGCGAGACGAAUCCAAGACUGAAGAAAUUAAUCGAUGAAAUGCUUGGAUGGAGAUGCUAUGUAUAGGCCUCACAUCUAAGAUGUAAGACGUGUUUUGGAGUCGCUUGUCUCAGAAUUAAAUACGCCUACUACACCAACAACAACGCCUCUCCUGGUCACUCCUUCAACAUCAAACUCAACAUCGACACUGGUGUUAAGGGAUCAAUUUGAGGCAUUAUCAGGUGAUCUUGAUUCUUGAGUAAAAACCAGGAAAUAAUUUCACAAAAAGAAAAACAUUAUCCCAAACUUUGAUUUUUUCUAUGCUCACGUAGCUAAGAACGUGUUGAUAUCUCUGUUCUGGCACAUAUACAGUUUUAGUGCCCAAACUUUUUUGUUCUUUACUUCUUUUUCUUCCUGAUCAAUUGUGAACUUUGAGAUUCAGUUGUAUAUUCUAGAAAGUAAAAGGACCAUAUUCUCUUGAUCGUUAACUUUUGGAUUAGAAAACGUCAAUAUAUUAAAAUACAUCAAUAUCUAUUUUGAUAAAUUAUUUAAGAAUAUAACAGUAUAACCAAAAAUCAACGAUUAAUUUGAUAGAAAGAAGUCCGGUUAUAUCAAAUUCAUAGAAAGCGAUGAGAAUUUAACAUGAGAAGAAUAUUUUAGCGAAUCUUGUGAUAAUAUAUGUUAUUGGAAUAUCAGCAUAGUGAUUAGAAUUUUCUUGAAAAGAUAUUAGUAGAAUAUAUACUAGGAUUUGAUAAAUAUAUUAGAAUCUUUAUUUCUAUAGAAGAUUUAUUAGUCGAUAUUAGUGGGAUUUUGUGGAGUGAUGGGAUCAUAUGUUUCCCUAUUUUAUCUAGGGGUUUCUAUCUAUAAAAGGGGAUUGAUCAGAGCAGUCUUUCUCCAUAAUAUAGCCGAUAAUAUGAGUAAGACUUAUAAACCGUUGAAUAAAGAAACCGUGAAGUUACAAGCAAUGCUACAAAGGUACGGGUACUAUGAAAUGGUUCUCACUUCCCUUGAUUCAAAGGUUCAUUAGUCUUACUCGUAUUGUUAGCUAUAUUAAGAGGGAAACUCAAAGAUGUCAACAGAACUCCAGAAGAUGUCGGCCAAGAAAGUUCAGGAAGUUGUAACAUCAGCAACAAAGCAAUCUGCUAAUUGAAUCAAGUGGUGCCAAAGAGGCCAUAAAAUCCUUAAAAAGUGCCGGUAAUCGUUUAUUAUAUUGGUAGACAAACUCAAAAUAACUUUGCAUCUUCUGCUGUUUAAAGCUCAAGGAUAUAGCACAUAAGUUACCUCUCUUGCAAUGCGUUAUUGGCCUUGAUAGUAUUUUCCAUAUUAAUCUCACCGUCACUGUUUUGUCCUUAAGCAGUAGUUAAGCUCUUCAUUUUCUCUCAUGAAUUGUUUCUUUUUUUGGCGACAAAAGUCAAUUACACAUGUGAAACUACUUUCAUUUAGUCCACUGAAUGAUUUAAUCGAUCUAUUUUUGGAUUUCAAAUCACACGCAUAGUAGGUUCAAGAAUAUUAAUAUACUAACAAAAACCAAUUUACCUACAAACCCAAAAGUUAGAACUUAGAAGAUUAUACAAAUAGAAUUAAUCUAAUGCCCACUAUUGGAUAAGUUGAUGAGCACAUAGCAGUUAAGGAGGGACAAGAUUCAUUGAACAUAAACUUUAAAGUAUAUGUGGGAAGCCCACCAAACAAGAAUACACAUAUCAUCAAAUUGCCAAAUUGAUGUAAACAAAUGACGCAAUCAUCACGAAAUGCAUAAGUAGAAACCCUCUAACUGCAUCGGAGUGUCUCCAAAAAAAUGAUGAAAAAACGUAAAACAUAUCCUCUUUUUUUUCCUAACACUCGUAAAUUAGUUCACCUAGAUAUAAUAACUGAAUCAAGAAUCAAAGAAAUUGUUGAAAAGGUCCAUAGAAGAAGGAGACUGAAUCUUCGAUGGACUACUCUGAAGGAUAGAGUUAAAGUCAUUAAAGAACGACGAAAAACCUUGUGGAUCGGUUGGUCCAAUAGUGGAAAAGAAGUCCGGUGAUACCGACGGCAGAGAAUUAGGUCCCGGCGAUAAAAUCCCAGCAUGGUGGAAACUUGGCCGCUCGAACCCUUGAUUUUGAUGUUGUUGUUCUUGAUGAUGAUGAUGAUGAUGAUAAUGAUAAUAUUGAUCCAUAGUCCCUUCGCCUCCAACAAAUGUCCCUAGUUCGUUUGAGAUAUUAGCCUUCUCUGUAACAGCAAACCGAGCCGCCGGAGAUAUCAACCCAUGAGAUGUAUCAACCAUUGUUGACGCGUCUUUUGGUGCUGACGUAGAUGAAGAAUAGGAGGAGGAUGUUGUGGAGGUGGAGGUUUUACCUGUGAGACGUUGGACCAAUGUCAUGAAGUUAUUAGGGUGUGUAUGGAUAAUCCUGGGAGAUACUGUGUAUAUAAUCACGGGACCAGGUGGCGGCCGCGAUUGUGACGGUUCUUGCUGAUGGGUUUGUGGUGGUUGUGGUUGCGGGUGUGGCGGCGCUAGUGGUGGCUUCUUGAUGAUCUUGUGCGAAUCUCCACGGACUUUCAAUGGUAUUGGUCUCGGACCCAAGAUUCCUCUUGAUCUUGGCGAUCUAUUAUCCAUAGAAUCCACUUAAUGAGAUGAAUAGUAUAUGUGUAUGUGUGUGCGUGAUGAUGAAUUUAGUGAAGAACAAUGAUUAUGUGAUGAUUAGGGGAAAAGGCAGGGUACAUGAGUACUUGUAUAUAUAUGAUUUGUGUGUAUUAAAGAAGGAUAGAGAAAAGUCAAAUGAAGGAAGGAGAGUAAACCUACUUAAAAAGUGGUAAACUUUGGCUACUUGUUUGUUUGUAUUGAUUAUUAUAUCUUUUUAUGUAUGUUUCUUCUAGUAUGUUUCUUACCAAGAUUUGGUUUGGUUUACCCAAGAUUAAAAGUUUUCUAGUCGUGAGAAAAGACUCGCUAUUAACUACGACUUCCAACUUUUAUUAUUUAGUUUUCGUACCUCAAUUUAUUCUCGUUUGUGGUUAAUAUAAUUUGAUGAGAUAGAUACAUCUAGGUGGUGCUCACGUUGUUGUAUUUUUUUCUUUAAUAAAAAAAAAUUUAGAGGUGAAGUUACUGUUUAUAAGAUAGAGACAUAAAUUACGAAAAAAAAAAAAAAAUCGGAUACUUAUUUUUGUUUGCAUCUUAAUGGACUUAAAGGUUGAAUAUUUCCAGUCUAGAGGAAGUCAAAAGCGUAGAAGAGGUCAUAAGUGCCACGUCAGAUAAUUGGUAGCUGACUUGGCAUGAUUUUGUAGAGAGCUCCAACACGGUUCUUCUGAUCCAGACAUGACCCUGUGUCUGUGGACCAUAAUCAACACAAAUUUUGCCUUUGUCAAACAAUAUUUAUUCAAUAAAAACACAAAACUAGAUGUGGUCAGAAGUUUAAUAAUAUGUUUUCAAUAUUAACUGAUAUCUAUUGGCCUUUUUAAAAUCUAAAAUGAAUUUCGAGUUAUUGAAAUACUAUAAACAUGUCUGACAUUUAGUAGUUUUAGUGGUCAGGAAUGUCCACUUUGUAACUGAUUUUUUCUGUUCAAGGGUAUAUAUCACGGUUAUUAAAAAAAUUUAAAACUAUGUGACGUGAAAAUGUCAGAAAUAUAAUUGUGCUACGGCCACGAAAAUACGUUAUAUUGUCAUAAAUUUCAUAAUAGUGAUAAGGCCCACGUACUCUCGACCAACUCAAUUUUUCAUUUAUACGAAAAAAGCUCAAUAUCAUGGCUUCUUUGUCCAGAGACCAGAGGUUUUUGUCUCACGACACACACUCAAUGCGCCAUUCUUGCGCGUGGGUUCACGUUUUGUAGUCUCAGAGAAACAGAGCUUUUUUUUACAGUUAGCUGAAUCGCUACAUAACAAAAUUAAUCAAAACAUCACUACAAAGUCUUGAAGCGUUCGAUAAUAAUCUUUUGUGUUUGGGAGAUUAACAUAGUACAAAUUUAAAUCAUGAUAAUCUGAAAAAGGGCUUACUUGCGAUGUUGCUGGACGCGGGAACAGUAAUACAUGAGGGGAGAAAAAGUCUUUUGUGUUUGGUUUUGAGUCUAUUUUUUGGUCAAACUCGAAUCUCCAAAUGACAUGAAAUCCAUCUAUUUUCUUACUUAUUGCUCGAAAGUGAUUGGUCUUUCAAAGUCUCCCUAGAUUCUUCCAUUUAUGUAUAUUUUUUUGGUACAUUAGCCUAUAAUUAUAAUUUUUGCUGAACAACGAUUAGCGACAUUAUUUGCUAUCAAUUAGCUUCGGAUGCGAGUGAACGCGUAUAACCUUUAAAGGUCUCACGCGGUAAAUUAUAAAGAACAAUACUAUAUUACAUCGCAAAAGUAUAGUUGCGAAGUCUGGUUCUAGAUAGUACGAAUCAGUCUUAACACUGCCAACUGAAACAAAAAUAAAAUAUCGUAUAAAAUCAAAAUGGAGUUUUUAUUUUUUGGCUAAAAUGAAUUUUCUUACAAGAAAAUAUAGAUCAUUACCUAUCUUUUAAUUAUAUACUCAGACAAAACUUAUAUUAAAUUGAAAGCUAUAUUCGAACCCAACUAAAAACUGAAACUGUGUAAUCCAAUUUAUACAAGAUGACGUGAUUUAUAUUAAUCAUUACUAGUAUUUUUUUAGUAAACCUAGAAAUUCAGACUUCCAAACCGGGAUCAAGUCGAGAUUUGAGAUAUAUAGUUAAAAUGAGCCACUUAAACAAGAAUGGUACUAAACGUAGUAACCAAUUAUAGGCGGAAUCUUUUGGGGAAAAUGAACAACAGUUUAGAAGAAUCUACAAAUUCAUUAUGAGUGAAUGAAUAAGUGACAAAAAAAAAUAAAAAAAUAUAUGAAAUUGUGUGUAAAAUUCAGCGGAAAUUAAUUGGUGAAUUCAUCUUACAAUAGAGGAUAACAUCUUUAAUCUUCUCAUCUCUGUCUUCCUCUACCAUCGAACUACAACCGGAAGAAUUAGCCGGAGAAGAUUUUAUUGAGUGGAUGGAACUGCUCUUCCUUGUCACUUUCUUAGAUCUUCCUCGUUGCUCACCUUCCGCCGCCACGUCAAAGCACAUACACAGCCGCAUAAAUGGUUUCAGGAAUCCAAAAGUUCUUCCACUUGUUUUUGGUUGUGACAUUGUUCAAAGAUGAAAACUACAAAGAUCGCUCAAGAAAUGGAAUCUUAAGAAUACGAAUCCACGACGGUGGUGUCUAGAGUCGAGAGAUGUAAAAUGUAGAAGAUUUAAGUGUAUCUUUUAGUUUCUUACAGAUUAGGGAUAAUGACUAUAUAUAAACAUACAAAAGGUAAUUACAAUUUUGUGUUUUGAUUCUUUCGUUAUUUUGUUUCUAUAACAAAAAGUAGGGCAUUUUCUGAAAAUUAGAAAGUUUUGGUCUUUCUAGAGAUUUUUUGAAGGACCGUGAUGUGUGUUAGUAAUAGUAAUAGUUAUUUCCUUAUUUGAAUGAGCUUAUUAAUGUAUUUUACUAAUUUGUUAAGUUUUGAAUUGAUGUUACCGGCUAAAUUUGAGAAUUCAAUUACUGUUACCACAUUUGUGGGAUACAAAAUCUGCGGUAUAAUAUCGUUAUUCAAAAACAAAAAGAAUGAACAUUUAUUGUUGAGAAAAAUAUUGGCGAAAUCGAUGCUAUCCUUUGAUUGAAGCAAUCUUAUAGCAUUGGUAAGAUUUUUGUUUCCAACUACUAGCUUUUGCUAAGAAUAACUAUCCGACUUUAUCGCUAUCUUUUCGACUUUUUUCGUUUGCAAUAUAUUAGCAAAAUAAAUCAUGCAUGUAAUAAUAAUAUAACUGAAAUAAUGAUAAAUGAUGUUAUAAGAAGAAAGAAAGAAAAUUACAUAAAUGCUGCAAGAGUAACUUGUCUGUCCAAAGGUAUGAAAAUAAAAAAGGUAGCUAGGGCCCAAAAGCCCAAAAUACAUGCUGCACCAUGUUUCUAGGUCAAAGCAGCAACGCAAUCUCGAGUCUCGUUAUAGUAUUCCACUUUUCAUUGCUUCAUCACACGAUCAGAUCUAGAUCAAAGGUUUGGGACAUUUACCACAACAAUGUGGCUCUUCCUAUAUCAAUCAGCUCAAUGACGGUUUUGUGUCUUAUUCUAAUAAUCUAUAUAUAACCGCUUGCCAUUCCAAUGAUGAAGAGGGUAGAAAUCUCGAAGAGCAACCUUUUCGUAAACUUGUUGCUCUUUAGAUUUUGAUGAACCGCACCUAAGUUCUUAGCUGUCGAAUCUAGCGCCUAAUUAAGCUUGCCUCUCAAGUCCCAACGUUUUCAACCCUUCGAUAGAUAGCGAUUAGCGAACCAACAUGAAGAUCAAUAUUAAUUGGUGGAAUAAAUUCACAAAUAUGAGAUUUUAAUGAUUAGUCAAUGUAGUUAAAAUCAUAAACCCAAAACUUUUAUGAUAACAAAACUUGAGUAACAAGUAAUAUUUUUUGUUUGUAUCAACUAAAUAUACGCAAGUACUCCUAUCACAAUUAAGUCAAAAUCACUUUCGAGUCAAACUCGAAUUAAUAAUACAGCUAUGAUGAAUAAAUGCCAUCCGGAAAAAAAGAAUUAAGGUUUGACUUCCUAUUAUUUCACAAUUUAUAAGUAAUUUGUACUCGUAUAUAUAUUUUAAUCCUAACAGUACUACAUUAUCGUCAACCCAAAAUAAUAUUGGGAUCGGAGCUUACCAUAGAUCUAGUUUUUAAGGCUGCCCAAUCAAACUUGUAGGUGGUGAUCGACGAUGAUAAAAUAACAAUUGAGGGUUGUUUUAAUAAUAAUAAAAUGCUAAAAAAUAAUAAAUACAGAAGAGAAUUCUACUUGGGGGAAUAAGAAAGAAUGAGGAUUCAACUUCGUAGAUUUGAAGGGAUUGAGAGAAAUAAGAGAAGCAUUGGUCGACACGAAGGUAGAAGCACGUGUUCUCCCGUGCGUGUGGCCCUUAAUCUUGGCGUUAAUCUAUCUUAUUAAUCUUACUACAUUAUUAUGGUUACAAAAUCUAUGCUCUUAACGGUUAAUAAUCUACAUUUGUACUUUAACUUGACAGAUAACAUUUUGGUUAGUAAUGAAAAUAAUACAAGUAUUCCCCGCUCUUCCAAGGCGGAUCAUACUCAUUAAAUACAAUUGUUUUCUCUUUUCUUUUCUUAACUAUCAGUCAAGAUGCUAAAUUAUUUGUAACAACAAUAUAGUUGAAUUGAUCGGACAAAUAUCUUUUGUUAGAAACUCGAACUUAAUUCGUUCUUUAUUUGCUAUCAAAGACUAUACGUAUUAUGCAUGUAAUAGUAACUUAUUGGAUUUGACGGUAUUAAUUAAGUAACUUGGCAAAUGGAUAACCAAAAUGAUGUCAAUAAAUCAAUAAUAAUAUUGUACCGACGCUUGGAAGUGUUAAAACGAUAGAAUGUAGAAGAGAGUGCAAGUGAUCAAAUGUUACGAUGCUUUGUUUACUAAAUUUGUGGUGUCUUGCGGUUCACGAGAACAAGAUGCUGAGAAUGUAAGUGACUAAAUCAUUUACACACAUACUGUAUAUAAUAUGAUGGCUCCACGAUAAUAUUUUAAGAGAGUGUAAUUGUAGGAUAUAUCUUACAAUAUCAAUAAUUCAUAUUUUUCUUAACGUAAAAGAUUAGGUCAAUCAAACAAAAAAAAGAAUGAAACGAUUUGCAUCAUCCAAAUUAAUAAAUAUUAAGACAUAUUUUAAACAAUAAGUUUUUGUUUUCCGAUAAACUUUGAAAUUAUGAAAUGCAUGUACUCGAUAAUAAUACUCUUAUGUAAAACAAAAAAUUAUGAAAUGCAUGUACUCGAUAAUCAAAGUUGAACUAGUGAUGGCUCUCAGGAACACUCUUACGUAAAAAUGUGUUGGAUAGUUUAGUAACCAAGAGAAAACGUCAAAAUGAUUGCACAAAUUCAUAGACUCUAACAGACGAUGAAGACAUAGUGUGUUGGAAGGGGAAGGGAGAUCGCUUCAAAUCAACUUUCAACACGAAAGAAACUUGGACGGCCAUAAGAGAAUCAAAACCAAGAGCAGAGUGGCACCAAGGAGUUUGGCUCAACCACCACAAACCGAAGUUCUCUUUCAUGACUUGGCUUGCAGUUAGAAAUCGUUUAAGCACGGGAGAUAGAAUGUUACAAUGGAACAUGGGGGUGAAUUCAUGCUGCGUUUUCUGUCAUGCUCCAGUGGAAACACGAAAUCACUUGUUCUUCGCUUGUCAAUAUUCAGCAGAUGUAUGGACUGGAUUAUCUAGAAAGCUCUUAUCUCAACGGUUUUCAACAGAUUGGGACAUGAUCAUCAAACUCAUCACGGAUACAUCUCUCGGGAAAGGAUGUUUGUUCUUGGUGAGAUAUACUUUUCAGCUCACAGUGCACUCGAUAUGGAAGGAACGGAAUGGUCAUCGACAUGGAGAAGCACCCAUUCCCUCCUCCCAAUUAACCCGCCGUCUCGAUAAGCAAACCCGAAACAGAAUCUCUUCUAUUCGCGAGUUAGGAGAUAGAAGAUAUGAAGACUAUGGCGAUUUAGUUUGGCUCAAGAUAACAUAGACAUCUCUCAUUUUUCUAAAUUUGUUAAUGCUCUCAAAUUUUGCUUAAACACAAGCCGCACUUAAUGUAAAACAAUUUUUUUAGAAUAAUUUUACAUAAUAUUCAAAAAAAAAAAAAAUGGUUUGUCAGGAAAAAAGUAUUUUUUUAAUUCUUAUGAAACCCAAAUUUCAGGUCGAAUAAACUAAAAAAUCUUAGAGAAAUUCAUCCAAUUGUUUACCAAAACUUAAUAGGAAUAAAUCUAACAAGGACCAAAUUCGAAGGUAACUUGACGAAGAAGAAACGGAAAAGAAGACGCACGGCUCGGCAACCGCCCACGUUUACUUCGAAACAAUUCACACAUUUAUCGAUGCACCUCUGCUUCCACACACACAUGCUCUUCCUCACCUCUCCAUUCACACAUACACACCCGUAUAUAUAGAGUUACAUGAACUCAAUUAUACACCAAGUGCCCACUUGCUAGAUCUCACAAUCUUUCACACCCAAAAAUCAUAUAAGAGUACAUGAAAAAUGUUGCCGUACAUUGGACACAACAGCUACCAGCAGCACCAGUUUCCGUUGCCGGAGAUGGAAAUUCCGGAGAAGUGGAAGCUUUCUUACGAACAAGAGGCUAUUACUGCUCCGGCUUGUCCUCGUUGUGCAUCGUCCAACACCAAGUUUUGUUAUUACAACAACUACAGCUUGUCUCAGCCUAGAUACUUCUGCAAGGGUUGCCGUCGUUACUGGACGAAAGGCGGUUCUCUCCGCAACAUUCCUGUAGGUGGAGGCUGUCGCAAGAGAAGUCGAAGCAGACAGAACAGUCACAAAAGGUUUGGCCGGAACGAGAAUCGGCCAGAUGGUCUUAUUAACCAAGAUGAUGGAUUCCAGUCCAGCCCUCCUGGUUCUGAUAUUGAUUUGGCUGCGGUUUUCGCACAAUAUGUGACUGAUCGGAGCCCUUCUAGUACAGAUAAUACUACUGGAUCCGAUCAAGAUUCACCGAUAACAACAACCACUCAUGCUUUAGAAUCUUUGAGUUGGGAUAUCUGCCAAGAAACUGAUGUGGAUCUUGGAUUCUACGGGGAAUUCAAUAAUCUAACUCAGAAGACCAAAGAGGAUCAAGAAGUAUUUGGUCAGUUUCUCCAAGAAGAUCGAGAGGAGAUCUUCGAGUUCCAGGGUUUACUCGAUGACAAAGAGAUUCAAGAGAUCCUGGAAUGCUCAUUCUCAGAGGAGCCAGACCAGUUAGUUUCUCAGGGGAGCUUCAUGAUCAAUGGUGAUAACUGGAGUUCAACAGAUCUUACCAGGUUCGGGAUUUGACCAGGAAGGAGAAGAUGGUGUCUUUCUUUUUGAUCACAUAUACUUUAAUUUAUUAAAUAUAGAAAAGUACUAUUUACACUAAAACUGAUUCUUAUAUUGUUCAUAAAGUUAUAUCAUACAUGAACAAUCCCACAAUAUAGGAUCCGUGGAGUAGAUUUUACUGUAUAUUAGUCUCGAAUAAUGGAUACAACUUACACUUUCUAUGUUCUUCUGCUUUGCAUUCUUCUAUCCUUUCAGUUUCGAAUUUUGGAACAUACCUGUAAAAUUCACAAAUCCUUACUAUAUCUAUAUGUUAAAAAGCAAAAUCUUGACAGUUCUACAUCUCGUUAAGAAAGAAAGGAAGUUUAGUUUGCACCUCUAUCAGAACAAAAACUAUAAUUAACACUUUUCAUCGAUCUUUUGUUAGUUCCGACAUACUACGGACCUGAGUCUAUGGAACAUAAUUGAUAUAGAACAAGCGACUUGCCUGAAAAUAAUGCUAUUUGUAAGUACAAUCAUGUCUUAGCUCAUGACUUUGUUUCUGGGUGCCACUUUAUGCUGCAACCAACACUUAGAUACCAAAUGCAGGAUAUCAGUUGGUCAUCAAAGGCUAUAGAAUCGAAGAAAAAUGUAUCAGAUUUCAGUGUACCUUGGCUUUUGAUUUGAUGGUAUUGGUUGACAGCUAAGGGAAAGAUCAAUCGCCAGGCUUAGAUCCCUACGCACAUAUAUAACAGGUUAGGUUUUACUUUAAGACUUCUCUGAAAUAUGUUAAAAGCAGUAACAACGAACCUCCCGGUUACUGGUGAGUUACUGCUAGGCCGGGAAUCAUCAAAUUGACCAUGAUAGACCAGCUCAAAUGGUCUACGACCAUCCUGCUCCAUUUGACAGGCGAGAGCAAGUUGAGAUAGAGUUGAUAAACAAAACAAGACACAAUUUUCAUAAGAAGUAUUAAAUGUUUGAGCUUAUAAAGGAAUUCAUGAUUUAUCUACUCCCAAUCCAACAAAUGGCUAUCUUAAGCAUAUAUCCAUAAUACUAUAUUUCAAAUACAACUUUGUGAGUUAAUCUUUACAUGCUUUAGCAGAACAAAAUUCAUAGAAUACCCAAAAAGUAGACACUGCAACUGACUUAUCUGCUGUCAAAAUAUAUGAUCACAAAUUACCUUCUUAUACAAGAAAAACUCAGGUGUACAAACAGCUCCAAAUUCUCUUGCAACCUCUUGUGACUGAGGCAAGAGAGAAAAUGUCACAAGAAGAUCCGAAUAUGAGUAUAAUCAACUAACAACCCUGAAAAAAGCAUUGAAUAGACAAAAAGAUACCUCAUCAUAUAAGUAAGGAAAUGGGUAUUUGAAAACUUUUGCAUCCUCUGCCAUGAACUCAGGCCCAUCCUGUGAAAAUGAAACGAAACUUAAAGAAACCUCAUCUCAACAAUUAAAUAAGCACUGACACUACAGAGUCACACACACAAACCUGAGGAUGAGUUACCACAGAAUUUGAAGAUAUUGCAACAACAGCAAGACCUUUCUGCAGAACAGAACAAUAUAGCUAAGAUUCAUAUACCAAUGGAUAUAACAAUGGAGAAGCAAGUGUUCGGUACCUUCAUAUAGAAAUUGCAUAGCUUUACAAUGUCUUUUUUUAAAUGAAUCACAAACGGGCAAUGAUUGCAGAUGAACAUUACCUAGCAAUUGUAACAGUAUCAUGAUGAACACAAGAACAGAGCUUUAAAUACAAAUUAUGGCAAACUGAAUCAAACAGAUUAAAGAUACACUCACCAGUAGAGACGGAUACAGUUCAAAAUCUUCUAAUUUCCAUAAGUUUCCAGUGAGCGGCUCCGGAAGCUAAAUAGUUCACUCAUAAACACACACACAAAUCUCUAUAAUUAGAAACUCCUUGUUUUUUAUGUUUUUCCAGCGACGCGCAUAUCACAGUUUUACCUCAAAAUUGGGAGCUCUAGCUCCCAGUUUUACUCCGGCUGACUCAGUUCUAGCGGCGCGAACCACGAGGCGCCUCGGCGAUGGUGCAUUGACUCUCCGCCGCAGAUUACUGAAGUCCAACCUCGACGGCGAGAAUGAAGAAAACCUCCGGGAAGAGACUGCUAAUGCAGUUCGUGAAGGAAGUAUAGAUGAAGCUCCGUGUGUCACGGUGGUUACGACGGUGGAGGCAGCCAUUGUAGUCUCUGGUGAUUUCUUCAAUUCUACCGGAGCCAUAAAACACGCGUCAGUAUCUUAGACGUUUCUAGAUGAUGGGCCGAAUAGAGAUAAGGCCUAGCCCAAUAUGUUAGCACAAAGUAAAUGAAUAUUUCGAGAAAUUAAAUUGUAUCUUCUUUUGGUCCAAGCCCAUAAACCCAACAUUAUUUUAUUAAAAAAACAAAUUAGUAUAUCUUUUUUUCUUUUGUUUUACUUUUUAGUUUUUACUUCUUCUCAAUCAAACACUUUUUAUAUCCGAAAACAGAAAUUAAAUAGUUAUUGAUGGCCGACUAAAAAAGAAGACCAAAAAACAAAACUUAUAAAGUACUAUUAAAUUUUAGCAUCUAGAAGAGAAAGGAAUAAGCCGAUAACGUAAUGUCUUAGGCUCUUAGAUUAAGUGAUUGAUUUAUUUUAAAACAAAUCUACAAAAGUAUUUCAAUUCAUGAUACAAAAAAUAUUGUGAUUAAUUAACCAUGAUAUGAUAAUAUAUUUUGUUUCUAGUGAUGUUAGAGGUGACGUAUAGGCCUUUUGCUUUCAAAACUUGCAAUAUAUAUGCGAUUUACUUGUACAUAACUAAAUGUAUAUAAAUCACACACAAUAACAAAAGUUUACAAAACAUUAGUGAAUUGUUAAACUACGAAAUUUUUAUAAACUUCCACCCACAUAUUUGGAACUCGUUGGAACUAAGAUAAAUUAAUCUCUCAUAAAGUUUUCUUGUUUCUAUAAUUGUAUUAUAAAGAAUGUUUAUCAAUAUAUAUGAAUAAGUUCUAAAUUGUGUAAUUGUAUAUAUGCGAUAUGGACUUAAUUUUCAAAUGAUAAGGCACCUUCUUUAUAAGUUAUAAAUUUAUAAUUAAAGGAUAUUCUCUAACUUUUCGUCGUCUAUUAAGAAUGUAAUCACAUUAGGGUCAUGAUCGGGACUUAGGAAGACUUUAUACGCUACUGCAAAUUCACGUUUUAGUCUGAUAGAAAUUUUAGUUUUAUACAAUUAAAAGUAUAAUAGUGUUAGUGGAUUAGUUUUUAGUUUUGUCUCUUUUGUUUUUGAAAAGGGUUGUAAGUUUGUCAAUGGAGGGUUUAACUCGAGUACUCAUGAACCAUAUAUGAUGCGGUGGUACGUCAAGAGUGGAGAUAUAGGAUUAGAUAUCUCGUAGAAAAACAAUUUAAAUUUUCUUAUAAUUUACGAUCUUAAAUACAGUAUCGUACUGAGAAUAAGUUCUUCUUACCAACAUCAUAAUAUGUUUACUUUAGAUAUAAAAAUUGUUGAGAAAUAUUUAAAAUCGUAAAAAAAAACGAAAUCAAUUGGUGGUAUAUUACAAAACCCUUUUUCGUUUUAAUAUAUUACAAAACCUUGUUAGGUUUUAAUCGCUUAAGAGCUUGUUUUUAUUUAUUGUGAUGGUUGAAAUGUAUUUAUAUUUUAUUGUAUGUACUUAUACUAAAGGUACUUAAAUUUUUAUUGAUAUAAAGUACAGUGUGAGUAAUGUUUGAUACAGGAGAAAUUGUCGUAUUAUGUAAUGUAAUUGUGAAGCAAAUUGAGCUUUACAUGAAUAUUCAAUAUCUCAAAACUAAAUUUCAAUGUAAACCUUUCACAUAAUUAUAUACUAAAAUAUCUAUAUAACACUUAUAUAAUAUGUAUAGUGGUGUAAAUGAUUGGAUUCAUGAAGAAGAGCUGACAAUCCAAACAAUUAAGAAAUUGAGAGAAGAUUCCUUUUAUUUCAUCCUUGCAUGCCUUAUGAUCAGCCAGCACAUCUAAACGGAACCCUAAACCCAUUAAUCAAUAUUAUUAGUGUUUUCAACAGUUAGUUUAAUCGUUGAUAUCAACCAUUCUAUUUUAUUUAAAUAAUUGGAUCGAUUAGAACCAUAAAACAAAAAAAUUGAGGUCAAAAAGUGGGUCACCAUCAUCAUAAUCUAAGGAAUCUAAAGCGAUUAGUCGAUUACUAUUUUCAUGCCAUACCCAUAUAUUAUAUGAAUAUAUGCAUAACAUAUAUAUGAGUUAUACCCUCUUUGCUGUUGGAGUUUACUUGUCUCCGCUUCUAACCCAAAACUAUAUUAUUAUUAUAUAUUUUUGGUUUAAGCCAAAACUAUUUUAUUACUUUCAUCAAUCAUAUUAUAACGAGGAACAAUUUUAGCAUAUUAAAGUUGAAUGUCUUUUCUUUUUCCUUAUAUUUAAUUCUUCUCUUUAUAAUACAAAAGGUAACACCAACUUGAUAAAGUCUUUCUUUUUUUUGGGGCAAAUACUUGAUGAUUUAAAGUCAAAGCGAUGUUUUACAUUAAUAUAUAUAUAACGCUGGUCUUGUAAUAAAGUAGAAGAUUACAAAGAAGAAACAGAGAGAAGAGAUCAUGAAGAGAAAGAGAUACGAGAUGGAGAAGAAGAAGAAGACAGAGAUUCAAACCGCCAUUGAAGAGCUCUCUGUUUUCAUCGUAACUAAACCUGCAGAUAAGACUGAGGCUACACAUAUACCCUUGAGGCCUAUUCUCUCCUUCUGCAGCUUAAUCAUCCAAGUUCUUGGUAUCUUUAUUUCUAGUUUUCGUAGGAAAUUAUAUUAUUUUGAUUAAUUGUUUCAUCGAUUUUAUAUAUUUUCCUGAGAAACUGAAGUUCAAGGACAACUCAAUGAUUGUCAUUGUCCUGAGCUGCUUGUGUUUUGGUGCUUGCAGAUAAGAUAGGACCGACAAUGGCUGUUCUUAGACAAGACAUUGAUCAAAAUAUUCAGGUAACUAAAGAUAAUGUAACCUCAUGCAUGCAUAUUAAGACAAGACAAAGAGCUUUUAUUUAUAUUUUUAUUUGUCCUCUUUAUUGAUUGAAACUCAUCACAUCAUGUGUACGUAUGCAUGUAAUGUAUGGUGGCCGGUGGGUCUAAACUAAUAUCAAUAAAAUAGUCUAUAUAAAAAAUCUGUUGAACUUUUUUGCUGAUAAGAACGCCCAAUAGAUAUCUUCUCAAUGCUUUUGUUUUGGGUAAAGAUCUCUUCAAAUAAUUCAAUGUCAGGCUUGUAAUCCCUUAUUGAGUCUAUUUUUAAAAGACUUUCUAGAAAAUCUCUUCUUUCCCUCUUUUUCUCACACUUCAAUUAUCAUUUACUUAUGUAUUUAUUAUUUGUUGAUUUGGGUGGUGUAGAGAUUAGAGAAAUUUUAUGAAACAGAUUCCUGUGUUUACUCGAAUUUGGCUGAGAUUCUGAAGAAAGAAAAGGAGGAGGGAACAUCCAAGAUGGUUGCUAGUUGUGGUAGAGCUCUUUUUUGGCUCACUAGGUAGGUAUAUUCACUUCUUCUUUUUUUUGUUAAAAACCCUUCUUCUUUUUUCCCGGCGAUAUUUACCUUAAUUAAUGUAUAAUUCAUCACCUAAUUACAGAAUUCUCAUAAUUGAUAUGCAUGCACAUUAGGAUUGUAUUCUAAGUUCUAAUUCAUAAACUGCACUUUUCGUAAUUAGUUUGUCCGAUCCAUCACGAAUAUUCUCUCUAUUAGCACUCCGUACUACUAGUUACAACUUUGGACUUUACCAUAUAUGGAACUAAUGAUUAGUUAAUGUACUAUUUAGUGCUUAAUUAGGUGUAUGACUCUUUCUUACUAUAUUCUAUUACAUAGGACAAUGGAUUUUACUGCGGGUUUACUACGAUUGUUGUCGAAAGAGAUGUCGUCGAAAAUGGAAGAACUUGUAGAAGAAUGCUACAUGACGACUUUAAAACCGCAUCAUGGAUGGAUCGCGUCUGCUGCUUUCAAAGUAUACACCGUGAUCCCUCUCAUUCUAGCUAUGUCAUACUUACUAACAUCAUUUUCUUGUUAUAUCCCAGCAAACUUAUUUUUUAUUAUUAUGAAAUAGGUAUGAACAUAUAAAUUAAACUUUUCUUGGGAACAUAUAUUACAUGUGUUGAUAUCGUGAGAAUAUGUAAUAAUGAAGGUGUGUUUGAAGCUGGUGCCUGACAACAAGACGUUCAUGGAAGCGAUCGGUGCAAGAGACGAGAGCUAUGAUACCUUAAGAGAAGACAUUGAUACCUUGAGCUCAUUGUUGACACCUAUUCUCAAAGAAAUCUACUUUGUUCUGGUAAUUACCAUUAACUUAUAAUGUAGUAUUUUUGUUUAUAUAUUAUACAGUUAAAGUCCUUUAAUUUAUACGUUUUCAAUUUUUCGGUUUAUAUAUGUAUAUCCAUCAAUUGAUUAGCGUGCAUGGUGUUUCAAUUUCUGUUUCAGGAACAAUACGGGUUGAGCAGAUUAAGAUCGAUGUAGGUAAUGGAAUUUAGUGGAUAUUCUCCCAAAUGAUAAUUUUACUUUUAAGAAAAAUGUAUAUAUCUAUGUAUAUAUGUAUAUCAUUGUUGUAAGAUUUAUUUAUUUAAUCAUCCGAAAACCAAAAUGAUUUCUCUUUCUAAAGUUAGAGCUAGAUAUAUGUACAUCUCUGUAUCACGUGUAUAAAGAUGUGAUUUCUUCUGUACAUGUCACGGAUCAUGUCUUAAGCUUUGAAAGGACUAUGCAAAUAUAGAAGUGAAACUGUAAUGCACAUCAUCGAUCGGGCUCUCAUAUGUCUCGUAGUAUUGAUAUUGGAGUCUAUUGCAAUAUUAAAAACAUGUGACAUGAUGCCAAUGCAAAUCGACUAAUCACAACACGAUUUUGAGUAAAAUCGACUAACACAACAACACGAUUUUGAACACAUUAUUUAUUCUUCAUUAAUCUCGUAUAAAAUGGUAAAAAAGAUUAUGGAAACUGAUGAUAAUAAACCCAUUACAUUACUAUAUAGGCUAAUUACAUAUGGACCAUGAUGUGGAUCUGGGCUUUUAAAACUUCCAUGAUCUCAUAACAAAGUCUCUUCCUCGCUCACGUCGAAAACAUCUCCCCGAAGUUUCUUAUUACUUACCUUGUUCAAAUCGUUAAUUGUCCUUUAAAACUUCGAUCUUUGUUCAACAAAAAUAAUCUCAGACUCUCGGUCAACGGAAUCGAAGCAAAACUCUGCCUCUAGUUCCGUAGAAUUCACCGGAGACUGAACAAAAAUCCCGUGAGUUUUUUAGUUUUCCGUUACAUUCUCUGUCUCAAUUCUGAAACUUUUCACAUGGGUUGUGCUCAAAUUUCCUUUUUAAUGGUUGUCGAGAUUUAUCUAUAAAGUCAAUGAUCUGGGUUUGAUCAAAGUCUCAAUCUUUCUCUUAAAUUUCGAAUAUUUGAUGAUCCCACGAGUUAGUCUCUCUAAAUCUGAUCUGGCUAUGCUUAAUCCGCCACAUUGUUGCUCUCAAGCUCUGGAUUUGAUUGUAUCAUGAAAAGUUAUCCAAUUGGAUCGAGUAAGGCAUUUCAUGCGUACUCAAGAAGCGGUGAUUUCGAUUUAGAAUCAGGAGGAACUAUCAGAAAAUCUAGAAAGCCUAAGACUUCGUUUUCGAAGAUGAUCAAAUCUCUUGGGAAUCGUCUUCACCACAUGUUCAAAUUGCACCCGGUUCUCGUUUUCGUCGUUUGUGUCUCGUUUGGUAUCACAGUUCUGAUACUUGUAUCGUCGAUUUACGGGAACCGUUUAGGAUCAACGGUUAGUUAUUAUAAGAAGAAUGAUUUGGAUAGCGAUGGUUAUCCAUUUGCUAAUCUGAAGAACCUUGUGAUGGUUGCUGGACAUUCUGUUUAUACGAGUAGUGAUUGUGGUAAAGUUGAGAAGGAGGAUUCGUGGUUCUUGGAGUCUUAUCAGAAGAAUCCAGGUCAAGCUGCAACGUUCUUGAGUCAUAUACAAGAAGGUGUUGAAGCAGCAGCGAAAGAUGAUGAGUCUUUGCUUCUAUUCAGUGGUGGAGAGACUCGUAAGGACGCAGGACCUCGUAGUGAAGCUCAGAGUUAUUGGGCUGUUGCUGAGUCAAAAGGAUGGUUUGGUGAGUCUUAUUAGUUUCUGCUCUUUAUUGACUUGAUGGCAAAAAUGUGGUUUUGAUUGUUUGGCUUGUGUUAAUGAACAGGUAAGAAUGAGGUGAGGUCUAGGGCCUUGACGGAAGAGCAUGCCAGAGACAGCUUUGAGAAUCUUCUCUUUAGCGUUUGUCGAUUCAGAGAGCUCACAGGCUCUUACCCACAGAACAUAACAGUAAAGCCUUUUGCUUUCGAAUUUUGCGCUCUUUAGUGAGCGAAUGGUUUUCCAUUCUUGUGAUAUUAAUGUAUCCCUCAUGCUUGGAUCAGGUAGUGAGUUAUGAUUUUAAGGAGGAGAGAUUUGCGCAUUUGCAUCGUUCAGCAAUGGGAUUUCCGGAAUCAAGAUUUUUCUACUUAGGAACACCAGCUUCUCUAUCAUCCAAAGAAGGCGCUCUAAAAGGCGAGGCUUUGGUUAGAUCACAAUUUCAAGAAGAUCCAUACGGAUGUGUUGGUUCGCUUUGGCGUAAGAAGCUGAAUCGUGACCCUUUCCAUAGGACUAUACCUUACCCUAUUGGUUGCCCUGAAAUUGGAGGAUUGUUCAGGUACUGUGGUUCAGCUCCUUUUCCUGGCUCUCUCCCAUGGGGCUAAUCUGUAUAAGAUCUAUACUUAAAGAGGAAUCAAUACUUGAUCAAAGAGCUUGUUGGUAGAGAAACUCUUUUUCUUUUUGUUACUGUCCAACAUAUUUAGAUUAUACAGAAAACUUCAGAAUCUUUGUAUUCUGCUUUCAUGUGUUGUCGAAAAACCGAGAAUUUUACUUGUAUCAAAUGCAAUUUACGUAAAAUAAAAUUUUGACAUUUCUAUCCAAUAACAGAUCUCUAUUCACUAUUUUUUUUAUUUGGUAAAAAAAUCCAUGUUCAGUCAAAGGAAACAAGUACACAAGUGAAAGAAAAAAGAAUAGUAAAAGAGUAGUUGUUUACUGAAGUAACAACUGCCAGCUCUGUCUCAAAACGGUUUGUUGUUCUGAUUGUUGGGUUUGGAGGAAGAAGAUGAUGAUGUCCUGGUUUUUGCAAAAUCCAUCAGGUCUUUAAAAAGGAUAUCCUCUGGUUUAUCAUCUUUCUUUGGUGGAGUAACAGGAGCAGCAGAGGCUGUUGGAUUAAGAGAGAGAUUCCGGGAUUGUCCCAAAAGAUCAUCGUAUGAAGAUUCAGAGGCACUGCUUGAGUGUUGUGGAACAUUAUGCUGGAAGUAUUCUGGCCUCUUGUUGGUUCUAGCAGACAUUGAGGGUGGAUACUUCCGGGGCUCCUGAGUCUCCCAUGGAGCAGGAGGCAAUUGUUCAGUUUGGUCAUAGACUGGUUUGGUGAAUAAAGCAUGCUCAGGGGAUUUGCUCUGAGGAACUGGUUCAUCGAAAAUAGGAGCAGAAUAGUCAUGGUUUGAUGAUUGGGAUGUACUCGGAGGCUUUACAUUCUCGAAGGUUUCUUGAGGUUUGUAGACAUCACCACUGAGGAAGUCCAUAGCACCAGAAUCAACAUGUACUGGCCUCAUUGAAGAUGGUGGAGGAGGAAGAAUAGGGUUGAAAUUCCCUUGUCCAGUCCCUCGUGCACUUUCUCUUUUCGACCUGCAGAUAUGAGUUCAAUGAGUUCUAGCAAUCAAAGCCUUGGGAUUCAAUUGAAACGAGUAAGGGAUGAUGGACAUUACCUAUGAGCUAGCUGUAAAAAAUCAUCAUCUGACUCAUCAUCAUCGUCAUCAUGAUUGAUGCUAACAAGCGGUAUUGGAGUGGGAGCUGUUGCAGGAACAGAGUUUCCCUUUGCCUUAUCAUCAUGGUGCUGAAGAACGCGCUGCAGAUUGUCAUUCAGUGCCAACCCUUGACACAUAAGUUCCUCAUCUCUGGAAAAAGGAAGGAGCAUCUCUCUCAGUAUUAACAAAAUCUAUAAAAUGGAGGAGACAACAGGUGGAUGAGGGAGAAAACAAACAAAUCCUUACGAAGUAGUAUUCACAAGAGCCAUUACACGUCUUUGAUAAGUACGACAUUGCUCGACCAAGUCAACUAUAAGUUCUUCCUUCAAACCCUGUCACAGCAUUUAGAACAGAGAGUAUUAAAAAUCAGAUCAAACAACAAAGCCAUUAAACCUAAUCAUGUUACUAUUCUACCUCUGGAUGACUUGGAUCAAGAGCCCCAAGCAUGUCUGUCAAAACAUCAACUGAUCCCUGAGCGCUUUGAAUCUCUUCCAUGCUGAAAAUGUGAAGAUACUAAAGUCUAUAACACGGAAUACAAAAUAAUUGAACAGAAAGAGAACUUGGAACAGGAAAUCUACAAGAAGAGUAUACCUGAGUGCAGAAGCAUCAUCACUUUGCAGAGAGGCCUGAAUAGCAGCAUCUUCAUCUGAUGCAGUUGCCUGAGCAACAAUAGGCUGAGUCUGAGGUGGAGUAAAGAACGGUACACUGCUCUCGGUUCGAGGUGGGAAUUCAAUUCCAGCAGACUAAAGUGUUUUCAAGGCAAAAGGAUAAUCAAAACUCGGAGUCAUAAUAUUAAUAUAUACAUAAAAGGCUCGAGUACUAUACCCUGAGUUCAUUAUAGGCAUUGUAGUACUGAGGGAAUCUUCCGCCGCUUCCACCAAAAGCUUCUUGCCAUGUAUCUAAUAAACUAAGUAUCUUCUCCCUCACAGUCAGGUCUGGCUGUAUAAAUUUGAUAAAUUUCCAGGUUAAGCAGAUUGGAUAACAGAAUUGAAAUAUAACAAGCAGGUAAGAGAAUGGUAAACAAAAACCUUCUUCUUCACUAUUUUGACCAUAUCAGGUAAAAUAUCUCGGUCAACAAUGAGCUGGUACACACUCUCGCCACAAUUCUUACUCAAAGUUUCCAAAGCCUGAACCAAUCCCCCAAAGAAGAUCAAUACAAUAAAGAGAAUCCAACCAAAGCAUUGUAUGAGUAAAAAGGUAAACACUCACAUAAAGAGCAAGAAUCUGGACUUUAGAAUUUUUACUUCCUAACCGUUUCUUGAGCACCUUCACUGCUUCUUUUGCUUGACUAGAGAAACAAAACAAGGUCAAAACUUUAAGCAUCCUAGGCUCCUAGCCUAGACUCAAUCAAAUAUCAGUAGAUCUCUAUAGUCAUUAAAACGACUUACCUUGGUUCCAUGUUGAUAAUGUCACACAGUUCAAUGUUGAUAGCCCAAUCUGGACCGAUCAGCAUAUCGUUUGUAGCCCUCUCAGCACAAGCAGCCGCAUUAUUCGCCAUCGCAAGAUUGCUUUUUCAAUCAAAUCCUAAAGUUCCAAGUUUCCUAAUGAACACAGGUUCAAAAACCAUUAACAUAAUCUCUUAAUUCCAGAUAUAACAUGCAAGUUAAAGAUCAAACACUUUAUCAAUAUCACUGUGAUCAGACUCUGAAAACAAACAAAGGCUAUCACAAUUCACAAACCAGCUUGUAAAUUAGACCAGAUCACGAAGCCAGAAGCAUUCAAUUAUACAACAGACUCUUAAAAGAAGGCAAUUCAAUAGAUACACAGGACAGAUUAAGCCAUCAAAUAACCAAAUCCAAAUUCAAGGACAAAACAUAAAUAAGAAAGUAUGAAUCAAAGUAUUGGCAAGAGUUUCAAAUUAAACCCAUAAUGUGUCUACAUCUGGAAAACAAGGAAGAAGAGAACACAACAUAAACAGAAAUCAUAAUUGAACUAAAACAAAGGCAAAGACCUUUACCUGACUAUAGACUCUAAACUUGAGAACAGAUGAUGAAAGACGAAGCGAAAAUUUAUGCGUGUGAAGAUCCAAAAGUUGAAACAAUUAUAAGGGUUCUCAGAAAAAUCUAAACUUGUAAUCGAACACGAUCGGAGUUUUGUGUCAGGUCAUCAUCAGCCUUAGCCGUCCAUAAAAUCAACUGCGACUUCUUUGUUCUAUUAUUUUUGCAAGACAAUGCAAAAGUUUUGUGCUUUGGCUUUUGUCUCUCUAUAUGAUAAAGUAACAGUCGGUGACGCAAAUUAAAAUAAGAAUCUUAAUUAUUCUUUUCGUUAACAUUAGUGGAAUAUAAUAAGUUUAGGUCGUAAGUAAUGAUCAUUAGCCAAUAGCAACUGUAUACCAAGAAAUUUCCCAAAUCGCUUUCAUUGUUGACUUUUCUUAUCGCAAACCACGGUAAACGCGUUUCCCAAACGCAGGAAAUGAAGACGCGCGUUUGGAUGGAACAACAACUCCAAAACAAAUAUUCUGUCUCAUAAGUCCACAAUGGGACCACUCUCGUACCAAUUCUUUCACAGCAGCUUUCUCUUUGAACAAAAACAUGACACUCCUUUUAAGGCAAAGAUUGUUAUUAUUGGUUUUAGGCUUUUGAUAACUAAAGGUAAAAAAAAAAUCAAGUAGAUUCUAAACACUAAACACCACUGUACAUUAGAAUUCAAAAUCCAAGAGUUGUGAGAGACUAAUCAGUGCACAACUGCACAUUAAUCUCUAUUUACAUAACUUAAAACCAUAUCCAAAAGGAUACUUAGGCUUUUGCAGAAGCAAAAAUUUAUCGGAAAAGUGAUCAUCUUUGUGUCCGUUCUCUGAGCUGUUCCUCCUGAAGAUUAGACUGCAAACACUGACUCGAGUGUAUGCGUUUAUCAAGCUCUGCUUCUUAAGCCAAUAAAUCUUUGUUUCAGAUACUGAGGAAUUAGUUUCUUGAAUGUAAGAAAAGAGAAGCAGCUACUUUUUUCAUCCCUGCAAAAUACAGCAGACAGUUUCAAACAUCAAACCUCGAGAGUUUCAAUAAAUGGCAACAAGAUUUGCAUAAUGAGACUAGGAAUCAUUCAGAUAGAUAUUCUUGAAUCAAAACUUCACUAAAAUUGUAGUCUAGACAGUUUCAUUUCUAACGGGGAAGAUAAAGAGCUUCACUCACACCAUUCACACUCUUUCAAAAGGUCAUCAACUAGACAACAACAUUUUCAUACAACCAACAAGAUAGUAAAAGACUCACGUGAUGAAAAAACACAAUGAAAAAGUGGAAACAAUCAAAAGUCAGCUUUUUCUUUUCUUGGCAAACAAAAACUUUCAUCAAAUCUUAUUAGCAAAGCAAAUCCAAGUAGUAUUGCGUAAGUAAGAUAUGAAAGAUGAAAACUUUGAUUCUUCAGUUUGAAAACAUACCUUAAGCUGCUUCGGCUCCUAAUACUGUUGUUGCUACUGCUACUACCACUCCUCUUUGUGCUCGAUUCAGACAUUCUAUUCCACCAUUCUUUAUCCUCUACUUUCACAGUCUCCUCAGAGAUCGAAGGUCUCGGUGAAACCUUACAAGCCUCAUCCUUUUUCUUCUUCUUCUUCUUCUUAGUCGUAUCCUUCAUAGCUCCUAAACUAACCAGAAACAUAAUUUUGAGAAGAAACCCACUAUUAUUUCCUCCUCCACUCCUAUUCGGAUCAACCCGUUUAUCACUCUUCGUCUUCCUCACAACUUUACUCUGCCUAUUUGCUCUCUUAGGCAAUUCAUCGAACACCUUCCGUUCAUUCUCUUGAUUCACCUUAACUUCAACAAGAUCCUUCAAUGAAAGCUCGUAACACGACUCAGGCAUCUUACUAACCAUUUCCAUAAGCUCCCGUUGACCACGAGCAAUAGCCUGUGCUUUAGAAUCCGGCGAAAGACUCCAGUAAUCUUCCGGCCGGUGAAAAGGAGGAGGACUCUUCGGGGGACUGGUUCUCCACAAAGUAGGCGAACAGACACCGGAAUCUGAGUGAUCAUCAUUGGGAAUACUCGGAAAACACAAAUGGGUAUUGAAGGAUUUAGCAGAAGAAGGAUCUAACAUCGUCGAUGAAUUUGCAAGACUGGAUUUUUAAAAACUCAAGUUUUAUUGAGAAACAAGUUUAUAACGAUUAACAAGGGAAACAAACAAAAAAGAUAUCUUGCUUGACCCGUUCUAUAAGGAUUAUUGUAUUACUAAGAGAAAUAAAGUUUCUUUUUUCUAUCUUUGCUAUUGGGGCUUUAAUUUAAAACGUCACGUUGUUCUCAGAGUGGUUAAAUAGUCCCUAUUUAAUAUGAGGACGUUGUUGUUGUUGCUGUCCAAUUUUGGGGUUUAAUUUAAUUUGCAGAUCGUAUUCGUACCGGAUUUGAGGAAGUGUUUACUUAAUGGAUUAGAGUUGUUAAAAGUCAAGUGCUUCUAGAUCAUCUUCCCAUAAAAAGUCAUCAACUCUUCUAGAGUAAUUGAUUAGUGUACUCGUCAAUUGUCAUUAAUUGAUGUUCGAGCAUGCUCACACUUAAACAGGUUAGAAGAGUAUAUUUUGUUUCACGAUUAUGGUAAAUUCUUAGUAUUACAAUUGGAUUGACAAUAAAUAGUUGUACAAUUGGUAAACUUUCAGGAGCGUUGUUGGCCUUUGUAAUGUUUUGAGUCUUUUAAUGUUUGUGAAAAGCAUAAUCGACGAUUAAGCGUGUUUUAGACUUUUAGUACUAGAAGAUGCGUGUUUCAUUACUUUAUUCCGUUGCAGAUUUCAAGGGAAUCUGAUAUACUAAUCAUUCAACGUGCUCCUCGUUUAUGGCCGUCUAUAGUUGUGAAAGAAAUAGAGAAUUGACUUUGGGAUGUUGUUCCAAAAUAAUGUUAUGAAAUUUAGUAGCGAGAGGCCCAAUAAAAUCUUAGAAAGGCCCAAAAAAAAAUGGGUUAGAUCCACUCGAAAGUGGAGAGCCUUAAGGUCAGGACCCGAAGGUCAACCCCGUCUCUGUCAGAGGAGAUGCCAACCAUCUCUCCUUUCUAUGAACACAAUCGAAUCCACUAGUCUUUCUAUAUAUAUACACAAACCAAAAACUACCAAAGUUCCGAUGCGGUAUUAUUUAUAUGAGUUUGCAAGAAAAAUUCCACUACUCAUGCCACUUUUAAGAUUUCUUUUCUGUGUCGUUAAUUUUGGACACGUGAAUAUAUUAUAGUAGGAAAAAAUCAUAUCAUAUAAAUGAAAAUAUAAUAGAUAAUCUAGCAUUAAAGUUUUUUAGAUAUUGAUGAAUUUUUUAUAAUUAGUAUACCACCACUUUUAAUAUAUUUGUCUAAAUAUCAAUCAUUUAGUUAGUUUAAAUAUGAAAAAAACUUUCACAAAUUAAAAUAUGGCCAAGAAAUGAUAGAGUUCCACGCGUCAACUCUUUUCUAUUUUUACAUUAUGCUUUUAAAUGGAUGAGCAGUAUAAAUAAUACAUGUACAUCUUAAAUCUUAAUCAAUCAAUAAUACAACCUAUAGUAUUUACUUUUAAAAAAUAAAAAAUACAAGAAGUAGAGAAAACAAAAUGAGGAUGAAGAAGAUCAUGAGUGUGGUGUGGAUCACGAUGCUACUAAUGGCGUUAUUUACGAUGGGAGGCGAAGCAAAGUCGGACAAAGAGUGCCAAGUGUUGUGCCAUAAGCACUGUCUACCCACUUCCUUUGUUGCAGAGUGUCUCAAAUGUCUUGGAAUAUGCGGGAGGACUCCACCGGUUGCAGUUGGAACCAUGAAUUCUGGUGAACACAAAUAACAAAAAUAUGAUUUUUAUCUUAUAAUAUAGGGCGAGACAUGUCUAGGCUUCCUUAUAUUGUUAUCUUUAUCCUAAAAUUCUUAUAAUUCAAUAUUCCCAUUUAACCAUUUCAAUAAGAUAUCGACUCCUAAAUUUCAAACAUUCGUGCGUACUUAAAUCGGUGAUAAAACAUUUUUAGAUUAUAUAACUUGAACACUUUGGAACAUAAUUAUUUUAGUUAGCUAUGAUGUCAUUGAUUUCGACUCAGAUAUGAAGUGUUGAACAUUAAGUUAGACUGAAAAAGUGUUUAAUACAAUGGUACAAUUAGAUGUAAUGGCAUGGAACUGGAUGGUAAAAUAGUUUUGCUACAAAUGAGCAAGAAUUUGAGGUAAUUGGUUUGUUCAACAAAUUGAACAAUUGUGUGGUAUACUAGUAUGUCAUUAAAUAAUGUGGAAUUUGCUCAAAGGAGAGCAUAUCACACACACUAGUUGAUUAAGAGAUGCUUCCACAGAAUCAACGACAAUCUGAAGUCAGUAACUCUGUUCCCACAUUUUUAGAUACGAAACACACAAUCUUUAACAAACCCCCUACUAGUGAUGAUGUUAGUCCAAGCCAUACAUGAUACAUACCAGUUUAGGUCCAAGAAAGCUUUACUGUUAGGUUAGAUGUUACAUACCAAUGAAUCUUUAAAUACCAAUUCCACCAUCAUCAAAUCGUUUAUGGUGAUUGUUGUGUAACUUUCAACUACACUAUAAAUGGAAAAAUGUUUUCUCGUGGUAUCAAUAAAAAAGCUUUUUUUUUUCUUUGUUUUUCACGGACGUCAUGGAAAAUUCAAAGAAAGAUAUAAAUGACACGCAAGUAGGUGACUUUACAAUUUUGCUAUCGUUGGAUAAAGAUCAAAAUUCAAUAAAAAGCACAAGUACAGUUUGGUUUGGUUGUUGAAAAAAUCUUUAAAUGAUUUGCUAAUGUAGGUGUUACAACUUCUGUCAAUAUUUCAUUUUGAUUUUUUUAAUUUUUCAAUAGUAUUUGUCCACUAUAAUUAGUGUAAAAACUAAAAAUCCCAAAAAGAGAGGAAGAUAAAUAAUCAUUUUAAGAAAAGAAAAAGAAGUUGGAGAUGGAUACGGAUGACAUGUCAAGUCCGACAAGGAAAUACAUGCACUUGUCGUCCUUCUAAUCCUUUGCCCUUAAACAUCGUUAAAAACGACAACUUCUCUCUUCUUCUUCUCUACUCUUCUCCAUUUUCUUCUCUUCUUCUCUUCUUUGUCCAUUUUUUGACAGAUAUGGCGAUCUGGUUUGCUAGAUCCAAAACCCUUGUUUCUAGCUUGAGACAUAAUCUAAAUUUGUCGACAAUUCUCAUAAAACGUGAUUACUCUCAUCGUCCCAUCUUCUAUACAACUUCUCAGUUAUCUUCAACGGCGUAUUUGAGUCCCUUCGGUAGCCUCCGUCAUGAGUCUACGGCCGUGGAGACACAGGCUGAUCAUUUGGUUCAGCAGAUUGAUGAAGUCGAUGCCCAGGUAUAUUUAUUAGCCUUUUAUUUUUUUUAAUAAUCCUACUUUACCACGUGAUUAUAGUUGUUAUUUUAAAUUGGGAUUAGUUCAUAAAGAUAAGCUGUGAAUCACGCACGAGUCUUUUAAUUGUGUAAAGAAAGAAAUAAUUAGUUCUUCUGAAAGCAGAUGCUUCGGUUUAAAGGCGUUUCAAUCCGGUUAAUCAUUCCCAAUUUUGGAUUUCUUGGUUUAUAAGCUAAAUUUAAACCAAAUUUAGGUGAAACUGGUUGCCUAGGAUCAAAAAUUCUUGCAAUGAGUCUCAAAAACUCGAACGUAGAAAAGAUAUUAAAGAUUGAAGAUUAUUCAGUCUUAGAAAGUUAGAAUUAUUCAAAUUUACUUGGUGUGUUGGUUUUGAUCCGGUAUGGGAUGAUCGCAUAGUACAACAACAACAACAGUUCACAUCCGCACAAGUCAUGGUAAAGGUAGGGACCACGUCGCAUGAGAAGUAAAAGUGGGGACCUCAAGUUACACGUAUGAAUAAUACUAAAUCAAGUGCUAUAUGGGUCCCACUUGUGUAGUUGAUUUGAGUACGUGUACGUCUCAUUCAUUAGUCAAUAGUCACUGCAGUCUGAAUCUUCCAAAAAACAGACACUAAAUUUCACUAUGAUCCCUGUAAUUAUUAAACUUUCAUAUAUGCUCCCAAUAUGAUUAGUUCUUAACACAUUAAACCUAAUUGAAAAUUUUCCAGGAACUGGAUUUCCCAGGAGGCAAAGUCGGUUACACAUCGGAGAUGAAAUUCAUACCGGAAUCAUCUUCAAGGAGGAUUCCAUGUUACCGGGUUCUUGACGAAGACGGACGAAUCAUCCCCGAUAGCGAUUUUAUUCCGGUACAGAAAUUUCGAGAAUGUAUAUCAAAAUUGAUAUGAGUUUGGUUUAGUUCUAACCGAUAAUAAUUUAUGACUGGGAAGGUGAGUGAGAAACUCGCUGUUAGAAUGUACGAACAAAUGGCGACGCUACAAGUAAUGGAUCACAUCUUCUACGAAGCUCAACGUCAAGGAAGAAUAUCUUUUUAUCUUACUUCCGUCGGAGAAGAAGCCAUUAACAUCGCUUCAGCAGCUGCUCUCAGUCCUGACGACGUCGUUUUACCUCAGGUAAACCGUUGCGUUCACCUCCACUAAUCUCAUUUGCUUCUGUUUGAUUGAACCGGGAAGUUCAAUGUUUGGUACAGUACCGAGAACCUGGAGUUCUUUUGUGGCGUGGCUUCACGUUGGAGGAGUUUGCUAAUCAGUGUUUUGGGAACAAAGCUGAUUAUGGCAAAGGCAGACAAAUGCCAAUUCAUUACGGUUCCAAUCGUCUUAAUUACUUCACUAUCUCCUCUCCAAUUGCGUAAGAAUCUCUGAACAUUAACCAUUUUGAUUGUUCUUUUGUUUACAUGUUUUUGCUGAAUCUGUUUUCUGAUGUUGAUUCUUCAGCACGCAACUUCCUCAAGCUGCUGGAGUUGGUUAUUCUUUGAAAAUGGACAAGAAGAAUGCUUGUACUGUUACAUUCAUCGGAGAUGGUGGCACAAGCGAGGUUUAUAAUCUUUAUUAAUUCUCAUUUCUUUCCAUAAGAAUCAACAUUUCAAGAAUUGAAAUUUAUUUAGUCUUUUGGGGUUUGGUUGUUUGGGACUAGGGAGAUUUUCACGCCGGAUUGAAUUUUGCGGCCGUAAUGGAAGCUCCGGUUGUGUUUAUAUGUCGGAACAACGGUUGGGCGAUUAGUACUCAUAUCUCAGAACAGUUUAGAAGUAUGAAACUAACUUAACUUCCUCUGUUUUUCAUUACAAAUUAGACCAAAACAAAUCCUCUGUUUUAAUGUGAGCUUAUGUGGUUUGAUUACAGGUGAUGGAAUAGUUGUGAAAGGUCAAGCUUACGGUAUCCGAAGCAUCCGUGUGGACGGUAACGAUGCACUUGCGGUUUAUAGUGCUGUACGCUCAGCUCGAGAAAUGGCUGUAACAGAACAAAGACCUGUUCUCAUUGAGGUAAAAAAAUCACACUAGAGAUUUAUCUCAAAGUUUACAACUCUUGAAUUUGGUGAAAUAAGAUUGUUGUUGCUUUUGUUUUGCGGCAGAUGAUGACAUAUAGAGUAGGACAUCAUUCUACAUCAGAUGAUUCAACUAAGUACAGGGCGGCGGAUGAAAUCCAGUACUGGAAAAUGUCGAGAAACCCUGUGAAUAGAUUUCGGAAAUGGGUCGAAGAUAACGGAUGGUGGAGUGAGGAAGAUGAAUCCAAGCUAAGAUCUAACGCAAGAAAACAGGUAGAGAUUCUGAAAACCGCUACGUUAUAUUGAUGUUGAGAUUGAAAUUAUUUUAACCGUUUUAAUCGGUUGUGUGUGUUUUGUAGCUUCUGCAAGCGAUUCAGGCUGCGGAGAAGUGGGAGAAACAACCAUUGACAGAGUUGUUUAACGAUGUAUAUGAUGUUAAACCGAAGAACCUAGAAGAGCAAGAACUUGGUUUGAAGGAAUUAGUAAAGAAACAACCUCAAGAUUAUCCUCCUGGCUUUCAUGUUUGAAUCUAGAGGAACUGUGUGGUUAAAAUACCUCAUAUAGUAUCAUGUCCAUAUCGACUUCUCAUUGCAGACUAUUUAUAUUGUCCACGUAUCGAAUAGUAAUCAAGUAUCAAUGUAGAGACCAGCAUUUGGAGCAUCAUGAAAUGGCCUUGAGAAUGUUAUUUUCAUGGUCCGGCUGACCCUUAACCGGUUCAAACUGGAGUAAAUGAGUGAAUGUUAAUGCUCGAGAAUGGGUGAGGCUCCGUUAAUCGUUAAGAAAAAAACGUGCCUACCUAGCCAAAUGACAUCUUCCUCUUUUGUGUUUAGCACAAGUGAAUGAUCCAAAUAUCAUCUACCUAAUAUGACCCAUAAAAUAGUAUGUGAUUGUCUUUGGAUGUUAUCCCAUAACAUAACUUAAAUUUGGGAUGCAUGCAUAUAUUAUAUACUUCAUAUAAAAUGAGUGGACCUCAUAAGUUGCGGUUUCGAUUUUUAUCAAAAACAACAGUUGUCCACUUUUUGAUUUUGACACACCCACAUUCAAGCAUCUCCUUUCUUCUAUAUUAUUACUCAAAGAAUAACACCCCCUAAGGAUAACACCAUUACACAAAUCAAUUCUCAGUUAAUCAUUUGUUUCAAUAUAUGUUAGUACUUAAGAAAUAUUCGAAUAGUUUUACGUAUUCAAAUUUUAUAAAUUCAAUGAAUGUUUAAUUACCAAGUCAUUUUGGCUUGGAAUCUAUUCAAUUAUUCAAAAAAAUAAAUAAAAAAUACUGCAUUUUAACGUAUCAGCCAGUCAAUAUAUUACACGUGUCAUAAAGCAUUACCCACACGUUUCUCCUGCCUCUUUCCCUUUCAUUUUUUUUUUUCAUUUUUUUUGUUUCUUCUCUUGUUGUUGUUAUCUUCUUCUAGCUAGCUCUGUGAAACACUUCAAAUGAACAAAUAUAUCAAAUAAUAAUAGUGUAAUUAAGUCGGAGGAAAACAACAAGAACCCAGAAAGAGGAACGAAGAAACUAAUUCAAAGGUAUGAUCUUUUAUUCUUUGAGAGAAUUAUGUUUUCUUUGUAGCAAAUCCUCUGGUCUUACGUUUAGUCACUGAAUUUGUUCCACUUCUGGAAAAAUCUAGACACCAGAGCAAUCUAUGAACUUUAAUUUCCAAUCACUACCGUCUUUUGAGGUUGUAAAAUCGGUAAAUGGCAGAUUUUUCACUCUCAUUCCUUUGUGGUGAUAGGAUCAAGUUCACCGCUUCAUUUUAGUCAUUAAACAAAGAUGGUGAUGGGAGGAGAAGCAUCCAUGGAACUGGACCAGUGUUUUCAGAAGAUGAAGAUGGAAGGAAUCUCGAUCAAAGAGUGGAAAGAUAUCCCUGUGGAGCUUCUGAUGAGGAUCCUUUCCCUUGUUGAUGAUCGUAAUGUCAUUGUUGCUUCUGGUGUUUGCACUGGCUGGAGAGAUGCUAUCUCUUUUGGCCUCACUCGUCUCCGUCUAUCUUGGUAAGAAUUUCUAUCUAACUUAUAAACCCUUUUUGUAUUUAGGACUCUUCUCUGUGUUGGUGUUUUGGAUUUGAAGUAGGAGUUGAGUUUCUAGAGUCUUUAUUGUAUCUUGUGCUUAGGGUCAUGUUGAUUUAUUGUCUAUUUGUGUAAGAUCAGAUCUUUUUUUGUUGCUUUUGUUUUGAGGAACAUUUUAGCAGUCUAUAUAUGAUUGAUUUGGCUAGAUUGAAGAAAGUGAAAAAGCUGUUUAAAUUUUUGAUGGAACUCUUUUAAGAUGAUAGAUCAGUUUUCAAUAGGAGGUGAAACCAAGUUCUUUAAUCCAGAAGAGUGGUCUGAAGAUGACUCUUAAAUCUUUGAACCACUAGAAGCUUGUUCUUGUCACUUCCAGUGUAUUCAGAUUGAUCUCUGUCUACUACACUCUUUGAUGUUGUUUCUUAUUUUUAUACUAGGUGCAACAACAACAUGAACAGCUUGUUCUUGUCACUUCCAGUGUAUUCAGAUUGAUCUCUGUCUACUACACUCUUUGAUGUUGUUUCUUAUUUUUAUACUAGGUGCAACAACAACAUGAACAGCUUGGUUCUUUCUCUUGUUCCCAAGUUUGUAAAGCUGCAGACUUUAAAUCUAAGGCAGGACAAACCGCAACUAGAGGACAAUGCAGUGGAGGCCAUAGCAAAUCACUGCCAUGAGUUACAAGAACUUGAUCUCAGCAAAAGCUUGAAAAUUACAGACCGUUCACUUUAUGCACUUGCUCAUGGUUGCCCAGACCUCACAAAACUCAACCUUAGUGGCUGCACUUCAUUCAGCGACACUGCUAUUGCGUAUUUGACCAGAUUCUGCAGAAAGCUUAAAGUUUUGAAUCUUUGCGGAUGUGUCAAAGCUGUAACUGACAAUGCCUUGGAGGUGAAUCUUUGUUUUUCUUUAAUGUUCUCUCCCAAACUUGGUUUUACUCCUUUGGUCAUAAGUGUGGCAGAGUUGAUAGAAUUUGUUCAUGUUGUUGUGUGCAGGCUAUUGGGAAUAACUGCAAUCAGAUGCAGUCACUAAACUUGGGAUGGUGUGAGAAUAUCAGUGAUGAUGGGGUAAUGAGUUUAGCUUAUGGCUGUCCAGAUCUCAGGACCCUUGACCUCUGCGGCUGUGUUCUUAUUACAGGUACUUCACAUAGUUAAGCUUACUCGAAGCUAAGAUCAUUAGUUUUCCCUCUGCAGAGAACUAUCAUUGGAUAAACUGCAUUGAAAUAAACAAAACUAGUAGGUUGUUAUAGAUGGACUCCGAAAGCCAUUGAUCUUGAGACUCAAUUCGGUUUGUCUUGUACUAUUUCGCAGAUGAGAGUGUGGUAGCUCUAGCAGACUGGUGUGUCCACUUGAGGUCACUGGGGCUAUACUAUUGCAGAAACAUAACAGACAGAGCAAUGUACUCGCUAGCUCAAAGCGGGGUAAAGAACAAACCGGGAUCGUGGAAAUCGGUUAAGAAAGGUAAAUACGAUGAAGAAGGACUGAGAAGUCUCAACAUUAGCCAAUGCACUGCCCUUACACCUUCAGCGGUUCAAGCUGUUUGCGAUUCAUUUCCCGCACUUCACACAUGCUCAGGAAGGCAUUCGCUUGUCAUGAGCGGCUGUCUGAACUUAACAACUGUGCACUGUGCUUGUAUCCUUCAGGCUCAUCGUGCACACAAUGCGGUUCCUCAUCCUGCUCAUUAAGACAGAGGAAUAGUUAUGUUGUAUAUAUAAACAUCAUGUUGAUGGAGAUUAGUAUUAUAAACGAAGUAGCUUUUUUAAGGUUUAUGUGAAACCUUAGAAGCUUUUGAGUUGUUCUUUCUUUGUCUUGAAAGAUCUUUUGUAUAUUUUGGUGCUAUGUUCAUAACUUCUUUAGUAAGACCUCUCGUUGUUACCACUUUACUAUUGAAAGUAGAAUUCCUCUUACCAAAAAAGUCGUAGCUAAGAUUGUUAAAAUAUCCACAGGUUAUAUAAUCUUUGGCUUCGAAUGGAGAUGUUUGAUGAGGAUUGUACAAAAAUGGGCCUUUUCAAGUAUAAAAAUUAAAAAGAAAGGUCCUACCGGGAGUCGAACCCAGGUCGCUGGAUUCAAAGUCCAGAGUGCUAACCACUACACCAUAGAACCUUUUUGUUCAAGAUUUAAUAUUCAGGCUAUAUGUACCAAUAUUAUAACAUAGUUUUUUCACCCUCAAAGGCAAGAUCCGUCUUCCAUUUUUAGUCAAACUUCAGAGUCAGAGAACAAACUUUAAAUCAAAACAGAUCUUUUUUUUAGGUUAGUUGUCAAAAAAUUUAUUGAUAAGAAGAGGAUUUUAUUUUAUUUUUAAGACGAUUAUUUUUACUUUAAUAGACCUUCAAAAUAGCAUGAUAUUUAUUUUUAAGACGGUUAUUUUUUUUUUUUUGGGACAAGAAGCUGAUGUCUUAUUGAAAUUGAUGCUAUCUGAGAUUCUGAGCAAUAACUGUAAUUCAUAAAUGGGGUUUAUAUUAUGGGCCUACAUUUUGUCUUGCCCUCAAAAUUAAAGUGUAGUGUGAUGAGAAGUGACGUUAUGCUGAAAACAUCAUAAACGGUAUUUACGCGGCUCCAAUUUGAAGUUUUAGGUCGAAAUGAAGGAAUAGUUGUUGAGAUGAUUCACCUAAUAUAGUUUCUUAACACUUCACAGCUUCGUUUGUCAGUCUCAGAUUUCUAAUUUCGGACACAAACACAAAACGACAUUGAAGCAAUAUUAUGCCUUGUAUUAAUCAUAUCCCUACGACCCUACCAUAUCUAUGUGACUAUGUCGUGCUUCAUUUUUUCUUCCGUACUCGUAUAUACUCGUACGUAAGUACGGAAAGUGUUAUUUCGGAAAUUAAAUAUUAUGGAAAAGUUAAUUAAGAAGUUUUGAAUUAGAGUACUUAAGGAAAUCUUAUAAUGACAACCGUGUGUUGACUCAAUCUAAAGACUACUUUCACACAUAGCAGAUCACUUGCCAAAAUAGCAAAAUUGAUUACAAAUCUUCCAACAUAUCCUAUGAUUCACUACUUAGAGUAAUCAACUUAAAAUUAAACAAUUUAAUUACCUAAGAUUUUUAGUCAUAUAUAUAUGUGUUGACACUUGACAGAGUAAGUACAGCUCUGCAAUUGAGUUAAUAAAUUACACACUACAACACUGACAACAGCAACAACAACAAGAUGGAGAAAGAAAUCAAGAUUCUGGUUUUGAUUAUCGGUGCAGGACCAGCCGGUUUAGCAACAUCAGCUUGUCUUAACCGGUUGAACAUACCAAACAUAGUAGUGGAAAGAGAUGUUUGCAGUGCCUCUCUGUGGAAAAGAAGGUCUUACGAUCGUCUCAAGCUCCACCUCGCAAAGCAAUUCUGUCAACUCCCUCACAUGCCAUUCCCCUCAAACACUCCUACCUUCGUCUCCAAGCUAGGUUUCAUCAAUUACCUUGACGAAUACGCCACACGUUUCAACGUAAACCCUAGGUACAACCGGAACGUCAAAUCCGCGUACUUCAAAGAUGGUCAAUGGAUCGUGAAGGUGGUGAACAAAACCACGGCGUUGAUAGAAGUUUACUCGGCGAAGUUUAUGGUUGCUGCGACGGGAGAGAAUGGCGAAGGUGUGAUUCCAGAGAUUCCGGGGCUUGUAGAGAGCUUUCAAGGAAAGUAUUUGCACUCAAGUGAGUACAAGAACGGAGAGAAGUUCGCUGGAAAAGAUGUUUUGGUCGUCGGAUGUGGAAAUUCUGGCAUGGAGAUUGCUUAUGAUCUAUCUAAGUGCAACGCUAAUGUCUCCAUCGUUGUUCGUAGCCAGGUGAGUCUACAUUACAAAUGAACUUGGUUAUGAGUUGUAACAAUUAAUCCGAAUAACAAACAUUUUUAUCGUGUGUUUAAAUAUAGGUGCACGUGUUAACGAGAUGUAUCGUACGGAUAGGAAUGUCGUUGCUCAGGUUUUUCCCGGUAAAAUUAGUUGACCGUUUGUGUCUAUUACUAGCGGAGCUGAGGUUUCGGAAUACUUCGAGAUAUGGGCUUGUAAGACCCAAUAAUGGCCCAUUUCUGAACAAGCUAAUCACCGGCCGGUCAGCUACCAUUGACGUCGGCUGCGUCGGAGAGAUAAAGUCCGGCAAGAUUCAGGUUGUGACGUCGAUUAAGCGUAUAGAAGGGAAGACAGUAGAAUUCAUCGAUGGAAACACCAAAAAUGUGGACUCCAUUGUCUUCGCAACUGGUUACAAAAGCAGCGUUUCAAAAUGGCUUGAGGUAUUUUUGCAACUUCAGACACAAAAACAGAGAAAAGAAACUCUGUUCUUGGUUUUUAAUGGCUCUGAUGUGAUACACAGGUCGAUGAUGGAGAUCUGUUCAACGAGAAUGGGAUGCCGAAACGCGAGUUCCCGGAUCACUGGAAGGGGAAGAAUGGUUUGUAUAGUGCUGGCUUUGGGAAACAAGGCUUGGCUGGUAUUUCAAGAGAUGCUCGGAACAUUGCUAGAGACAUUGAUUCUCUGGUUUGUGGGAGAAGCAGCAAGAACAAGCUUUCCAAAUAAAUUAGAACUUUUUUUGAGUUUUUACAUGUCAAAACACACAAUUAUUGAAUAUUGAUACAAACAAGUGAAAAAAGAAGAUAACAUUAUUGAUGAUACAUUGCAAGAGCUUCGAUUGUGGACAGAGUAAUCAGAAUCUCAUUAUUUUGUUUCCCCUAGAGCGUUUCUGAGGUUAGAGUACUUGGUUUCGAGCUCAUACCAUGAAUCCAAGUUCACCAAACGGUUAAACUCUUCGAAAGUUAUCAUCUUUUCUAAGUGGUCUUUGGUGGUUCCUUUCUCCUUGAGAAUCUUAAGAACAUCGACAAGAGCUCGAGUCGACGCAUAGAGCGAGGUAAGUGGGUGUGCGAUCAAGUGAAAACCCAUUUCUUUAAGCUCAUCAGGCGUAUGCAAUGGCGUGCGUCCACCUUCAAGCAUGUUACACAGUCUGUAACCUUUUGUGCGCCUUCCGAUUUCCUUAAGCUCGUCAUCGUCCCUCGGUGCCUCAACAAAGGAAGCAUCAGCUCCUGCCUGCACAUUUUUCCAAUCUGUCUCUAUUACCCACCAUUAUGUCUUCUCAAAAGUUAAAGCUUUAAUAACACAACAUGAUUUAGUAGUAACCUCCAUAUAAAGAUUAGCACGGUCAAUGGCGUCUGAAAGUCCUGUUUUUGCGGAAAGUGCACGAGCAUCAGUCCUAGCGAUUAGAAAAAAGUCAGCAUCUCCAAUAGCGUCUCUUGCUGAUGCUAUUUUAGCAGCGUGUUCCUCCGCAGGUAUGACCUGUUUCCAAAUUAGAAAAAUAAUAAUCAUCUGCACUCAUGGACUAUAAAGUAAUAAGUUUCAAUGUAUAGAUUUUGGUAGCAAACGAUGAGGGAAUGGUACCAAUACCUCUUUGCCACGCAUAUGUCCUACACAAAUGACAAAUUGAGAGAGCAAACGAGUUAAAACCAUUAUUGGACAUUUUGACAAUAGCUUAUAGGUUUGCAGAGGAUGAAACAGAAAAAUAACGUCUCUUACCACACCUCUUUGGCCAUGCCUGGUCCUGCAAGAAACCCGAAAUUAGAUGAGUACAAGUCAGGAUGAAGAAACUGUUUUUGUAGUUACUCUAAUGAACACAACAAGUCAACAACUAAGAUAGCACAAGAAAGAAAGAUUAACACAACACUAUGAGUGAUUAAAUCUAACACACAUGAAAAUACAUUAAAAAAAGUAGAGACUAGUAGUUUACCUCAAGGAAGCAACCAGCAGCACCUGCUGCGAUUAAGUCCUUGACGGUUCUUUGAACAUUGAGAGCAUUUCCUCCACCAGUAUCUGAACAUUAAUGUCAAAGAAUAUAUCUUUUGAACAGAACAGAACAGAACAAACUUCUGAUAUUUUCCAAAUCACUUCAAGAUAUUGAAAAAUGAAAAUUGCAAUUAUCUCUACGCAAAUAGAGAUCAAAGUAAUCAACUAUGGUUAAAGUCAUUUAGAGCAGCAAGAGAAGAGUGUUUGAGAUUGUGUUCUUGCCUGCAUCUGCAAUGAUUGGAAUCUUUGGAGCCGCAGCACACACUGAUCUCGCCGUUGCUGCCAUCUCCGGAGGUCUAAAACGACAAAGCAAAACGAAUAAAACGACAGAAGAUAAAGUUUCUACUAAAGAAGACCAAAAAAAAAAAAGGCGCACGUUAUCAAACCGAAAUCUGGUUUUCCCAAAGUUACGGCGGAGAGGGCGUAACCGGAGAUUAAUGCGGCGGAGAAUCCGGUCUGCUGCACAAUAGCCGCAGAUAAUGCGUCGUAGACUCCGGGAAUAAGCACAGCACCUUGCUCUUCAAUCAGACGGUGAACACGUGACUGCAUUCUCACCGUCGGAUAAACCGAUCUGACGCCGCGAGGGUUUUGCCCUAUUUUAGCUGAAAUUGUAGGGUUUGAGCUAAAGAGUGAAGUGGAUUUGGCCGCCAUUAACAUCGACAUUCUCGAAGCUCUGAAGAUAGUACAGAACCGUUGGAGAGUGAAGAAGACAAGAGAUCAGUAUAUAUCAAUCGUAAUAAAUAAGAAGAAGAGAAAGUUUACUUUAAUUCAACGAUAUCCACGUGUCAUAUGAUUAUUAGCUAUUAAUUGUACUGAGGCUCUUAAUCCAUAAUUUAAACGAAUCGUGUUGAUAUGAAAGUUAUAAAGAAAAACCAUUGUUGCAAGGAGAGACUAUGGUUAGGUACGCACGUUUAUUGGGGUUAGUUAUGGUCGUGGAGUUAUGCGUUCAUCAAUUCUACUUCCCUAACUUCGUUUGUGAUUCAAUUCAACCUCAUUAUACUUUAAAGAAGAGUUUGGUAAGUAUGUUCCUAAACUGAUCAAGGGAUUUAGACCGAGAUCCCUUGUGUGGAGUUGAUGUAGGACAGACUUGUUCGUGAAACUGAUAUCCUCUCUUACUCCCUUUUAUUAGGUGUGUGUAUUAGCCAUGUUAAGCUUACCUUGACGUAUAUAAUUCCUUUUGUAUAGGAAAAAAGAUUAUAAACAAAAUUAUGGUCAAUUUCAAUAUACUUAUACAAUGCAUAUCAACCAAAAAUAUCAUUAUAUUCAGAAAUUUCGCAUUUACUUUCGUCUUUAUCAACUUUAAUUUGUAUUUUCAGUUUUGUAUUAUAACCCAUAUAUUAUUUUCUUAUAGAAACCUACUAUAUUUUAAAUCUAUCGUUUCUCUACAAACUUGGGUUAAAAGUGAUGAAUCAUGAUUAUUUUUACCAAACUUGGGUUAAAACUCAUGAAUCAUGAUUAUUAAUUAUAUAUUUACUUUCAGUUAAAAGUGAAGUAGAUAACCAUUUAGACAAUUAAUUUUGGUUGAUAAAAAAAAUAUAUGCAAUAUAAAUCACAUAUAUACUCAAAGAGUUUUCUCUACAUUUAAGGUGUCUAGCCAUGAAAGUUUUUUUUACAUCAAAAGAUAUUAAAAAUAUUUAUUUAAUCUAAAUCUAUUAUAUUUAUUGUUACUUAUAAUAAAUGUAAAUAAAUUAAAGGUUUAUAUUGCAUAUUAUUUUUGACUUUAUAGUAGCCCUGAAAGUUCGGUCAGAACCGAUUAAACAGAACCGAUUAAACCGAACCGAUCAAAUCUUAUCAAGUGGUACAUAAAGUAUUUUAGAUCGUCUACUUGUCACAUAAUCAUUCUUGGUCUUUGAGGAAGCAAGACAACCAUGAAGAGGAAUGGUCUUGAUACCAAAAAAAAAGAAUAAGAUAAUGAACGGUUUAAGGUAAAUAUGAUAGUCCACAUAAACAAUUGCAUUAAUCAAAUAGUAUAAUCAAAUGAUAAUCUGAUGAAAUUUUUCAAAGAAUUGAUGAUUAAUGCUAGUAUUACUUGUGAACAUAAAUUGCUCAAACAAUUCAAUGACUUGCAAGACUAAACACAAUAAUAUUCACAUGUUUUUUUUUUUUUACAUCUCAUGAUUGAUAGAUUUAUUAAUUUGUUUUUAUUUUAAUAUAUUGUUAAAUAUGUUAUUUAAAUGUUUGCCAUGCAAUUUCUUUAUCAAAAUAUUACUUUUUAAAUCUAUGUUGAUUUUUUUGUUGAUCUGCUAGCUUAUGUAAUGUAUCUUGUUUUUAAGUUGAUUAUUGUUAGUGAAUUCAUGAUAAUGUAAAAUCUUAAAUACAGUUUAUCUUCCAUAAUUUAAAAGAGAGUCUAUGUACUUAUGUGGAAAUCCCAUAAUUUUCCUCAACUAUUUUACUUUUUCUUUUUUAAUUCUAGUAUCUCUAUCACCAAACACUUUUGUUUCUAAAUAUUUAUCUUUAUUUUUUUAAAAUCAAUUGUCAAACACACAUAAAAGGUUUUCAAUAUAUAAAGUUACGAAUUUUAAAUAUCCGAAUUUUUCUUACCAAAUUUGUAUAUUUUCGAAUUUCUUUUUUAGACAAAUUUUUCCUUCAAUUAAAAACUACAAACCGGCCGGUACAAUUGUUCUAAGAGCAAACUUUGCAAUCUCAUCAGCCUCACGAUUGUGGCUUCGAGAAAUGAAAGAAAAGCUAGAGAAUUGAAAUUUAGAAGAUAGAAUCAGGAUAUUUCGAAUUUCUAUUAUACUAAAAUGCAUUGUUUUGUUAUAAUUGAAAAUAAAAAUAAAAAUAGUAAAUCACUAAAUAAUAUGAAUAAAAAUCGUUCCACUAUUUUUCUUGCCAUUGCCAUUUACAUAAAUUGAUAGAAAAAUGAUAAACAAAUAUCUAAAAUGAUAAAAAUCGUUCCACUAAUCAAGGAUUUUCCAUCAAAGUUUUACUUUAAACCUUGCUUCUUUAUAUAUUUGCUUCUUUAUUUAAAGUUUGUAUAUUUGCAUCUACAAACCAGCUCAACCCAAUUUCAAUUAUGGGCUUGAUUUUUACACACAGGUUACGACAUCUUGUCUUCAAUUUCUCUGUCUCGGCUUCGUCGGGCCCAAAAGCUCUUUGAUUUGUAGAAACGUGGAGUUGUUUGUUUUUCUCUAUAGAGUAUAGACUACGACUUUAAUAUCCUGAUUAAUACUCUACUUGUAUUCUUUUUGUUGGUAACUUUUCUUUACAAAUUCCACUGAUCAUCAUUCAAGGAUUUCCUUCUUCUUUUAGUUACUUUCAACUCUAAUAACUUUUACUUCUUCUUUUUUUAUUCCCUGUCCUAAGAUAUAUUCCCAUCCGUGAUACCUUGAGAGUUAAGACGAAACAAUACUAGUAGAAUAAAUUAGAUCAUAGAAGAAAUCUAUGUAGACAACACGGGGAUUUCAAUCUUUUGUUUUUAAAUUAAGUUAUCUAGUGCAAUAUUAGUGAAAUAUAGAUUUUGUCCUUAAGACAUUUUAUCCUUAUAUGAAUAUUAAUAUUUGAUACUAAUAAGUAAUGACUAAAUUAUUAGAGCUUUUGAAAUCAUGGGACAUGCUGUCGGAGACUAAUAAAUAUGAAUCCAAAACAAAAUUCCAUGGCGCAGCCGGAUUUUGCAUGCGUUUAGAACCAAACAUCCCACUUCCUAGUGAAAAUCUUUUCUUAAUUCAUAAAUCAUGGAGAAGUAACUGUAAUUUACAUAUGUACCCGUAAGCAUAUAUAUAUGAUCAGCAAUUUGACUCGUAUAAAUUUUCAGAGUUCAUAUUUAUGAGGUUAGAGAAUUGCAUUUGUACCAAAACAAAAACGAAAAUGUAAUCUCAGAAAAACGUAAUUGCAUUUUUAACAAGCUUUCAUUUCAAAUAAUCUUGAAUUCCAAAGAAGGCUGUUGUUCUGCAGAACAUUAUUCUAUUCACACUUUAAUAAUUCGUCAAAAGAACAAAAGAAACAACAACCAACUAGCUAGUAACAUCAUUUGUUUAAAGAAACUUCCAUUUGAAUUCCAAUAUGGUAACAUUAUAGCAUACGAAAGCACCUUAGUCAAUGAGAUUUGCACUUUUCCUUUGGAAAAUUAAGUUCUGUAUAAUGGUUGAAUAUAUAAUAUUGUGCGUGGGAUAAUCCAUAUGUGUACUACAAAUAAAAUGAAAAUUGUAUUGUAACAAAUAAAAUCAGAAGUUACGUAGUGGAUAAGAUUGAGAAAGAGAAGAAGUCCUAUGUGGGUAUUGCGAGGAUAAGGUUGAUAAAGACUCUGCGUCAAAUGUUUAGUAUCCUCAUUCUUCAUCAUAUUUUAAAUAAAAUACAAAAAAAUUCUUAAAUAAAAUAAACAAAUUGAGAUUAGAUUCUUUACAUAUUGCUUAAUGAUCAUUACUUAUGCGGUAAACAAUCAUUUUAUUUGGAGACUUUAUAUGUCCCACUAAACUUCGGAAACUUGUAAUUAUAAAUUAUCGCCCAAUAGUGUGUAACUCACUAACUUAAGCUAUUGCUAAAUAACAUAUUUUAAAGAUAUUCAAGUUAGGAUCAGUGUUUAACGUAGAAUUGCUGUUGUGGAUUCACAGUUGAAUAAGAAUUGUAAUCAAUCUAAUUAAACCGGACCUAAUAAACAAAUGAUGUUAAGAAAUAAAAAAAAAUUGUCGAUUUUUAUGAAUCAUAAUUUGUCAAAAAAAAAAUAUCCUUGAAGUUUUGUUUUGGAUUAGUAUAAUAAAAAAACAAAAACAGUAAAGAAGAUAAGUAAGAUAACGAUAAUACAACAGAAAAUUUCUGGUAAAACAUAAAGUACUUUCUCAAGUUUUUUUUUUUUUUUUGUUGAUAAAUUAUACUUUCUCAAGUUGACAAAGUAGCUUUGAAUAUUUCAUAAGAAUCAACACGUUAAGCUGCACUAACAGCAUGAAAUCGUGAAUAUUUAUUUAGACCAAAUGUCAAUUAGUGCGUACUGUCGUAGGCACCUUCGUCACCCCACGAUCGCUUCCGUCAUAUAAUUUUCAGGAAUAUCCAACGGUUUGUGUUUUUCCUCUUAUUAACGGUUUGUGUUUUUCCUCUUAUUACUCCAAAAUAAAUAUCAUAAGACAAAUAUUACUUUGCACUAACAAAACAAAAAAAAAAAAAACAAUAAAUCAAUACUACCAAAAAAAAACCGAGUAACAAUUUAAUUGGUCAACAGAAAUUGAUCAAAACCAAAUCGGACACGGAACUGCUAAUUAUAUACAGUAGUAUUCUUUUCCAAGUGAGAUAUAAAUCACUAAUUUCAGUUACCUUCUGGAACAGUAGAGCUAGAGAAAAAUUCAAAGACUUUUACAAAGUCUUGUAAGCAAUUUACCCUAAACAAUAAGAUAUUGGUAUUCUUCAGAAAACAAUCAAAAUUCUCUUCAUAUCAUUUUUUUUUGUUCGUUCUUCUUCAGAAAACAAUCUUCAUUUUUUUUGUUUUUGAAUUUUUUUUGGUUCAAGUAAAACCUAACACCACACGAGUCUUUAAAAGUAUGAAUCUUUAAAGAGUAAACACAUCUUUAAACAAAGACCACAAGACACAGAAUAAAACCAGAAAAAUCAGAACCCAAAGCCAAAGCGUUUUUAUCAUUUCUGUCUUCUUCUGUGUAAACAGUAAGACCCCAAAGGUCAAACCUUUAGGCUUUGUUUCUUCCUUUAAGGCUUUUUUCCGACGUUUAUAUCAGAUUUCUUCUUGUCAAUUUCUUCAUUUGGACAACCUCCAUAAUCCAAGACCGACCCUUUUCCUCUAAUCUCUCCUGGUAAUUGACUUCAUCAACCAAUUUUUGUUUCCUGGUCCUUUAGUCUUUUCUCUAAGCUUUAGAUACUUGUUUGAUUAUGUUGUUUUGCUUUACUCUGGACUUUAAUCCUUAUGUAAGCUGUUUAAACCAGUCAAUUUGCUAUUAAGAAAUAGAUCUUAGUGCUCUGAUUGUUCUGAAUUGGGACUAUGGAAGAGAUUUAUUGGUUAACUGGUUAUGGUAUUGAGAAUUGCAUAGAUUUGGUAGGUAUCAGAGGAAGAGUUUUUUUCAAUUGAUUUGGUGAGAGUUACAUAAUUUUUUUUUUCAAUUCUCAAUGGAUUUUUGAUGAUAGUCUUUGCUUUGGAGAAUCAGCUCUGAGAUUUGGAUCAUAAAGUUUCAAACUUGCUUUAUCUAUGAUGAAUUAGUAACAAAAGGCUUAAACUUUAGGAAUGAUCUCUUGAAGCUUUGCAUGAUUUAAUAAGCUUUUGUUAGAAUCACAGUGCUUGAGGUUUUUCUGUGUGUGACAUUGAUAAGAUUUUGACAUUUGGGAACGUUGUAGUUGCAGCUGAAUGGUGGAACAAACUGUGGUUAGAGAACAUAUCAAAGCGAGAGUCAUGUCAUUAGUGAGGUCUGCAGAGCCAUCCUCAUAUAGGAACCCGAAGCUUUACACGUUGAAUGAGAAUGGUAAUAACAAUGGUGUCAGUUCUGCUCAAAUCUUUGAUCCAGAUAGGUCAAAGAAUCCUUGUCUGACUGAUGAUUCUUACCCAAGCCAAAGUUAUGAGAAGUACUUUCUUGAUUCGCCAACUGAUGAGUUUGUUCAACAUCCUAUUGGCUCUGGUGCCUCGGUUAGCUCAUUUGGCUCUUUAGACUCAUUUCCUUAUCAGUCAAGACCAGUUCUUGGAUGUUCCAUGGAAUUUCAGUUACCGUUGGAUUCAACCUCUACUUCAUCUACAAGGCUUUUGGGAGAUUACCAAGCGGUUUCUUACAGUCCGAGCAUGGAUGUAGUGGAGGAGUUUGAUGAUGAGCAAAUGAGAUCAAAGAUUCAAGAGCUUGAAAGAGCGCUUCUCGGCGAUGAAGAUGAUAAAAUGGUUGGAAUAGAUAACCUCAUGGAGAUUGACAGCGAAUGGUCGUACCAAAACGAAAGCGAACAGCAUCAAGACUCGCCCAAAGAAUCAUCGUCUGCAGAUUCCAACUCUCAUGUAAGUAGCAAAGAAGUGGUGUCUCAAGCCACUCCAAAGCAAAUCUUGAUAUCUUGUGCUCGUGCGCUAUCUGAAGGAAAAUUAGAAGAAGCUUUGUCAAUGGUAAAUGAGCUGAGGCAGAUAGUUUCUAUCCAAGGAGACCCUUCUCAGAGAAUCGCAGCUUACAUGGUGGAAGGUCUAGCUGCAAGAAUGGCCGCUUCAGGAAAAUUCAUCUACAGAGCAUUGAAAUGCAAAGAGCCUCCUUCGGAUGAGAGGCUUGCAGCUAUGCAAGUCCUGUUUGAAGUCUGCCCUUGUUUCAAGUUCGGGUUUUUAGCAGCUAAUGGUGCGAUACUUGAAGCAAUCAAAGGUGAAGAAGAAGUUCACAUAAUCGAUUUCGAUAUAAACCAAGGGAACCAAUACAUGACACUGAUACGAAGCAUUGCUGAGUUGCCUGGUAAACGACCUCGCCUGAGGUUAACAGGAAUUGAUGACCCUGAAUCAGUCCAACGCUCCAUUGGAGGGCUAAGAAUCAUCGGUCUAAGACUCGAGCAACUCGCAGAGGAUAAUGGAGUAUCCUUCAAAUUCAAAGCAAUGCCUUCAAAGACUUCGAUUGUCUCUCCAUCAACACUCGGUUGCAAACCAGGAGAAACCUUAAUAGUGAACUUUGCAUUCCAACUUCACCACAUGCCUGACGAGAGUGUCACAACAGUAAACCAGCGGGACGAGCUACUUCACAUGGUCAAAAGCUUAAACCCAAAGCUUGUCACGGUCGUUGAACAAGACGUGAACACAAACACUUCACCGUUCUUUCCCAGAUUCAUAGAGGCUUACGAAUACUACUCAGCAGUUUUCGAGUCUCUAGACAUGACACUUCCAAGAGAAAGCCAAGAGAGGAUGAAUGUAGAAAGACAGUGUCUCGCUAGAGACAUAGUCAACAUUGUUGCUUGCGAAGGAGAAGAACGGAUAGAGAGAUACGAGGCUGCGGGAAAAUGGAGAGCAAGGAUGAUGAUGGCUGGAUUCAAUCCAAAACCAAUGAGUGCUAAAGUAACCAACAAUAUACAAAACCUGAUAAAGCAACAAUAUUGCAAUAAGUACAAGCUUAAAGAAGAAAUGGGUGAGCUCCAUUUUUGCUGGGAGGAGAAAAGCUUAAUCGUUGCUUCAGCUUGGAGGUAAGAUAAGUGACAAGAGCAUAUAGUCUUUAUGUUUCAUAAAACAUAAUUAUGUUUUUACUGUAAUCUUGGGUUAUUGUGUAACUGGUUAAAUCAUCUCCAUGUAUUAUUACCAGAGGUUAGGGGUGAUCACAGGUACUAAAAGCUAAUCUAACACUUAUGGAAGAAUUUUUCUUUCUUUUUUUUCCCUAUUAUAUAAAAAUAAUUAGAGUUUUGGUUCUAAACCUAUUUGCUAAGUGUGAAUGAGUCUUUACAUGUUCAUAUUUCAGUUCAAAUGGUUAAAUUUGUUAAGGUUCUCACUUACUAUUAGGCUUAUCAGUUUUAACUCUUAAACUCAAAAGCUCAUUAGAUCCAUAAAACUCACAAAAGGCAUCGUCAUUCUUCAUCAAUCACUAGUGUAUCAGUACGAAACUAGGAAACGUUACAUUUUUCAGCAUCAUUUUUUUUACAUUCCAACGAAACGAAAAGGAAAACUCUAGUUAAGCAGAGUUAAUACGAAAUCACAUAACCAAAUCAUCCUCAAAAGCUCUUUUAAACUUGAAGGUCUUGCUUUCCAUUAACCACAUUCUGCUUCUUCUCAUCAUCUUUCAUCUCCACUGACUUCUCAUCUUUCUGAGCAUCUGCAGAUUUCUCUCCUUUGUUUCCACAGUAGAUGAAGUAUAGUAUCAAUUGCAGUGUCCCUAAUGCACAUCCAAACCCAUUUGGGAUCUUCGCAACAACAAAAACCCAAAGUUAGAAACAAAGUUUUGAUAUUUACCAAAGAAAACAACACAAGAAGGAGAAAUUGUAACUUACUGCAACAAAAGGGUCACGACCGAUUAGACCAUAGACGAACCACGAAGUACCACAGAGGAAGACAAAGAGUGACAAAAAGAAUGGCAUAAACUCUACACUCUUCGUCUUUACCACCAAUCUCUGUAAAUCAAUGAACCAAACACAAAAUUUAACAAAAUGAAUCCAAAAGUAAAGAGUAGAACUUUAAAAAGAUCCAAUCCUGAGUUUGCUUACCAUGAUGGAGAGUGGAGAAGCGUACAUGAUGAUGGAGAAAACAGUAGCUGCGAGACCACAAAAGAGUUUUCUACCGUUUCCUUGAAGAGCAAAGAGAGAGACGAGAGCUACUGUUGCGAAUACAGCCAAAACGCAAGAGAAGAUACCAAAGAUCUUAAUUUUCUCCUUCUUUGGUGCGUAGAAAAGAAAGAUUAACACGUAGACUGUUUCGAUCACUGCUCCUGUGCCAUUGAUUGUGCUCACAAGUGUGUUGUCUUUUGACACAAAGGGAAGUCCAUACCUGAAAAAAACAGAGAAACGCAGAAACAGAGGAAGUAAGAAACAGAGCUAUACUCUAAUGGAAGAUUAAAAACGUAAAAGAGGGAAUUUUUUUUACCAAGCAGAGAGGAGACAGUUGAGGAGAGUCAUUGGAUAAGGGAUACCAGAGAAUUGUUCAGUGGAUUUGUUCUUGAUGAUUCUCUUGAAUGUUAUCCUAAUUUCAUUCACGAACAAAAAAGAAUCUUGAGUUUUUUUUUUCCAGAACAGAACAACAAGAAAUCGAAAGAAUCAUAAAUCGGUUCACUAUAGAAGAGAGAAGUGAUACGUACGAAGGAGCCAAGAAAAGAAACAGAGCAGUUGCAUUUCCUGUAAAAAGUAGAAAAACGACAAAAACGGAUUAGUAGUACUCUCAGUGAUUUCUCAUGGAAGAAAGACGAAGAAGAUAGAAAGACAGAGAGAGAGGUUGAGGAAAUGAGUUGCUACCGAAAACGCCGAAGAUAGUGUGAGCGAUGUUCAUCUUUUGAUCUCAAAGGUGGCUAAAGAUUCUUCUUUUUUUCUUGUUCGUAAGCUGAGAGAGAAAGUGAGAGAAUAUGAGCUAAGUGUUUUCUAUCGGCAAGCGUAUAUAUAUCGAGAUUCAGCGUGUGUUAACCGCUUCACUGUGGAACACCAAUAAUUACAAAAUUAAUAAAAGUAUAAUAAAUUAUGAAAUAAUGGUAUUAAAUAUUAAAUUUUAAAAAUACAUGGUUCUGUUAUUAAUUUUUGUAGUAUGAAUAAAAUUUGAAAAAAAAGUUAUGGUUAAGAACUAAUGUUUUGAGAAAACCUAAGUUUUAAAUUUGAGUUAAUUGAGUUAUUUCUUAUAUAAAAAAAAAAAAGUUCCCAUGAUUUUGAAUUCUAGUGUAUAUAUACAGAUUUUUUCUUGAUACCAAAUUAAUUUUUGGAACGAGGUUUUUUAUCUGUUACUUGUUUUUACGUCCUCGAGAGGUGAACCUGACUCUUUGGAUCGACGUUUCUUUUGUAGAUAGUUAUAGAGAUAUGGUUAAAUACUUAAAAAUGAAAUAAACACCUAAAAAGAGCAAUGUCUUUUCUUCUUUUGUUUUUUGUUUGAUACUAAAAGUAGCUCUGAACAAGCCAGAGUGUUCUGGGCUUGACGUUGAUAUGUGACUCGAGGCCCGAGCCUGUAUUUUCUGCGGGGCAGUGGCUAGUGGUUCAUCUUCUCCAUGAUGUGUUACUUUUUUUUUUUCGUUGCCCUCUUUAAUAGAGAUUCUAGAUAAAAUUUGACAGUUUAGGAAGUUUCUGGUUACAUAAGCGAAACCAAACCUAACAAACUGUCAAGUUUAUUUAAGGGCACCAAUAAGUUUCACUAAAUUUCAGUUAUUCUAUACCGUUGAACCACAGCCGCAGGAUAUACUUUUUAGUAUAGUGAGUGAUCUUUUUGGAAUGUUUUCUAGUCACCACGAGUUAGCUUAUUCAGCUUUACCCAAACCAUAUCGGUUCAUUCAUGAUCAUUUUAACCGGAGUAAAACCAACAAAAAGAACAUUAGGUUAUGAUUGUGAGGCUAAGGUUAAUGGAUCAACGUCGGUAGAUGAGUUGAUUAUUGAAGAUGACCAAAUUUGUUGAAUUUUUUUUUUUUGUAGGAAAAAAUCAUGAAAUUGGCUGUUCUCGCGUACGUGUUCAUUAUAUAUUUUUAAUACGUCUAGUUCAAGAAAACAAUUUAGCUAUGUACGCAGUAUUUAGCUAAAAUUCAAGAACCUAUCAUAAGUCCACUGCAAAUCUAAUUUAGUUUAUGAUACCGUAUUUCAUCAAAUGGCAGAUUUUUAUCAACCCAUUUUUUCUUUUUUGUCGUUGGCUACAUCAAUAUUUGUUGAGAUUUUGAUAUUUACCUAGAACAAUGUGAUCUAAUUACUAUAUGAAGGCAAAACCAAAAUUUAGCACAGUAACAUGAUUACUAGACUGCUAGAUGAUUCAGUCUGCAUACUUUUAUGCUCUCUCAUCUUUUGUGAGUUGAAAACACCUUUUAACUUGUUAUCCACAAUAGUCUUACUUUUAAAUCCGAAUCUAAAAUGCAGAAGCUUGAAAAUCUUUGGAUGUGGACGAACAAAUGCCAUUAUAUAUUAAGCUUUCACUAGGUAGGCACAAAUUAUCUGAUAAUUGUAAUAAAUUAUCACCAAAAACAAAGAAAAUCGAGGAUUGAGGUUUGGUUUGAGUCCGACGUCAAUGAUUGAAAGCAAAAGAGUACUGAACUAGAGAGAAAAGGAAAAGACUAUCAGAAGAGUGAAAUGAUGAUGACGUUGGUAUCAGCAAGCACCACAUGGCAUGGCACAACUCUUCACACGAGUCACGUAGCUCUUUCCUUUUCCAGACAUAUUCGACCUUCCUUGUCCAAGUUGUCCUCUCUUUCAAAUUUGUUUUUUUAAUAAGAAAUUGGACCACUAUUGUGUACUUUUUGGUUAGAAGGAUCGUUAAUAUCGAAAAAAUCAGAAUGAAUGGAACAAGCGGAAUAAAUAAUUAACAUUUUCUCGUUUUAUUAAAUUUUAGUGUAUUCAUUCAUUUUCGAUUUUAUUUUGUAGGUGAUCACACAUCAAUAUUUAAAUAAGAGUUUGCCUAAUACAUAUAUACAAGUGACCUAACGAUUAUGUAACUCUAGAGACGAUGAAAAAAAAGUCACCUAACGUAACUUCUACUACCUUAAAGAUAAGCUCUAGAGACGAGCAAUAAAUAUAUACAAUCUCUCGAUAUCGAUCAUCAUAUUCUUGAUGUAACAAUUCAGCAGAUAAAUUUUUCUUUUUUAAUCGAAGUUCAAAGAGUUUUCUUGAUACGAUCGAAUCAAACGAUAACGAUAUAUAUAUAUAAGAAGGGUACUUACAUUCAUCGAUUGGGGACACAUAUUUAUGAAGAGAUUGAUUAUAACUCCUCAGAAUUAAAUAUUUACUUGCCCUCAAAGGUAGGGGAAUUUAAAUAUUAGCUUUCCCUCAAAGGUAGGGCUCUCUUCUCGACCUUUCUAACUUUCUAUGCUUAACUGCAUUUCUUUGAAAAUUUUGCACGUUGUAAUGUAAUAGUAAUAAUGUCUUUGCACUGCUCUUACCUACUUUUGGCUUCUAGCUUCUUAUGAUAUUUUUGUAUUGAUGGACUUACAGUAACCACCAAAUUGUAUCAGUCUUAUCAUCACCAAUCAAUCAUCACAGAGUUGCAAGUUCGUCCACGAAACUUUGGAAUCAUUCACCUAAGUUUUAAACUUAUUAACGCUUUUGGUAUAUGCCAGAUUUCCAAAGCAAACAAACGAUUCAGAUCGUACAAAAGAAUUGUGUUAGGAAGACGCCACAUUGUUGAUGUUCCAUAGCCACACUAAACUUAAAUCAUAUUACAUGAUCCCAAAGCGGACUGGCUUCGACAAUACGUAAAACCUUAGAAAUAAAAGAAAAUUGCAAUUGAAAUGAACUUAAUUCACUAGAAAUGUGCACUUAUGAAAACGAAAGAUGUGCUACGUACAUAGCGUUUAUUCAUCCCACAUCUCUUUGUAAGUCCACUUGUUCGCAACAACAAUGUGUGUUGAGUGUCAACAGCUCCACAUGAUCUGCUUUUCUUUUUGGCCUGAAGAUGAAAUAUCUCCACGCAUAGAGCCUUUACCUCGCCACGAAGCAAACCAGCCUGUUCAAAAACUCAAUGAUAUUGCUUACGUUCAGUCACUAAGAGCUUAUUAAGCAAAGUCACUCUUUAUCGACUGGAAUCUAUUUAUAAUGCAACUUUUUUCUUUUACCUCGGUCCGCAUGUUGCUAGCGUUUGCACCAUAAUUGGCCAGAGACUGAGCAGCUAAACAUCUUUCAUCGCUAAGCAUACCAAGCAGAAGAUGUCCACAUCCAAUACAGUCAUGCCCUAUCAACCGAACAAACGAACAUUAGAAGAAAGUCACAUAUCAAGAUUUUGAAUUUGACAGAUACAAAAUUUGUCAGAUAACUGACCAAGUUUCCGAGCUUCCUGACAACUCAAGAAUGUACUUAGCACGGAGUCCAAAUGGGAUAUUUAUUGCCCUGAUUUCCAUCUUUUCAACCUCAAUAGGCUCAUUAAGUCCUCGUUGCCUAUCUAUUUUUAUUGCCUCCACACGCACAUCUUUGGCAUUGAUUCCUAUGGAUUAAUCAAGAACCUUUGCAGCAAUAUUUCGGGGGCCAAGUAGUAGACCCACAAGUAUGUGAUCAGUCGUUACAUAUACGUGGCCAAACCUGCGGGUUUCCUCUUUGGCCAGCAUUAUAGCUUUCAUUGUUUCCUCGGUAAACCGCUCAAACAACAUCCUUAGGAAAAGUCUUGAGGGUUUUCUUAAUAGCAGCAGCUCUUUGCCCCGAGAUUCACCGUAAAGCUGCGGCCUUCCUAGCUGCGAUUCACUUGGAAAGGCUGCAGUUGAUAAGGGUAGACAAUAGAUCAUAAGACCACCAUAUCUAUAUCUCUAUAUAUGUAUAGGGCUAAAAACAAAAACAAAAAAACACAACACUCUUGAAGUAUAAGUUAAUCCAAAGCUAAUGUUAUUUGAAACACAAGAAUAACUUCCUCAGCAUGCCAAUUCACAAACACAGCAAGCAACACAAAGGAACAGUUUUUGUUAGUUCUCUACCAAUCGAAGCCGAGAACAACCUAAUUCUCAUGGCACCCACCUAAUUUGCGAAACCCUAAAUACAAAAAGAAUCCAUUCUUCCUUUUUUUUCCCAAAUCAUAUUCACUGUGCCCAAGCCACAAUUGAAGCAGAAAAUCAAGUUACAAAAUCCAUAGAGCUUACUUUAAAAGUAUGUCCAUAGCGUGACCUAGACUCUUUUUUUGUGUCGGCCGUCAGAGUCUUGUAGAAGAAGCAAAGAGGGGAAGAUGUUAGGUUUUGGUUAGAGUUACAAGGAACAUGCCUAUUAAUUUAAAGGAUACUCACUAGCCGAACCUAAUUUGGCUUUAGGUCUCAUACUCACUAGCCGAACCUAUUUGGCUUUAGGUUUUUUCAGUUUUUUUUGUCAAUGAGCCAUUUCCCCAUUUUAUUAGCUGAAUUUAGGUCUUUGAAAUAUCUGGUAAAAAUGAUUAUCAAAUAAUGAAUUUCUAUAUAUUAUUCUGCAAUCUUCACAAUCUUUCAUAUUUGAAUCGAAGCUAAAAGAGUUUUCUUGUUACGAUCGAAUCAAACAAUAACGAUAUAUACAAAGAAGGCACUUACACUCAACGUUCGGGGACACAUUUUAAUGAAGAGGUUGAUUAUAGCUUCCUAGAAUUAAAAAUUAGCUUGCCCUCAAAGUUAGGGCUCUCUUCUCGACCUUUCUAUGUAUAAUUAACUGCAUUUCUUUGAAUACAAUUUGCACCUUCGAGUGUAAUACUAAUAAUGUCUUUGCACUCUUCUUACCUACUUUUGGCUUCUUAUGAUCCGUUUGUAUUGAUGGACUUAUAGACUUAUAGUAACCACCAAACUCGUAAGCCUUAUCAUCACCAAUCAUCACAAAGUUACAAGUUCGUCCUCCAAACUUCGGAAUCAAGUUCAUAAACUUUUUAAUGCUUUCUGUAUAUAUUUCCUGAUUUCCAAAGAUCGCUUCAAACAAACGAUUAAGCUCAUUCAAGAAGAUUUCCAUGGGAAUUUUUUUACAAUCGAAUCAAUUGUUCAAAAGCAGAAUAAUUGUGUUAGGAAGAUGUCAAAUCUUUGAUGUUCCAUAGCCACACCAUUAUUUGUUACUUAAAAUAGAAAGUUCCUAUUUACUGUGGUGAGCUGUGUAUACACGGAGGCUUGUUUUUGGAUUAACAUCACCGAUCACUCCAAGAAAACAGAUUUGGACUCGUUCUGAUUUCCGUGUGGAACUCUGUUUCGUGGGAUCAUAUUAUUGGUUCCUUGUCGGUAGAUUACUGAACAAAACUUUGUCCUUCCAUAGACAACCAUCUCUUUCAUCUAUCUGGAUCCUUCUAUUCAGCCAAAUCACAUGUCGGCCGAAAUAAAACUCAGUGUCCUUUGAUCCGUCCAGAUCAAUCUACAGGUAAAAUAAUUUACAAGCAGAUCAAUAUAGUAUGCACUGUGCUUGAUCAAUAUGUGGAUAUGAUUCUGAUUUCUCAAACGAUAGCUUUGUAACAUAUUACUCUGCCUUCUUGUUGUGACCAGUUUAGUCUCUGCAUAAAUCUUAGAUCAUUCCCAUGAGAGAUGCUUUUGUUUAUGGUACUAUAAACCGUAAACAUCGAAGAGAAGCCAUCAAUUUUGUUGGUUCGUCAUUUUUCUAUCAAAUUUUAGUCAAACAAAUUCCACUGAAGAGUGAUAUGUACAAAAAAAUCAAGUUCACAAAAAAACUGUACUCAAAUGUAUCAUUCAUUUUGUUUCGUAAACACAAGAUAUUCUAGUGGAAUGUUGAAACCGGUCAAGGUAGAGGCAUAGGAGGUCUCCAGCUACUGAACUGGACCAGUUCUCUAUUCACAAAACUGCCAUUGUGCAGCCAAAACGUCUCAGUCGAUUGCUGGAAAUGUCUAACUUUGCGUUGAAGCUCCCAUAGAAUCCCUUUAACCGCACUGCAGGGUGCGGAAUCUGGACCGUACACAAACAAACAUCUAAUCUUCCGACCUCGGGCUAUCAUUCCUUCUAUGUCUCUAUCUGAAAGACAAGCCGGGAAGAAGUUCUUAAAUCUCAAGAAUCUGAGCAAAUCCAUUGAUAUUGGCGAAGAGAAAGCGGUUCUGAAGUAACUUAAUGUUACCUGAUAUUGAAGCUAAGUAAUCAAGAAACUCUGAGCCUAUUCGAGUUGAUGGCCAUUUGAUCGAUACUUGGGCAUAGUCGAUAACAUUCUGGAAAGGCAGCUCGGCGUGGUCAGAUAAAAGAACCGGGACACAUUCCUGAACAAGCACAAUCACAAUAUUACACAACGUAAGGUAAGUAAUAAAGAAAGUGAAAUCAAAAGUUGGGGUAAAGAGAAAAUAGAGAUCAGACCACAAAGAAUGAUUCAUAAAAGCGAAGUGUCCAUGAUGAUUCCCCACGAGGAGCGAGGCAGAACUUGGCAUUCCUCAGAUGUUCAAAAUAUGUUGUCCUUCCAAACUUUUCAGUUCCGCUAAACUUCAAAUCUGGACAUUCUAGCUGUUCACAAAACCACUCAUGAGAAGCAAGCAAGGAAAAGAAAACAUCGAAAUAACAAGUAAUAGCUUAGCAGAUCCUCGAUGGAAAAUGAAAAACGUGUAUAAGUAGUCUUUGAAGAAAUAAUGUGAGACUAACCUUAUCUGGAAAUUGCUUUGAUAGGUCAAUCAAUUUAAGUCGACCAGCCUUCCCUUGUGCACGACCUAAAUAAUUUGCUAAAUACUUCCUCUUUGACAGAGGCAAAGGCUGAACAUCAGGUUGUCCAUUUUUAGUCAUAGCAUCAUCGACGUUUCCUGGUAUGAUUAUAUCUUUCCAUGAAUUAAAGGCAGUUGUGUCUUUCUUGUCAGUCCGGUCAGCCUGCAUCCACAAUCAUUGAAGCAUUCAUGUUUCUGUAAAACAAACUCUAAGAACCUAGCUCAAUGAUUCCAUUGUAUGAUUCUACAAGUAGGCACAUAGACCAUUCAGUUUAUUCGAAACCACCCCUAAAAAUGUCCAAUGAAAACUCUGAAAGCCAGAAGAGACAGAUAUGGACCAAAGAACUUUCACAUUAGCGCUUCACUACCAAAUAUACUUCAAAAUACAAGAAACUCCUAAGCAGAGAGCAAGCUAAGUACCUCGGGAGUGAGGAUAAUAGAGCGGUUGAUAAAUGUUGACCAGGAUCUAAACAAGUGAGCUCCAGCACCACUACAAUAGCAUAACAAAGAAAAGUAAUGUCAAAGUUAGUAUAAAAAGAAUACAGUUCAUCGAGAAAACUUUAUAUACUAUUGAUUAAGUGCCACAUACCUCGGAAAAACAAAUAUAUGAUCACGACCACCAGAUCUUCGGAAAUACGGCAUUUGACUCAAAACCUAGUGAAUCCGAAACAAUGUCAAUAAUACAUAUCACUGUAAUUCGAAACAACAAAAUAAAACAUCAGCAUCAACAAUUUGAAUGAGUGAGUGAUGAUUUCGUUAACCUUGACAUAGGUCUGAUUGAUCUCCUUGUCAUUAAGACCUCCCAACAUUCUCACACAUUUAACAUAAGCUGGCACAAAGAACAAAUCCGCUUCAUCUUUCUUAAUCGUCCUAAAUUUGGACUCCAAAAGCAACUUGUGAAUUUUAACCUAUCAUCAACACAAUCGUAAGAAUCACAAGUAGCUAGCAAAUCCACACUUAACUACAUUGCUAUUUCCAGAAAUUCCCAGAUUGAAUCGUUAAUUCAAUGUGAAAUUAAGAAAGAAGAAGAUAAAUCACCUGAGAUCCCCAUUGACCUUUCAAGCAUGCGGUGGUCUUAACACUACCAUCCCUACCGUACAACAGCUCUUUAAGACCGUCGAUCUCAUUCUCAUCAUAAACGUAGAUCUUCAGCGAGAGGUGAGACCCAUAACCUCGCUCCGGCCACCGUAUAAUACCGUUAUCAGUUUUGAUUCCGUAAGAAGAAGAAGUACGACGGAGAUCAAUCACCGGAGUAACGGAAUUGGAUUCCGAGAACCACUGAUCGAAAAGCCUAGUGACGAAGAAGGUAGAGACGACGAGAAAAAGAGCUCCAAUCUGGUGCGUGCGAGUGCAGGGAGUAGCGUAGUGACUAUACGCACCAAAAUUUCUAGGCUUAUUACUAGUUAAGCUCGCCAUUUCUAUCUCUCUCACUGUUUCUUCGUUUUGCUUCUUCAAAUGUUUUAAGGCAUUUUUUUUUGUUUUCGCUUAGAUCUUGCAUAGAUGAUAGAUGACGAGAACAUAACGUUUGGUGUUAGUGAAACGGCAACGUUCUCAUGGAAAUAAAUUAAUUUCUGAGAAAGGCCCAUUAUGGGCUCAGAAGAAGAGUUCGUAUACGGCCCGACGUUCCUAUGGUCAGUCCCAUCUGAUCUUGUUUUCCGCAAACCUAUAACAAUCUUCUAAUUUAAUUUAAUGUCUUAAAUUUAAACCUAUAACUUCUGUUUUGUCGGUUGUUUACUAAAUCUACUUCUAAGCCCAUAAUAGGCCUAUUUAUAAUUUUAAACGACCCAUUAUGUAUUAUCAAACGUUAUACAAUCUAGGCGUUUGUGCAAGUUCAAAGCAAAAAAAAAAAAAACUUUUAUUGAUAAAAUGGGAGAAAAAAAGUGUUCAUAAUCUUUCGUAUUUGUUGGGUAGUAAACAGAGAACCAUUGAGAAGAUUAGGAAAGAUUCAAAAACCCUAAUCUCUUAUUCUCAUUUUCACAAAUACAACUGUGUAUGAAUAAGAAAGAGAGAUUUUCGAGUGUUUGAGACUCUUUCUAUGGUGCAGUCAAAACACUCCCACAUUGCAUUGAAACUUUAGCCGAUGGGCGUUCUAGUGUUACUCUCUUCUUUGAAGAUAAAGACUUCAAUCCAAACUGGUUCGAUUUCGAUGGUAACUUCAAGUAUAAGUUUCAUCAUCUCUUAUUCUUAUUUUUGUGAGUCUUGGAUAGAUUUACUAAAUUUUUCUCCUUACAUCAUACAAGAUUAAUAGGAGAAGAUCUGGAUUUUUACCACUGCUCCAGAAUCAGUUCAUGUCCUGCUUUGCAAGAAAGAUCCACAUUGCCCGCUUGCAGGUUUCUACUCUCUGUCUUUCUCUCUCUCUUCAAACGUUAGAACAAGAACAAAAACAAAAUAAAAUAUGCUAUGUUAUAAAUUAUUUUAGCUUACAUAACAAUUUCUAAUGUCAAUGAAACUUAUUUUUCUUUAUCAAAAAAACAACUAAAUUCUAGAAGAAAAAAAUCGUAAAUUCAAAUUUGGAAAUAAUAAAUUACAAACGAAUUUGUUUUAUUUAUGUCUUACUAUAAUAGUUUAUUUGGUUUCUUUUCCGUUUCUUCUUCGUCAAGUUACUUUCAAAUUAGGUUCUUUGAUAGAUUUAUUCCUACUAAGUUUUGGAAAACAAUUGGAUAAAUUUCUCUUAAUUUAUUCGACCUGAAAUUUGGGUUUCAUACGAAUUAAAAUAAUACUUUUUUGCUGACAAACCAUUUUAAUACAAGAAAAUAAAAUAAAAUACAAGAGUCUAUGAAUUUGUGCUAUCAUUUUGACGUUUUCUCUCGGUUACUACUACACUAUCCAACAAAUUUUACAAAGGAUUGUAACAUUUAGUGUUUCUGAGAGCCAUCAAAGUCACUAGUUCAACUCUAUUUAAGAGGUGUGAUUAACGCUUUAAACGCGGUAUUAUUAUCGAGUACAUGCAGUACAUAAUUUCUAAGUUUAUCGAAAAACAAAAAAAAAUAUUGUUUAAAGAUGUCUUAAUAUUAAACUAGUACUCACUAAUAAAACUCAAUAAACGUAAAUAUAUAGUGUUAUUAAUUAGUCAAACAAAUGUUUUCGGAAAAAAAGCAUAAAUGUUCUAAACUUUCUUUUUAACAAAAAGAAUUAAAAUACAUAGCGAACAUGCAUUAAUUAAUCUAAAGAUGGCUAUUAUGAUUAAGUUGUUAUUCAUAAGGCAAAACAAUUUUAUACAGCGUCGAUUGGUUGUUGGCUACUAAAUACCAUUUUUUUUUUUUUAAAGAAUAAUAUUUUGCAAUUGAAUCUCUUUUCUCAUCUUGUAAUUUGAUUUGCAUUGUGAUCGUGACCUUCUAUCUGCUCUGCCUUUUCCUUAACUUCUUCUUCUUUUUCCACACGCUAAUUGAUAAUUUAUUUAACCAAAUUUGGGUAUACCUUUUGUUGUUUUAUGUCACCAUCAUACACUACUAAGGUUCUCCUCCAUUGAGGAACCAGGAGCCGUGUGUAGUGUGUUAUACAAAUCAGAAAUAUUUGUACUUUGACAAAAAAAAAAGCUUUACGAAAGGUGGUUUAUAUUCAGAUAUCUCCACGCCAUAUAUAUAACGAUGGCAAUUAAUGUAUGCAUGAGCGGUGUUCAUGUUGUUAAGCGUUCAUUACUCAUACAUUGGUUGAGAUCAUAGAUUCAUAGUUGGAACAUAUCUGAGUAUCUGACCGUUUGUACGUACGUACGCUUUUGCAUGACCCACUUUUGGAAAUUCAAUGUGAAUAUGUCAACAGAUUUUAAAAGAGAUAUAUCAUAACAUAUAUGACUGUUUGCCUAAUGUCGUUUAUGUGAUACAAGUCAGAAAUAUUAAGAGACAGAGAGAGUUAUAAAAUGGAAGUCCUUUAUUAAUUAUAAGAGAGAGAGACAUCUUAAUCUUAAAUCUUUUUUUUAUUACUGAUUAAUUAGUUAAGAGUGUCUAUAACAGUGAAACGACAACGGAAGUAUCUAUACAUGACUAAGCGAAACCACGACGGAAUUGUCUAUAUAUUACGUGCGCAAAUUUAAACGACAAUGUGUAACUAAAAUAACCUAGGAAACAGCCCAUCGGGCUUAGAUACCGUUACGGGCAAGCCAUUUAGAUAGAAGGGCUUCCUCAACUCCUUCGUCGGAAAUAGUUGCUACGAGACGGCGUAUAUCAUCGCCGGUUCCGACGAACGCGACCGGCACAUCCUUCUCGAGGUUUUCAGGAAUUUCCAUGACUUGGUGAAGCCCGUCGUACAUAUCUAUGUCGGCGAUCAACCGUUCGUUUGUUGGGUAAUGUAUGACUUCGAUGAUGUCAUAUGUCUGCGCUUUGCCGUCAUCGGACGUCCAUGACGUCUUGAUAAUCUCUGCCACGUGGUGCUUUUGGCGGAAUAGAUUUAUCACCUUUGUCAAGUACUGUGUCCUCAGAUUAUGUAGGUUGUUGGAUACGUACUCGUCAGCUAACGCCGAUUUGCAUCCCCUUUCCAUGUCCCUUUUCACUCCGUCUUUUUUGAAAGCAAAUUCUAAUCCAUGGAUCUUGAUCAAUUCGUUGAGAGUCUUGGCUGCAUUGGAACGCGAAUUAAGAGCCGCUGAUAUAUAUGGGCGACGCGACGUCUGCGAGGAAGAGGAAGACAUUUUGUUUGGUAAAUAUCUUUCGUAAAUUUUCUUAGUCUUUUUGUUUGCUCUGUGUAAAUUCUGGUGAGUUAUGUGUUUAGUCCUUGCUCCUCCGAUGCUCUGUUUUUAUAGGCAAAAUUAAUUUAAAGACACACGCAAUACACAAUAAAAUCAUACCUGGGAUCCACUAGCUAAUUAAAAAGUAGUCGCUUUGAAAUGUAUAGGAACGAGACCAAUGAACGAGGUAUAAGUAAUCCGACGAUGUAUCUACUAGACUACUACUCGCUUUGCUUUAUAGGCAAAACUGGCAAUGGCAUUGUGUUCACGUCUCUCUAAUUUGCAUAUUAACUCGAGGGUUAGGUGGAACUACGGAAAUAUAUUUACAACUACACGAAUCAACAUUCCCGUUUAAGUAUCUUCCCCAAAACUGCAACGUUGAAAAACCAAAGAAACUGAAAAAGAAGAAUCUCUAAUCAUCACAAACUCAACACUUAGCUUGUAUAUAUCAUCUUUCGUUGUUAAGUGUUAUUUUAGUUUAAAACAUCUCUCAAGUUAUUAUAAAAUAUCUACUGUUUUUAUAGUCACGAAAUAUUUGUUCGAUAGUAAAUUACAACCUUUUCCAGAUAGUACGUAGAUGCAUGCAGUGUACGUAAUAUACAACUUUUCCGAGAUAAUAUACAACCUUUUAGAUGCAUGCAGUGUAAUAAUUAAAUUAUAUAUACAACCUUUUCGAAAUAGUACGUACGUAGUCUAGAAAAGGUUACAGAAACAUUGUCCCAAUGCUCAUAUUUUUCUUACUCAACCAUUCAAAUGUAAUUAAACGCAUUCUUCCGAAUUUCAUUUAUUUUCAUGUGCACAAAGAGAUUGAGUAGACUUUAUCUUUGUGUAUAUAUGAUCCAAAUAUAAAGAUAUAUAUAUACAUCUCAUAGUUUACCCAUAUAAAAUUACAAAUCAGUAUUCAGAAAAAUGUUUGAGGAGGAGAUAAUGGCGCACCACGAGCAAAAUCAAGUAGAGCUGUGCUAGUAUCACCACUACCAAGCUAUAUCCAUCUAUCAACUUGCAAGUAUCAAACUUUAUGCAUUAUUCUUUUCAAGAUUUUAAAUUUUCCUAUUUAUUAAUUUAUUUUAGUACAAAUUAAAGAUUCUUUUCAUUUAUUUUUAUUUUUCUUUUCUGGGCUUUGAUUUUAAUUUGGGCUUAGAACCCAUAUUCCUAUUUGACCAAUUGCAUCUUUGAUGUGAUUCUUUUUUAUUAGCGUGACGAAAAAUUAGUAAAAUUACACUGUGCGGUGGCGUUUAUUUAAACUACGAGCAAGCAUCUAUAACUGAAUAUAUGGACAUACAUUUGUUAAUUUACACGUGCAUUAGUCUUCCCUCUAGAGCUCAUGGUCUUAGUUAAACUUAUUCAGGAUCAAAUUAUUUAUUCAUCUGAUAGAUUAGGACACGAACCAUCGUGAAGAGUUCCGGUGUCGCCGAUACGAUCGGAUACGUGUGGUCAGCGACUUGUUUCCCACUAGAUAAUGCUUGAUUUUUUGGAGUAGUGAUAACGAAAACAAGUUGAUGAAACAGAGUAACAAAAACAGAGUAAAAAAUAGAGUACUUCGAUUGAUAAAACGUAAUUUGAUACAAUGUUCAUAAAACGCGAUAUCAACUUCUCACUUGCAAGAGUCUCCUUGAGAGAACCUCCGGCAAAAUGAUGAGGAAAAGUCUAGAGAGUUCUAGAGAGAAUUACAGCUUAGGAAUUCAGCGUAAAAAGUACGAGCAUAACAUGUUGCUUUUUAUAAAGUAAACGUUAACAACGUCUUCCGUCACCAUCCAACGUCGGUAACGCCAAGUUGCAUUUGCCAGCUCACAAACACGCACGUGCACUUCUUCUUAUCCAUGUGUGAGCUGACCUUCUAGAUCGCUAUAUCAUAGUUUGAGUAGCCGUUAUUGUGUUGUUGUUGGAAUAUCUGUCGUUGUUGUGCUUGAUGUUGUUGGAGUACGUAGCUGCCGUUCUUGGGUUGACUGUGCUGGUCGCAGGAUGUGUAAAGGAGCGUUAGAGCAAAGGUUGUAUUAAUGUUGAUAACCGCUGGUGGUGUGUGUGUUUGGUGAGGCGUUUCUCUUCCAUGGUCAGCAUCGAGCGAGCUUCAAUGAACUUUGGGUAUGAAGAAGAAGAAGAUGAUGAAAAUAGAGCGGAGAUAGGAUAGAUCGCGUCUGAUACCAUAUGUAAUAAGAUUGUGAAAACACAGUAGAGAAUUAUAUUCAUAAGAUAAUGUUAAUAUAUGUUACAAUAGGCUUGGCCUCCAAAUAUCUAUACAUAUUUGAUCUUGUUGAUAUUAUUUCUAUAUUGUAGGAUAUUUAUAUGUAUCUAAAUGAUAUUAUCUAACAAAAUUUUGGAAAGGGAUCACAAAAGAAUGUUGGCCAUCCUACGAAUAAAAAUAUACAUAUAUAAAAGAAAUGACAAAUAUACAUACAUAAUAUAUUAAUAGGAUUAAUAAAAGCUUCUCUAGCGAAUAUGAACCAAACUGGGAACAUAAUUAUAGAUGACAGGCUCUUUAUAAUGGUCGACUUUUUUAGCAUAAACUUCCGUACAUUUAUAGUCUUCAAUAACGUAAACUCUAUGAACCCCUUCUUUUUUAUCACAAAAUACAACGACUUUGUUCUCUUCGUCCUGAAUGAAGAAAUUAGGCAGGUUGAACCGAAUAUCAAAGUUUUCAGCAUCAAUUCUCAUGAGUUUGCUCCAAGACACUUUUUGUCCAUCUAUCACAGAUCCCGUCAUCCAAAUUUCCACAGAAUAUGGAUGACGCGUUUGAUGUAAUAUCGAAAUUCUAUCAUUUUUAACGAACAUAGAAAGAUGAUCUUCACAAGGAUAUGCCAAAAAAGGCAAAGAAAGACGUCCAAACAUCUCAGCUGAAAAAUCAAAUGUCACAAUGACACCUUCAUGCGUAUUUUCAUCUGCACCAAUCCAAUAAGAAUUCCCAUUCAAGGAUACCCAACGAGUAGGAAAUUCAAGAAGAAAAUCAAUUUCAACGUUAAGAACUCUCCAAGAGUUAGACGUAAAGUCAUAUAUUUCAACCUCUAAAUAUUUCAAACAGAAUUUACAGGAAUGCCAGCUGGCUGCUGGAAACAACAAGAUCUUGUAUCGACGAUCACCGUAUUUUUUAUCGCACCCAAAAGCAUAUCCAGGAGUAUUAGUAGUACGUACUUUAUGUAUGUGUCGUUCAAUCCACUUUGUUUGCUUUAAACAUGGGUUCCAGACUAUAAUUUCAAAACAUCUUGUGAGGCCGAAGAGUAAACCGUCGCAAUGAAGAACUUCAAACACUUCACAUUUUUUUUUACAAAUACAUUCUGUUAGAUUAAGUUUACAACUAGUAACGUUGUAAGGUACAAUCCCGUUUUUGGAGUUCACAACUAAUCGUAAAAAAAUUCAAAUCAAGGAAUAAGAUAAACAUAUUUUGUUUCAUGGCAUUAUCAAAGUGUUUCUUAGAAAAUCCAUGAUCGUCAAAUAGAGAAUUCCAUCGUUUGCAAGUAGAUCGGAGUCGUAUGAGAGAUUUUGUUGGAACCCUAGAAAGUAUUUCAUCUAUCAAAUCAUAUGGUAGAUUAGAUAACAUUUUCUCUCUUUUAUCUAAACUCUUAUACAAUGACUACAAUUUAGAUAUAUUGUGUGCAAAGAGUACUAAUAUAUAUAUACCAGUCGUUGAAGGAAAUAAACUAAUCAAAGUAAACUAUCUGCCUACAGUUAUUAUAUCAUUGAAUGAAAUCUAAAUGAUAUAGAUAAUUAGAUAUCAUAUCACUGAAUUCUUAUAUAUUAAUGAUAUAGAUAUCAUAUUAGUGUUGAAAAAGUAAAAAAAUUAUACUUUUUCUGUUCCACCAAAUUUGAUGUUGUGGAAUUUUCACACAAAUCAAGAAAAAGUUAUUUUUUUAUAUUUUUAAUUAUUAAUUUAAUAAUAUUAACUUUAUUUUUAUUUUCUAUUUAUUGGUUUAAAUAAUAAUAAUAAUAAUAAUUUAAUUUAUACAUAACAUCAAUCUUUAUGAAAAAAAAAAACCACAACAUCAAUCUUUGUGGAAAACAUGGAAUAAUAUUUUAGGUAGGAGUGAAUUUUUUUUUAAUAUUGUGUGUUGCAACACUGUAAUUUAUUAAUCAUUGGUGCCAAGUGUUUUACGUAUCAUUAGAAAUAUUACUUAAGAAAUAAGAGUUUUGACGCGUGGUUAGUUUUCUAAUUGUGCAACUACUAAAUAUGACAUCUCCAAAAAAAAAAGAAAAAUCAAUAUUUUCUCAGAAUAUGCUAGCUAGUAAUUGAAUUUCUAUCAACUACUGUAUAUAACAUUUCCAAAAAAAACUUAUCUCUUAAAGUAAAAUAAUAAUAAUGUUUUACAAUAAAAUAUAUACCCUUUUUCAAUCAUAUUUGAAAAUUUCACAAUUUUUCUUUUUCUUUUAUAUAAAUAUAUAUUACAAAAUACUAGUUAAGAUCUUACAACAAAGUAAAAAGAUAGGAGAAAUAUAUAUUAUUGAAUCAUUCAAAUCUGAUUCAUUUCCAAAUAUGCUACAAGGAAAGAAAAAAAUUGGUUUCCAAAUGUGCUCUUCUCCGGAAAUUAUCAGCUCAGGCAGUCAUCUAUAGCAUUUAGCGACAGCGAAAUUAUGUUUUGCAUAACUCCAUUCGUUUGUCCCCGUUUGUUAUCUUCAAAUUGGUUGACCGUGAAAUUCGCAACAUAAUCACUUUGAGACGUCAUCGGAAGUGUUGGCAAAGGUUAAUCCUCCUCUGGAUUCGUUAGUCACCCCAAGUCUUUCCUUCUCUAUUGUAGCCUUGUUUUUAUUCUUUUUUGUCUUGGCUACUCUUUCAUAGGUUCUACUCUUAUUUAUAAUGAUAUUAACAUAUUUAGCAACAAACAAAAAAUGUGCUAAAAAGAAAAAAGAAAUGGUUUCACAAGUCAGAACUAUAAUUUUAAUAGAUAGUUUUAUAUGUUUUCAACUAUAAUAGUUUUACUUAUUUACAUCUAUAAUGUGUUAUGCUAUAAAUGUCUAAACCGUCCACUUAGCUCUUAAACACUCUUGAGCAUUGGUAAUAAGUGAAAAAUCUUUACGUUGGAAAUUUUAAGUCGUUGAGUUUAAUUGUAUAAAAUCUGUAUUUUAAUUUCCAACGUAAAGCCGACAACACAGUUCAUUUGGAAAAGUAAGUGUAAAUUGAUGAUAAUAUAAGUUACUUUUUGUCUUCUUCAAAAUAUGUUUCAGCUAUAAAUUAUUCUGAUUUCCGAGUUUUGUUUUGAAAAGUUUCAUAAUAACUACCAAAAAAUUGUGUAAUCUAAUUGUGAUGAUUUCUGACAAGCUAGAAUGCUUUUGAAUUUACUACCACAAAAUCAGCAUAAGAAUAAACCGAAAUAUAGUAGUGAAUUAACAUCAUAGGGAUGAAUUUGGUAGACAGAUGAAUUAAUGGAAAGGGUUUAAAUUGUUGCUCGGAUGCUAUUCUGAAGAAGAAGAGGAUGGUUUUGCUUCAACAACAGGUUUGCCUUUCUCUCUAAGUUUAGCAAUGGAAGCCUUCAUUUCUUCUUUACGCUUCUUACUCGCCAAUACCUUGGCCUGAACUCCGGUCACGGUCGGGUCUUUCUUCUCCUUAGGUGGUGGUGGAGGCGGCCGUCUUGCUGCCGCCAUUGCCUCCUCCUUAGCGGCCAGAGCGUUCCAACUCCAUAGCGCACCGCCUAGCCCCACCAAAAUUGUCCUGCAUAGAGAUUCUUCCAUUUAUGAUUUUGUUUAGGAAUCUUACAACGAUCACGGUACUAAAAGCAAAAACCGGAGUCAAAGUGGAUGUGAGGUUGAUCCGGUCCAACCGGUCUGAUCGAAUUUGGAAAAAAAAUAGUUGUUUUUAAAAUAACCAAUAUUAUAAAAUAUUAAUCAGUAAAAACUUAAGAAAUAUGUACGUUUGCCAAAUGGUAAACAUAUUUAAACAAUUUUACAAAUAUAACAUAAAUUUAACACCGAUUUGAAUUAAAACAGCCCGGUCCAUUUAGCCCGUUUUGAUUUGAGAAGAGUGUUUUGGCCUUUUGGGUUGAUGAACAAUGUGCUUUUGGAAAAUAUCAGUGCGGAUUGGAUUUUUAAUCAUCGACACAAACACUUAAGAAAUCUAAUCUAGUACAAAAAGAUUGUAAUUCACUCUAUUCAUAAAUUGGUUUUGAUAUAUAUAUAAACAAGCAUAACAACAUUCUUAGACUUUGAUUAAUUUUUUCCAACAGUUAUCUAUUUGAUCACCUGCGAUUAAUUGGUGGAACUGCAAGGACGACGGGAGGAGCCUGCGGCAGUGACCGCGGCGAUGGAGAGGAGAGUCUGGCGGCGUGAGCAGCCGGUGAGAGAGGAACGAGUGAAUGUGCCACCAUGGCUAAUUCAAGAAAAUGUAAAAGCAAGAGAUGUAACAAAAAUUGGUAAACACACUAAUAGAAGAUAGAGUGGGAUAGUGUUGUAGUAGCAUUGCAAUUUAUAUCUGCUUGUUCAUUGGUUGGAUUUGGAUAAGACAUCAAAAUAGAUUAUUUUUUUCUGUCUACCAAGAAAAUAAGACUUUCAAGAAAUCCAAAAACGCUGCGUUUUCCUUUUUAAUGAACAACACUUUCAAGGUCCAAAACGCACCGUAUGUCGUUAUUCUGUUUUUCUUGUUCGCUUUUUAAUUGCAUUUCUUUUCUUUUAGAAUUUUUGAAGAUUUGAAAGUAUAAUUUUUUAAAAAAAAACAUGGCAAUAAUUAAGCUCCCGUAGCUGUAUUCAAUCCAAAAUAUUUCAAAAGCAUACAGAUAAAAAGUAGACUUUGAAAAAAAAAGUUAAGUAUGAGAGUUAUGAUCUACUUGAUCAUCACAAACCUACAAUAAACAAAAGAAAGUGGGAAUUGUCUCAAACAAUUACACAACAUAUCUGUUUACACAAACACAUCUUCAACAGAAACAAUAAUAAAAAUCAAAUGUUUCUCCUUAAAGAAAGAUAAAGCAAUCCAAAUCAAUCAAAGGAUUGCCAACUUCUUCAAAUAUUGGAACCACUGGUUCCCUAUCUUUUGUGAUUACUUCUCUGAUAAUUGUUUGGUCGAUCUUAGAACUUAUGCGAUGUAUUCGAGGCUCUGAUCUGUUGCUCAUAUGACAAAUCUUGCGACCAGACAGAUCUAAACUAUCUUUCCUUACACAAGAAGAGACCGUCAAACUAGCCGCGGCUACACCAAAUCUCCGGCUUGGAGAUGGUGAUUUCAAGAAAUUUCCCUCAUAUCUUCUGCUUGGAGAUGGAGAUUUCAAGUACUUUCCCUUGGUUAAGGAGUUUGAUGAAGAAGAGAUAACAACUCUUUCUUGAUCUUGACGAAAGCUCUUUUGUCGUGUCAAUGAACGAUGGUUUGGUGAUAGCUCUCGAGUUCUCUUAGAACAAUUUGAUCCUCUUUUAGAAUCUUCAUUUGCUCUGUUUGGUGUUGUUGAAUUCCGGCUUGGUAUAACCGGAGAAUCAAACCGGCUAGGAUAUCUCGGUUUUGUGGUUUUCAUAGAUAGAGAAGCUUCUCGUAAGGAAUUGAUUCGAGCAACAUGUGAAUUCUCUUGGUAACAAGCACGCAAGAAAUCAUUGGAGAAAGAUCUCUCCUUCGAAACCGAAACUGAAGAGGCGGUCGAAAGUGACGAGUUUGAUGAGCUGAGAGAAGAGUUGCUUGUGGUUGAAGGUUGGAUUGGAGAGAAAGAUGCCAACUUCACAGGAGAAGGGGGAGGGAUUACUUUACCCGGGAUAUUGAUAAACUUAUUCGGGACAGGGAUAGGAUGAAACCGGUUUUUCUCCGGAAGAUUAAGUGGAGAAACACGACUUGGACAACGAGACAUGAACAUCUUCUCUGGAACAGAACAGUACUUCUCGUGAGGUUCUUCUGCUUCUUUGAAAUCUUUCGACUUUGGAGAGCAUUUGCUGAUACAACAACCCAUUCCUAGAGUUUGAUUUCAAUACUUUUUUCGAAAAAUCUGUACGAGAGAAAGUAACUAUUAAAAGGGAUUGGUUACAACAGGAAAUGGAGAUGCUUAUUGUAUAUAAUGUGUAUUUUGUGUGUGUGUGGACUUUUUAGCUAGGCGUGAUCCUAUAUUAAAAGGAUUAAGGAAGAAAAAAGUGGAAGAGAGAAAAAGUGAGGUAGUUUUUGAAUUUUGGUUGGCGGGUAUGAUGAAGCAGCCGUUAGUAUUAUUAAACUGUUACCGUUUAACUUCAAAUACAAAGCCCAAUAAAAGUUGGACUUAUUUUGGAAGCCCAGAUCCAUUUAUGUUAGUCUAUAAACAACAGUCUCGAGCAACAACACAACACAAGUUACUAAGUUAGUAAGUUACACAUUUUUCAGGCAUGGGUGCGUUAUCUCGAGGUUAUAUAUAGAGUUAAUUAUCAAAUACAGUAUACUUACCCUUAAUUUACGUGUUACUUAAAUAUGUCAAACAUAUAAUGUCUAUUAUAGUAUAGCUGCGAUGAAGAUCUGACUCUCUCUUUUUUUUCCCUCAUGAAGAAGAUCUGGACUCUAUACGCAACAAAAAGUUAAGCCUAAGAAAGAAUAUUUUAUUUUGGGCGACAAUAAUAGUAUAUGUUUUUUGUUUAUAUCCUUGAAUUUGAUAGUUAAGGAAAUUAUUACUCCGAACAAAGAAAACUAUUUUUAGUAGCAAAACAUGAAUAUGCUUUCAUGUCCAAUAAAAAUCGGAGAUUCAGAAGCAAUGACACACCGGCAGCAACGAAACUGGACUUCUGCCACGUCACUAAUGACGAAAACCUUUCUACUAUGGAUCUUUGGUAGGCCCCCAAUGUCCUAAUUGAAGUUGACACGAAGGUUUGUGUUUGUUGUGUUCUUUAUUCAACACCUCGUGGUCUCGAGUCUUAUUUCUUUUUCUUUUUUGAGUUUUUUUGUUUCUCUAGUACUUUGUCAAUUACAUGUUUCGACUAAUAUAUAUUAAUUGUUUUUAUCUUUCGUUUUCAAAGAAUCUUUAAUUCACAUAUACAUUCAAGACAAGACAUAAAUUGUACGCUGCUUCUUUAAAAUAAAGUUGUAAGGAAGUGUUGUUGACAAAAAUAUAUUUGUAAUGGGGUUUCCCAAAACACAGUAUAUAUAGAGGAAAAUAGUUACUCUUUUUUUUUUUUGUCAUAGGAAAACAAUUACUCUUGUUUUCGUAUAUUUGUGUUUUUGGAUGCGAAAUAUAUAGAAGAAAACAUUGUUUUAUUUCCGAUACUUUGGUCAAUAUAUAUUUAUCUGUUAACAUCCAAUAAUUUCAAUAUAUUUCAAACUCUUAACUUACUGACAAUUCCACCAAGUCCACAUAUAGGACAAGUUUUGGUCCUACGCAUGUCAUGCAUAAUUUGUACCCGUAUUAAUGUCAUGUUAAAUAUUCCAAAAUACCCCUUAACUUUUUCAUAUUUACUUAAUUACUAUAUGGAUUAAUGGAUGCCUAUUAUAGUAUUACCGCAUUAUCCAUUUAAUUGUGUUUGUAUAUCCACUAUUUUCUUUUUCUUUUUUUGGUUUUAAUGUGAAAUAUAUCCACUGCCUUUUCGUCACUUUUCUUUUCUUUUCUUUCUUAAAUCAAUCAUUAUCACAUAAACUCUGAAUUUCGAGACAGCACGUUUGCAUAUUUUAUAUUCAAAACUACAAUCACAUGAUGAUAAUCACCAUGAAAACAGAGUAUGCUUUUUUUUUUCUUAAAAUGAUAAAAACAGUAUGUACCAUAAUUAAUCACAACGCAUCAUGGUCAAAUAUAGUACUACUUGGUUUUACAUAGCAAGAGUAUUAAAGAUAUUAAGCCCAUCAUUCAUCAUCUCCCUUUCUCGUAGACUGUAAAAAGAAAAAAGCAAAGAGAAACCAACAAACAAGGAAAAAACAGAAAAUCUUUAGCCUAAUUAAGUUUAUAAACAACAGAAAAACAGAGGAGGAGAAGAACCCAUUUAAGAUCUUGACGGCUAAAAUAUCUUUAAACACCACGAAAAAGACCGAUCAGUAGCGAGUGGGAUACACGCGCUUGCCGUCAUGGUCACCGUCACCGUCACGGGAUGGCUGAGAACUCUGUUUACCGUCGCAGGAUGGACGGAACAAAGAGAAAAUGGCUUUGGCGGCUUUAGUCUUCACCAACUCUCUCUCCUUUGGGAUCACACUCCCUUCUUUCUUCUUGAACGGCUUCAGUUCUCCGGAGCUCAUCUUCUUCAGACUAUAAGUAAGAAUGUAUGUGUUUGUGUGUAUGUAUAUAUCUGUGUGUGUGGCUUUGUAAUUUUUGCAGAGAAGCAGAGAGUAUUGGGUUUAUAUAGAGAAGAGUGACCACUGUUGAUCAAGAAUUACAAGACUUGUGCGCUAAGUUGCUCCAUGUUCACACUACGUGUCAGCUCUUAUUUGAUGUAUACAUGUUAUCAACAACUUCUACUUAGUAUUUUAGCAACUAAUGACGAGGAAAAUAAAGUGAAACUUACAGCUAAUUUUCAUAACAUUUUAUUGGAUAUUUAUAUACGUAACUUAAUAAUCAACCCGCCAGUUCAAAUAAAAGAAAAAUAUAUAUUAUUAUAGGAAAAUUUCAUGCAUCCCCUUCAUUAAUAAUUAAUUAUCUUGUAUUAAUGUAUUUCAAUUUUCAUAUAUUAGUGAAAGGCACAAACUUGGGAACUAAGGCUCACUCUCCCAUCGGUGCAAGGAACUUGUAACAAAAGUUUUUAUCCAAAAGAAGAACUUGUAAUAAAAGUUUAUAUUUUUGUUCACGGCUCUUUUCUGAUUAUUUAAUUAAUCAACAAUUAGUGAAGUUGAGAAACAACAAGUAAAGCUAAUUGUUAACUGAAGAACAAGUACAAGAAAGUCCAGUGAAUGUGACUACUAGACCGGUUUCUAAUCUUAGCUGUAUAUAGUGUUUUCACUCUUUUGGCAUUUAAACAUCAAUCCAAAAUGUUUUAUGCGUUCCAACCACCGAAUCCAUCUAAAUUUUCAAUACACGAAUUCAUAUUCAUGACUAACUUGCUUGAUUAAUAACAAUAUUUUCAAAUCCUUUUUGACGUUGACUAUUGACCAAAAGUUUUUUUUUCCUUACUGACUAAAAAGUUAAAUGCACUAAAAGAAAAAGGUCUCGAUCAUUAUAUAGCCGAGAGAGACCUUGUAGAAAAUAAGUGCGUGUUUAGUUUGAUUUGUCGAUAUAGUUCAAUGAAUCUAACAAUAUCAAAACUUUUGGGCCAAUCAUGUCUAGAUUUAUAGUUAAAAGCAAGCAUCCUAUAUAUCAUAGGCUGUUGCUAUAUAUGUGUUUAUUUCCCUUUUUUAGUAAAUCUGAUUUGUUGAUCUCUUUGUUUUCUUUAUGGUUUAUUUCCUUAUGCUCAGUCCAAAUUAACCAAAAUAUAUCGUUUGAUCGUAAAGCAUUACAGGCAGGAUUAAGCCAAAGGUCAUUUUUAUCUUGUGGAAUGUGGUAGAUAAGAGACUAUAAAGAUUUUGUUGUCAAAGAUGCUAGUGUGAAGUGUGAACGUUGAACGGGAAGAUUAGUAGGAAAUCAUAAUUAUAAUUUGGAAGAUUCUUAUUUUGGAAACAGUUGUGGAGUCAAAGACAAUUUUUUUAAUCGCGGUAAAGUAAUGACUUUCUUUUUAAUGUGAAGACCAACGACCGAAUGUCGAGAUAAUUAGCCUGCUCCAAAUAAUUGUACUUCUCUUCUAUAGUUCUAUAGAUUCGAAAACUGUAGUAAUCUAUCUUGAUAUCAGUGUUAAAGAUCUAUUGAGACAUAUAUUCCAGUUUAAGUCUGGUUCGGUUUACUAAACUCAACUAUGGUCUAGGGUAUUCGUAUUAUUUAAGUUUUCUGUAAGUUUAUUAACUGGAAUGAAGACAAAUCUUCUCCAGUUUUUUUUUUUUUUUUUUUUUUGUCUAUGUUAUUUUGGAUCCGAAAUGCGAGAAGAUCAUGUUCUACAAUGUGUUACGCCAUGGUAUUUUGAGUAUAUUCAGCAGGCACUAACCAAAACUGCAUUUCGAACCAUUUAUGUCAUUGGUCAAAUAGGCUUGACAUAUUAGCUCUCGUGGGCCUAAAAUGUUUCCUACCUGGUACAAAUGAUAUAGUAAACCUGCAGAUUUCUUAUGCUCAUUGUUUAAUUUUAAUGUGUUAAGGUAAAUAAGUUAUUUCAAAAUCUAUUUUCUUAUAAGUUAUAAAAACAUGUAAUACAUUUUGGAACUUGGUUACAAAAAAUAUUAUCGAAAUUGUAGGGAAGUUUCCAAAAACAGUUAUUGAAAUUAAUAAAAUAAAAUUUUCAUUAUAUAAAUUCUUCAUUCGUCAAAAGAUUCAGUAUAUGCUAUAUCUGACUCACGGAUAGUACAACAAAAGCCCACGCACAUGCUUUAAUUCCACACACACAGAACAAGUCUGGUCAAAGCAUUUUGUGCUGCUCAGCUGUGCUCACAAUUAGUUUCACGACAAAACCUAAUUGAGAGUAUACCCCUAUUUAACAUUUACAAAUCUCGAUUAUCGAGACAUCACGGUGGCAUAUUGAAUUAGAGUUUAUCAAUGAUAAACAAAAGGAGUGAAUAAUUACGACUAAUACCAUAAACACAAUUAACCGUCACAAUCAUCAUAAUUUGAUUUUUGUUUACAAAUUAAAGAAAGAUAUCAUAAUCUUUCGUCACCCAGCCCCUACCGGAAACUGAAUAGUAGAGAAAACAUUUAAAUCUUUAAGAAGAAAGAAAGAGAGAAGCAUAAUUAUCAAAAGCUUAUAAUUAUCAACGAGAACACCAACAUUUAGAUAUAUAAAAAAAAAACAUAAAAAGAAAACCCAUAAACGAUCAUGACGGCAUAUAUAUCUUCAAUCCCAAGAAAAUGGCCGAUCAACGAUGAGUACCGGGGUACACGCGCCCUCCGUUACCUUUGCCGUCGCCGGUAGAGUCAGAGUGCCGGCCACAACCGGAUGGCGUGAGAGCAGAGAUAAUGGCUUUCGCGGCCAUAGUCUUCACCAGCUUCCUCGUAACGGGAAUCACACUCGCUACUUGUUUCUUCACCUCCCUCUCCGCCGUAGAACUAGAGCCUUCUCCUUUAGAACUCAUCUUUAGGCUGUUUAUGUUGAUAAGUGUAUGUGUAUUUGUAUAUAUGUGUUUGUUUGUUGCUUUUGUAAUUGUGAGGAACCAUGCACACUAUGGCUCGGGUUUAUAUAGAAAAUAUGAGAUGAGAAUCAAACUUCUGCCAUAAGUCCAUUUUCAAAAAUAAAUGAAAAAACUUAAUUUCUAAGUUGCUCCAUGUCCAACGUGUCAGCCACCCAUUGCUGCAAAGAGGAAAUUUAGUUGAUAUCUUGUACUUAUGAUUUAAGUUUAAGAAAAAAAAACAAAUUAAGCGAAACUUACAUUUAAUUUCCAUAACAUUUGGAUAUUUUCUGGGAUAUCAGUGGAUACGUGGAACCCUGAAGAAAUAAAAUAAAAUAAGAUAAAACAUUAUAAUAGAAAUUUCCAUGCAUCGCCGUUAUUUUGUUAAUUAAUUUAUAUUUAUUUACUUGGCUGAUGAGUUGGCGCCACCAUGGGAAUGUAGUAUCAGUCUUACGUUAGUACAAGGCAACGGGAAGACAACAUUCGACAUAUAUGUUUAGUACUUUAUUAUUUGUUAUUCGUGCCUCUUAAGUCUUAUCUAAAAAGCAAUAAAUAAUUAUGUUAACUACUUACUGUUAUAUUUUUUUCUAAUGAUAUGAUAAUAAGUGAUGUCUUACUAUUAAUUUAUCAUAUACUAAUAAUUAAUGACUUUUUACUGUUACCAAAUUAAUCAUUAAAUUUUAACGAAUGAUACUAAUCAUUCGAUAAUUUCUUUGUUUAGUUAAAUGUAUAGUUCAGUACAGUAAUAACCAAAACAUCUUCUAUUUCAAAAACCUAAAAUUUAUAAUAGAAUUUUUUAAUUGAAUUGUCUUUUAAUCAUAACGUUUCUGCUGUUUUGGCGUUCAAAAUGUUUUGUUUCACGGAGUAACAUAUUUACAAGGAAGAUCAAGAGAUGUGACCUUGUUGAAAAUAAUUGUGUAGAGACAAUAAACAUAACAACAUAUGUAGAUUCGAUUUUGUACAAUGGAUCUAGACUAUAUCAUUUUUUAUCUAAUCGUGUCAAGGAGAAUUAAAGUUAGGAUUUUGAGUAAAAGCCCCUUUUCUACAUUUGUUUCUUUGUUUUUCCCAUAAUUGUUUUUUGUUCUUUCUGUCAAGUUUUAAAAACUUUUUUUUUUUGUUUGUGUUCAGACCACACCAUAUACCUGUAUAUAUAUAUGCUUGGUCCUUAGGAACAGUACAAAGAUCUGCCAAGGACCCCAUUUUAUUUUUUGGAAAUUCACGAAUGAUAUGAUCUAGAACUAGAGACUUUAUUGUCAAAGAUUUAGAUUUGUGUGGAAAAAUGAAAGAACAUGAUGAUUGAUGAAGAUUGAAUUAAAGAGAAAACAAAAUUAUGAUUUUUAUUAGUUUCAUUUUUAUUUUUAUUUUUUUGUGCAAAAUUUUUAUUAGUUUCAUAUGACAAUAACUACAACUCCAGAUAACUAAUGGCUAGCGGCUGUGAAUUUGCGAUACUUUUUCCAAAUAAAAAUUAAAUCAAAACGAAAUACAAUAAUUUGAGAGAUUCCGAUUAACAAUAUCGUGAAACAGCUGUAGAGUAAUAAUCAGGCGUGAACAUUAAAGUAAUGAAGUGGUUAACCAAUAAUUUAUUAGUUUUCAUUCAUAUAUCACCAUGAUUAUAUUUAAUAAAAUGGAUGAACCAAAGACAAUCUUUGUGUAUAAGUUUAUAAUUUUUUACAUCACAAUCUAUAUGUUAGUUAACGAAAUAUUUAAUUUUAUUAGACUUCCAGAAUAAACUAUUGAACUGGCAAAUUGUCACGGUGCAACUUUUUUGCCAAGAAGACGUUAAUUGGUUUAUAAUUAAUUAAGACGAAACAAGAACAUAUAGUACAUGAUCUUACAACCUCUUUCUUAUGAAAUAGUUUUUAAUUGCAUUUCCUUUUUUUUUUAUAUAUAAAUAAAUAUUGAAUGUUCCUAAGAAAUUAUCAAGGUGGUGUGUCAUCAUGAGGAGGCCACCAACUUGGAAAUUAAGGUUGGAUUUCCGCUGCAAACAGCUAAAAGGAUUUGAAGGUGGGCAAACGAAAUUAUCAAUUAAAUCAUCAACUCAAGACGUGAUAAUUGUUAUGAACAUAUUAUUAGUAUUGUAAUUUAUCCUUAUUACAGACAUAACGGCAUAAUAUUAUUUCCAUUGGUUUAAUUAAACGACCAACGAUUAUAUUGUCUGCGAUUCUACAAAUAAUUCUCAUUUCUUUUAUUGUUUUAAACAUUGAACGUGUUAUAUCUGUGGACGAAUUUUGGGAAAUGACUUCUAAUAAUUUGGUUUGGUAAUUUUUAGUUAAUGCAUUGUACUUAAAUUCUAGGUUUAGCAGAUCUCAUCAAUAAAAUUUGUUCAUAUAUUAAAAGUUCAGAGAGUUUUCAUUUUCCAAUUAUUCAUUUAACUUUCAAUAAUUUUUCACCAAAAAAUUGUUAAUUUAGCACGAAAUGUUAGUGUAUUCCCGCAAUUUUUUCGUUUGUAAACAAUGUUCCAUCGGCUUAUUUAAACCAACUAAGUAAUAUACUGUUGUUGACAAAAUAAAUAAAUAAAUUUUGAAUAUUAAAUGAGUAAUUGAUUUGACAAAAAAAAUGAUAGUCAAUAUUUUGUAUGUUUGGACCAUAUAGACAGUGAUGGCACAUAAAUAAUCUUCUAAUAUAUUCGUUCUUUUUUUCUUCGGAAGCGACUCGCGUGACUCUGUUCAUAUUUUUUUUAUUUUGUUAACGGAAUAAACCAAAACUACAUCUACUUGUUCCUUAAUCGACCAGUUUUUAUUUUCCUAUGAGUUGUUUCAAUUCGAUCGAAUUUAAAGAACAGAAAUAUAUUGUUAUAAUGUUUUUCUGUCUUUCGAAGUGUUUUAGUUGCAGCUUAUUGUUUUUUGUUUUUUUUUUUCUUUUUGUUAAAAGGUUUUAGUUUAAAAUUUAGUAAACCAUAACCCCAAACUUAAAAACAUUCAUUGGUAUUUAAAAUCUUUAACGCGUUUAAAGAUUCUCGAUCUUUCUAAAUUCGAUUUUUUUUUUUUUUUUUAUCAAUCAUUCCCCACGUGGCCCGGGCAGAUAUGUUAAGCUUCGUAUCUAAGAACCAGUUAUGCUACAAUUAGUUAAUUAAUUAGUGACUGAAAGCCACUUAUGCUUGUCUGGGUUAAUCAUCAAUAAAUAUAUAUGGACCAAAUUGGAUAGGUCUUCCAUUUCUCCCUUUUAUUUCUUUCCACUUUCACCUUUCGGCCGUUAAGAAGUAUCCCUAAUUCCCUAUAAUAAUUUAUGUCUUAUGUUACGUAACAUAUUACUGUCAUUAUAAAUUUUGUCACAUAUGAAACAUGAGUGAUUAGCCCAAAAAAAUAUUUACGGAUCGGUAUGAACAUUAUUAGUAGUUCCAAAUUAAAGCUCGAUCUGACGGCUUUGAGCUACCUUGAUUUUUACUGGCAUUAUAAAUUUCUAACAUAUUGACUAAUCAUUAAUUAUCAUUGAUUAGUUAAUUCUAUAAUCAUCAUAUAUAUAUAUAUAUAAGUUUAAUCCAACAUAUUUUUUUAAUAAGUUUAAUCAAAUUUAUAGACGAAUAGAUAGCUAGAACUACGAUGGUAACUCCAUUUCCACAAAACAGUACUUACUUUUAGUUCCUAAAUUGAUAGAUAUGAAACAAAAAGGUUAGAUGAUAAUGAACAAACUGAUAAAAUUGAACAUUUCUUAAAGUCUAGGAGCGGUGGACCUGAAUCUUUGAGAAUGACCGUGUUGACUCGUUUUUUGGGAGAUCUACAUAUGCACCUCGAUUGUUUCAAAUAUCUAGUUAUUAUUAAGUGAAAAGACGCAAAAACAUGUAAUAUAAAAAGAGUGAGAAAAAGAGAAAAUCAUGUAAUAUGAUUUAGUUAAGCGUUAAUUAAAAAUGUUUCUAGUGGCAAGAAAGAACACUAAGCAAAUUAAAUAGGCAAUAUAAUAAUGCCUUUGAUUGGUAGAUAUUUUACUUAUGUAGUAUAGGGUUUAACUAUUUCCACGGUAACUUAUUAUCAAAUCAGUCAUCCAAAAAGGAAAGAAAAACAAAAUAAUAGUAAUAGUUUUGCAGCAAUAUUUCAACUUUGUUUUUUUUUUUGUAUCACUUAAACUUACAAUACUUUGUUGCAUCUAUGAAUUAAUCCUGAUGAUGAUGAGCCAUGUCCAUCGGUAAUAGAUUGAGAGUAACUUGUCUAUUACUUUGCAUGAAUUGUUUUUACUUAAUUCUUGUAAGUUGAUGGUCAUUCUCUUAAUUUUAAUCAGAUUAUUUUGCCAUUGAUAAAUUAAAAUUUCCGUAUAUAGAAUCUUUUAAAAUUUUCAACAAAAACAGAAAAGAAAAAGCAAAACAACCAACACGCACAUAUGUCUAUUAAAAAUCAAUGAUUAUGUCGAUAUGGCUAGAUCCGUACAUAUAGUAAAAAAUCUAAUAUACUUGUAUUUUAACGAUGGUUAUUUCAGAAUCUUACAGUGAACGUUGACCAAAUAGAUUCUGAUAAACAGGGGCACUGAGCAACAUAUAUAAAUAGGGAAAAAUCCUUUUUCUCAGUGUACGUCAAAUUAAUAAUGUCUGGAUAACAAAACUCGUAGCCUUUUCUAUAUUCGUGUUAUGUUUAGCUUUUCUCUAAAUAAACAUCACGGUUCACUAAAACAUAUUUUCAGGAUAUUUCCUAUAACAUUUAUUUUUUCUCGGCUAUAUAUAUUUGAAAGAACUUUAAAUUUGUAAUGAAUGUGGUGGUCAGAUCAUGAUGGUCUAUGAAUCCAGACUAAAAUCUUUCAACCAACCAGUAGGGUCGUUAAGUAUAAUUUAUUAGAUUAAUAUAAUCUGUUAUUAUAUUCCGAAGUGAUAACUAACUCUCUUUUUGUUUUUUGGGUUUGGAUUACCAACUUAAUCAUCUAUAAAGGUUUUCACUAAUUCUAAACAAUCAAUAUAUGAGCGAAUAAACUAAAUUUCCGAUUACUAAUUGAACACUCAUUGGUUUUAGGCUUUUACCGUUUGAAGCCUCUCACUCUCUUCUCACGUUUUGAUUUCAAUGAAAACAAUAUAGAGAUCACGCAUUAAACAUUAAUCGCAGUAAAUUAUAAUAAGUCUUAUCUUAACACUAAAACGCCAGGAAUCAAUACAAAGAAACUAUUGAACUUAGAGAAAAAAAAAAGCAUCUUAUAUUAGUACAAACUCUUUCCAGAAAGAGAGAUCAUUCGGUAGACAUAUACAAUAUAACAUAAUCUUUCUUAAGACUCAUAAUGAUUACCCCCGAAAUAUCAUUGGAAGGCUACCGGAGCGUAGACUGCACGCGCUUGUUCCUCGGAAGCUCCACUAUUUGCUUGGACUUUAAAGGAGAUCGAGAUGAAAAGAGAGUCUUCAUAAUCAUUGACUUCACCAGCAUCCUCUUUUUUGGGAACACACUCCCUUGUUUCGGCCCCAACCGCCACUCUCCAUCCUGUAUCGCCACCACCUCCACCGCUUUUUCUACCGUGCUCAUCGAUAUUCACUCUCUAUCUAAUCCUCUCUUUUCGUCUUAAGGAGAGAAAAAAGCUCUUAGAUUUGCCCUCAAUUUAUUACUUGAUGAGACUUGUGGUACAAGCUAACAUGUAAAAACAAUAGUUUAUUAUAUGAAUCUUGCUAUUUCCCUCACGUGGCCUUGUAUAAUAAGUUUUCAUUUGAGAACCAAUUAGUUAUGCUGCAACUACGUAUAAAACUAAUUGAGAUACUGAUUAAAGCCACUUAUUCCUUUUCCAAGUUAAUCAUGAUUUGGAUUAUUGGCUUCACUCACCUUUUUUCUACCUUUACCUUUCGGCCGUUAGAUAAUUUAUUAAAACAGUAUCAUAUUACUUAAGUAUACAUAAUUCCGCACAUGAAUCACGAGUCAUAACUCAUAGUUUUUCGUUUGAUAGAAACACUGUAACUAACUGAAAAUCUAAUAAGGUAGCAAAUUAAAACACAAAUGACGCGUGCAUUCAUAUGAAUGAUAGCUAAAAUGAAUUAAAAAGUACUUCAAAUUUUCAAUUCACACAUCUUUUUCAAAUAUCCAUGUGGAAUGAUUAAAGUGAAUACUUCCAAAUUUACUCGCCCGUUUUCAAUAAAAUUAUGUCAAGACUUUUUUUUUCGAGUACUACUGACGAAUGACUAGUAAAUAUAAUUAUCGUAAUAUAUAUAGAUAAUUAUCACCAUUCAUCAUCCAUAUGGCAUUAGUAUUAUUUGAAAAUAGUCAAAAUACCACGAAAGUUGCAAAUAUGAAAAGGUAGGCUCUGGCAUCCUGUGGUUCCCUUCAUCUUAAUGGCUUAGUUCAAGAUUUGUUUCUAGUUUAAGUGUUUCGGUUAUUGAGAAAGCGGAAAGAAAAGCAACCAAUGCGACAAUGUUAAGAAACAAACUCCAAACUCCUUUAUUUCUUAACCAAAAGUUACAAUUCAUGAGAAGAUGAUCUAGAACAUCAUUUCUAGACUCAUCUUCUAAAUCUCACACACGAGAUUGUUUACACAAAUUGCAUAAAGCUCUCUAAACAAUGAGAGUACCUAUUUAUAACCAAAAAGCAGUAAAAGAUAGAUGCGGAUAUUACCUCAGAAUAUCUUCUUUAUUCUUCCUUCGUCUGACGUGUCCUCUGUCACACUUUCUGUGCUGCUUCUAAUCCACCUGACUCACUAGCAGCUUCUAGAACCUCUUCUCCACCUGUCCCUUCUGUAGCUUCUAGAACCUUUGUACCAUUUAAAUCAUCAGAACUUAGUGCUUUCUUCUUCCUCACGUAAACCCUAUUGAGCUUAUCAAUACCCCCCCCCCCCUUCGGAACUCAGCUUGUCCCCAAGCUCUAUUGCAGGAAACUGUUGCCGCAGCUCGGUAAGUACUUCCCAUGACGUCUCAUGAGUUGGUAAGCCUUGCCACUGAACCAACGCUUCUAACACACCUUCAGCUGAGUAACGAGUAUCUAACACCUUCUCUGGCACCAAUACCCAUUCAUCUGAAGGUCGCGUGUUCGAUCCACGCUCACCGCAAAUUUGUUAAGAAACAAACUCCAAACUCCUUUAUUUCUUAACCAAAAGUUACAAUUCAUGAGAAGAUGAUCUAGAACAUCAUUUCUAGACUCAUCCUCUAAAUCUCACACACGAGAUUGUUUACACAAAUUGCAUAAAGCUCUCUAAACAAUGAGAGUACCUAUUUAUAACCAAAAAGCAGUAAAAGAUAGAUGCGGAUAUUACCUCAGAAUAUCCUCUUUAUUCUUCCUUCCUCUGACGUGUCCUCUGUCACACUUUCUGUGCUGCUUCUAAUCCACCUGACUCACUAGCAGCUUCUAUAACCUCUUCUCCACCUGUCCCUUCUGUAGCUUCUAGAACCUUUGUACCAUUUAAAUCAUCAGAACUUAGUGCUUUCUUCUUCCUCACGUAAACCCUAUUGAGCUUAUCAGACAACGCAUAGUCUGAAAAACCAUACAGUAUAUGUUGUCGAACCCAAGAUUUUGGGCCAUAUCACGGUUUUAAAGGCCUAUUUUACUUAGUCUUACAAAAGUGAUAAAAAGAGAGUUUUGAACGAACCUAAAUCUUAAUCAUCAUGAUAGUUUUUGAACAAUAAAAUCAAAGAUAGUCUUUUAUUUAAUGGACUUGUUCAAGACAGGGUCUUAGCCAUUUGUCUUAGCAAAAACUUCUGAAUUUUUCCUGUGGAAGUCUUGGGAAGUUCCUCCUGAAAGAUCACUUUCCUCGGAACCAUGUACUUAGGUAACUUCGUCUUACAAAACUCCCUUAUCUCUCUCUCGGUCACGGGAACCGAACCAUCACCAUUGUUAUCACACUUCAAGCUCACAAAAGCACAUGGUGUCUCUCCCCACAUCUUAUCCGGUUUAGCCACCACCGCAGCUUCCUUCACCACCGGAUUUGUAUACAGAACCGUCUCAAUCUCUGCGCUGCUUAUAUUUUCUCCUCCGCAUAUGAUCACAUCUUUUGACCGAUCUUUGAUCUCCAAGUAACCAUCUUUGUGUAUAACCCCGAUGUCUCCAGAGUAGAACCACCCGUCCUCUCUCAUACAAGCCGCAGUUCCUUGAGGGUCUUUGUAGUAUCCCAACAUGACUGAGCUGCCUCUGAAAACAAUCUCUCCAACCGAAACUCCGUCGUGUUUCACACUCUUUCCUGUUUUUCGAUCCCUUACAUCGACUUCCGUGAAUCCGAGUGUUCUUACUCCUUGCCUUGACUUCAGCCUAGCUCUCUCCAAUGGAUCAAGAUGGUCCCACUUAGGCUUCCAAGCACAUGACACAACCGGACCGCUAGUCUCUGUUAAACCGUAUGAGUGGCUGACGUUGAAACCAAGUGACUCCGCUCGGGAGAUAAUGGUUGCUGGUGGGGGAGCUCCAGAGGUCAUAACCUGAUUCAAAGGUCAUAAAACCGAAACAGAGAGAAAUGUUCAUUCAUAACGUUUUCAAUCACAAAAAAUCUCAAAGUAAAGCUUAAAUUGAAUAGACAAAAUUAACCGGCAGUGAACCGGUUUUCUCUUCAUGUACCUGAACCGGGUUCUUGAGCGGCGUACUUAAUGGAUAGUUAAUUAGCAUGUUGAGAACCAUAGGUGCAGCACACAUGUGGGUCACAUUGUGCUUAUCGAUCAAGUUGUAAAUAGUCGGUGCGUCGACUCUACGCGUGCAGAUGUUGGUGGCUCCAACCGCUGCGGUGCCCCAAGUGUAACCCCAACCAUUGGCGUGAAACAUCGGUAGAGUCCACAAGUAAACUGGCCGGUUUGGUACUGACCAAUCAAGCAAGGAGCUAACAGUGAGCAUGAAAAUCGCUCUGUGGCUAAGUACCACUCCC
rnacentral:lncRNA from 1 species